rnacentral:lncRNA from 1 species
CUAAGUUUGAUGAUAGGUUUCUGAUAUUCUAGAGUUUCUGGUGUUCUAGAGUUUGAAUUUCGUCUAUUUUGAAUGUGACGUCGUGCGUCAUUAAAUCGUGUCUAUUAAUAUUUAAUCCAAUGAUUAAAAUAAUGUACUGCAUAAGAUAUUAACACAUGUACGACGUAAAAUAACGUACUGUAACACAUAUACGGCAGCCGGCUUAUUUUGACCUCCAGACAUCUGAAAAUUUAAAGUGAGUGAUUAAUGAAUUAAUGCAGAUUAAGGCGUUAAAAUAAACCGCGGUAUAACUGAAUCGGAAGCGAAAAGAGUGACGGGCGUUUGAAAUGUGAAGCAGAAGGGAAGCAAAAGUCAUCAAUCAAUCAGAUAGCGAAGCAAUCGCGGCGGGCGAUGAUUUCGAUGAUGAUGAGAGAUUGUCGGGGAAUAGUUGGUCCGGUCAAAGAGAGCGGCAACUAAUACAAUGGUUAGUUGAGGAUCGGUGGUGAUCUAUGUUCGUAGUAAAUUGGGGGAAGGGGAGAGUGGGGUUUAUAUUAAUUUAAUUUUUUUUAUUGUCAUCAAAUCCGACUUUGGGUCUUUGACUGGUUUUUUGUAUUAUGGAAGAAAGAAAGAAAGAAAAAAUAAUAUUAAUUCUGGUCAAAUUGGAGGUGGUAGGUUUCUUUCGUUUUUUUAUGUCGUUCCAAAAUACCGUGUUUGUUUAAUAUGUGUUAAAGAUAGCUGCUGCAUCAAGAUCCGUUAUCAUUUUUUUUCUUUCUUAUUCUGCUUUGCCUACUUGAUAUUCCUUUGAUUCUACUAUCUAGGGUUUCUAACCAGAGCUACGAUCUGAAAAAGGGUAAAUUUCAGUGUUUAGAAAAGGAAAGAAGGAAGAAUUUGGGUCUCUCGGUGUUGGAAUGAUGAAAUUGUCUCUCAAGAAGCUUAGAAGUUUUGGCAUACCUAAUAUCAACGAUUCUUCUAAAGAAAAAGGAAAUCGGUAUCACAACCCCGUGCAGUUUGAUAAGCUUGAACAUGCUUCUCAGGUUUGCCUUUUCUACUGUCCAAUUCUAAUUUUUUAUAAUUGGAUUUUGAUGUUGAAUUCUGCUAGAUUCACCAAUCAGAUUCUUCCCGUACUUCCUUCCGCUAUUCAUAGUUUCAACUUUGAGCAACCCAACUUUAUUUAUUUAUUUAUAAAAUAUCAGAUUAAUUGUUCUAAUGGAAAGCUAGCUCAAAAGAAAAGAGAUAGCUCAAGUUCUCUUAAAAUACUAAAAGUUUGCAUGAGAUCAUUAGGUCUAUUUCCAAUGAGUAUUUAGUCACUUUGGAUAUGCCUAUGGAUGAAUGAGAGUAGAGUGAGGAUGUGUUACCACAACGUGUUCUGAUUGUAAUUAUAAUCUCAAGACCAAAAUAAACUAGUUACUAACUUAUCACAAUCGUGGCUUCUUUAAUGGAGUCCCUAGUAGGGUAUGCCUGGAUUGCCUCCAAACUUCUCCCAUUUAUGUACCUUUCUCUUACCCACAAGGAUAGGAUGGAGUCAUUAUUGGACCAGUAGUAGUAGGCCCUUUUUAUAUGGGAGGCAUGAGAAUUGAGAACAAGCUUCAAAAUUCCUUACCUCUAAUCCUCCUAGUUCAUUUGGGAGAACCAUCCUAGCCCAAGGGGCAGAUUUCUUACCAUCCCAAAUGAAUUUGUAGGCAAUUUGCUUAGUGACAACAAAGCUAGGAAGGGAGUUUCCAUUAAUCCAAUAGGUAAAUAUUCCUACAAAGGUGAAAGGCCCAAUUGACUAGUUGGAUCCUCCCCCCAUGUGAUAGGCAUCUUCCUUUCCACCUAGCGAGAAUCUCGAGAAAACCCCGAGGAGUUCCAUUGACCCCUUGAUUGAGUUCAAGGACUUAGGGUCAGCCUUAGAAAAGAUAAGGAUGUCAUCAACAUAAAUUGAGUGAGAAAUAGAUUUUGCACCAUUGACCUGAUAGGUGUCUAUUUUCCCAUCAUCCAUUGACCUGAAUGAGGCAUUGAGCUUACUAAGGCAGUUCAUUACCCGAUUAAUAGGGCAAGUGGGGGUGCCCUCUACCAAGUCAGAGAAAGAAGCAGACUUGAUACAAUUAGAUAUAAGAGAAAUGAAAUGCUGCGAGAAAUCCAUUACCCUCAGGAUAUUGUCAGAGAUGACCCUACCUUUCAUAAAUGUUGUUUGAUUUAGGGAAACAAAUAAAUUAGCCACCUCACUCAUCCUAUUAGCCAAUAUCUUAGAGAGGAGCUAAUAGAUCAGGUUUAGACAUGAAAUGGGCUUGAUAUCAGCCGACUCCAUAGUUUUAAAAGCGGCGCUUAAAGCGCCGCUUAAAGCUAUAAAAGCGGAAAAGCGGUUUUCUAGGACCGCUUUUCAGAUCGCUUUUUUUUAACGGGUUCGUGGGUCGGGUCGGGUAAAUGGGUUGGGCCAACCCAUUACCCGAAAUGGAAGAACUUAAAUUCUUUCAUUUCCCUUUCUACUCUUCUAACAAACCCUAACCCUCACUUUCACUCACACUUCUUACCCAAACCCUAGACCUCGCCUAGAUAAUAUAAAAUUAGGUGCUCGUCUAGAUGAUUAGGGUAAAUGAUUUGGUAGUUUUUUUCAAAUAACUUGGAUGUAUUUGUUUUGGAUGUGUAUUUUUAAGAUGAUGGGCAAAUAUUGACAGGUUUAUAUAUAUUUUAUGUUUAAUCAUACAUCAUACAUGUACAGGUUUUGAAAAAAUUAUAUAUAUAAACAGGGGUAUAUAUGCAAUUUUUAAAAAAAUUGCAAAUAUUUACAAUUAUGCCACUACCGCUUUUUUCGCUUUAAGCGUCGCUAAAGCGGUUAAAGCUAAAAAAGCGCUCCCUGGAAAUUGGGAGCGCUUUUCGUUUUUUUGAUCUAUGGCCGACUCAGAUGCAAUAGGCUUUUUAGGGACUAAAGUUAUUCAAGUGUGAUUUGCUGCUUGGAGCAAAGGCUUCCCUUCAAAGAAUUCUCUAACACAUGCCAUAACUGUUGAUUUUAGAUCAAGCCAGAAUUUCUGAAAAAAUGAAACAAUAAAUCCAUCAGGGUCAGGAGCUUUGCUCGGGGCCAGGGAGAAAAGAGCUUUCCUGACCUCCUUUUCAAGAGGCCUAUGUGAUAGCCACAAGUUGAUUUCCUCAGACAUCACCCAUUUGUAGGAGUAAGGGGCUACCACAGGUGGUCUCUAUUGUGUCUCAAAGACUUUGGUGAAAUAUUAGACACUCUUGGUUAAUAAUUGGCUUCUAGUAGUACUUGGGUGGAGUUCCUACUUUUUCAAAUCUUAGUAGCAAGAUUAAAGAAUUUGGAGUUUGAGUCACCUAUCUUUAGUCAAUAUGGAAGCCCACUGCACAUGUGAAGAAUUAAUUGGUGCAUUAUCAUCCUCUACUUCAAACAAUUUCUUAUUUAUUGAAAAAUAUGCCUCUAGAAUUUUUUUUUUGAAAAAAAUAAAUUUCAUUAAAAAAAAAGAAGCCAAUGCCCAGUUUACAUAGAGUAUAGAAAUAGAAACAGAAGUAAAAAGAAAUGAGCAAGAAGCUCAUUGACUCUCUCCCAUCAGUUAUGUAGUAACUAGAUACACUGCCUCAGGAGGUUGGUCUUCCAUACUUCCAUCAUAGAUGUUUCCAAAGGGUGACAACAACUCUUCUUGUGAUAUUCUGAUUCAAAGGAGAGAAUGAUGUCUUUAAUGACCUCCUUAAGGAUCAUAGUUCCGGAUGCGCGCGCAUAUGCGCUGAUCAUAGUUCUAAAUUGAAAAAAGCGCUCCCAAUUUCCAGGGAGCGCUUUUUUAGCUUUAAGCGCUUUAGCGCGCUUAAAGCGAAAAAAGCAACAGUGGCAUAAUUGUAAAUAAAUGAAAUUUAAAUUUUUUUUGCAAAUAUACCCCUGUUUAUAUAUAUAUAUUUUUUAAAAUCUGUAAAUGUAUGAUUAACCAUAAAAUAUAUAUGAAUCUGUCAAUAUUUGCCCAUCAUCUUAAAAAUACACAUCCAAAACAAAUACAUCCAAGUUAUCUGAAAAAAACUAUCAAAUCAUUUACCCUAAUCAUCUAGACGAGCACCUAAUUCUAUAUUAUCUAGAGGCUCUCUGAUAAUUUCCUCAAUUUCAUUCAUGGCAUAACGAUAUUGGGAUUCAGUUCCCAUAUCUGCAAAUGAAGUCCUCUGUUUCUCAUAGGUAUAUCCACGGGUUUGCCCACUCCUUGUAGACGGUCCCGGUUGUUCAGCAGCUCCUGAAGCUUCCUCCACUUGCGCCCAUGUUAGUCCAUCUGCCUCAGUGUAGACGAACUCGUCGCAUGCCCCUUCUACGCCUGUCAUCCACUCACUAUUGAAGUUCAUCGAGUUGACUCUUAUGGGAUUGUAUUUAUCACUCGCUUCCAAUUCCAAUAGUCGGUGUCGUUGUGUACGUUCCUCUAAUUUCCUGUUGUACGUUAUGUACACCAGACGAUCCAAUCUUUUGGAAUUCAAUCGAUUCCUUUUCCUCGAAUGGAUCUGCAAAUAGUAUAUUAGGAUUAUGGUAAUGACCUAAUAUCUGAAAAAUAACCCUAAUUUACAAAUGAGAAUUAAGUUCUUACGUGUUCAAAUAAACUCCAAUUUCUCUCACAACUAGAUGCAGAGGCACAGAGAGCUAAGAUUCGCAUUGCGAAUUUUCUUAGUUCUUUGGUGGAAGUUCCAUAAGUACGCCACCACGUAACUACAAAGAAAAUCGUUACUUGACAGACAUGAUUAAUUGUCAAUCAAAGGAGAAAUCAAAUAUUUACUUGGUUCGGCCUUGUCAACUGACAAUUUAGCGAUUGAGGAGCCAAAUCUUCCUUGUCUUGUCUUGUACAAGUCAGUAUCCAUCACAACUUUCAUUAUAAUUUCUUCAUCAUCAAUCAUCUUCUCCAUACAAUCUUCAAAAGCCUCCUCAUAAGACGCCACUUCGUCAAUACCGGCCGUACUACAAUCGAUAAACAAUGAAUUUAGUGAUAGUGAAACAUUAGUCAUAACUAUCAUUAUGAAAUACCUUCUUAUCUUGUAGUAGACCACUGGAUUGAGGAAUGCUGCUGCUUUGAAUAGUGGAGAUUGAAAGUGUUUUGACCAACGAGUUUCCAAUAUUUUGAAAAUUGGCAUAUAGUCGCGUUCGAUGUUCUUGAAGUUUGUCAUUAUCGCUUCCUUAGCCUUCAGAAAUGCAGCCGUUAGAGAUGACAAAUUCGGUUUAGAGUCACUACCUACCAAUCUCAGCACAACAAGUAAAGGUUCUGAUGCUUUCAGACAAUCUUCAACAGUCAUCCAGAACCGAGUGUUGCAAACUAAAUCUGCAACCGUUAAACCAUCUCCCUUCCUCACCCAUGGACGCCAAUUAAAUGUCCUUAAGACUUCACAUUGUUCGUGCAAGCUCUUUAAGGUAAGGUAUGAGGUUGCAAAACGAGUUACCCCCGGCCGAACCAGUUCUUUUCCUUUGGUCGCCUUUAACCAUUUGCUAUGAAGUGUUGAAUGGUUGUAAACGUGAUUAGUGAUCUUCAAGGCAUUUCUUAUACAAGUCUUGUAUUGCGGGAUCUUUCCUAUGUCCUCGAGAAUCAGAUCCAUGACGUGUGCGGCACACGGUGUCCAGAAUAGAUGCUUGUAUUUCUUCAUCAAAAUUUUUCCCGCACGAACGUAGUUUGAAGCGUUGUUCGUGCAAAUCUGUAAAUUUCAAAUUGUUUGAAAUUACCAAAAAAUAAAAGAUGGAAUUGUAAUUAAUGAUUAGUACCUGUACGACAUGUUGAGGCCCAAUUAUUUUCAUUGCAUUCUCAAGACCGUCUGCAAUGAACUCAACCGUCUUAUCUUGGCUAGAUGCAUCUAUUGAGUGCAAGUAGAAGGUUCCCGCAACCAAAUUGACCAAAAAGUUAAUAAUAUUCCUUCUACGCCGAUCUGUCCAACCAUCAGACAUGAGAGUACAACCACUCUCUGUCCAAGCUUCCUCAUGUUUCUUUUUGAUCAUAUCAAUAGUCUUAGGUUCGUUGUUCAGUAACGGAGUUCCAAGACUAUACGGAGUUGGUGGUUGGCAAUUUCUACCAAACCUUCCGAUCGCUUCCAUCAUACAUUACAAUUCAAUAUAUUAUUACAAGUCAAUUGUAUUUGAAAUUGUAUUGAAUAAAGGAAGAAUGGGUAAAUUUUUUACCUCAAAUGAUUCACUUUUUGCCACAUGAAAAGCAAUGGAGUUGUCAUAAAAAAAUUUGGCAAUGUACUCGUGUACAUGUUUCGUCUCUUCUUUCUUCAAUAGAUCUUCCAUUGUACUUUGCUUUAAUUUCUGUGUUCGUCGAUCUCGAACAAUGCUCUCAAUAGUUUGUCCCUUUUCUAAACCCAAGGUUCCGUAUACCUUCACGGAACCACAAGCAGAUGUAGAUCCCACACUAGACUUUUUUCUUUUCUUACUUUCUUUCGGAGCCACGUCAACGUCAAUAACUGGUAUUGAUGGCUUCUUCGAGUUCAUAUGCUCGACUAACUCUCGAAGCACAUGGUAUGGCACUUUAAGACACUUUUGGACGUUCUUUUUUGCAUUAGACACACCUGUCAAAUGUGUCUUCAGCCUCGCCACUCCACCGUUGUAAACAUGAUCACAAAAUAAGCAUUUAGUUGCAUAUUUAUUUUUUAUUGGGUCGGCAAGGAUCCCAUACUUCCAUCCGAGAUCACCACUACUUGGCCGUCUUGUCUUGUCUGUCAACCAUUCCGGAUUAAUGGAAUGGUGGUAUACUAAAGUAUUGUCAUCCACGGCCGGAGGAUCCGCUACUGCCGGAGGUGGUGGAGGCGGAAGAGGCAUAGGUUCGUUUGGUGUUUCUUUGUUCGAAGCACCUUGCGUAGCGUCGUCGUCGCUGCUGGUGUCAUUAAGAUCGCUAGCGACGACGUAUUCUUCAUCGGUAGACAUCAGGCCUGCUACAAAAAAAAAAUUAAAAUUUUUUUUUUUAAAAAAAAAUGGCCGGAAUCCGGCUAACCAACUUUAAACUCUUCGAAAAUGAAGCCACCUGUUGGUCCUAGAGCUGGCAUAACAAUGGGGAAAAAAAAAGAAAAAAAAAAAUCGAGGAUGGCCAGAUCCGGCAAAACAGGCCGGAUUCCGGCCAUCUUUUUUUCCCCUUUUAGACGGCCUGAAGGUGGGGAAAGUGACCGAAACUUUGAAGAAGUCCUUACCAGUAAUAGGCGUGCGGAUGCAGGGAGAAAACGGCUGGAAAAAGGGAACUCCGGCGACGGUUGGGCGAACUCCGGCGACGGCGAGGUCUAGGGUUUGGGUGAGAAGUUUGAGUGAAAGUGAGGGUUAGGGUUUGGGUAGAAAGGGAAAUGAAAGAAUUUAAGUUCUUCCAUUACGGGUAAUGGGUUGACCCGUUGACCCGACCCGACCUGACCCAAGUACCCACUUAAAAAAAGCGAUCUGUAAAGCGGUCCAAGAAAACCGCUUUACAGCUUUAAUCGCUUUAAGCGGCGCUUUAAGCUCCGCUUUAAAAACUAUGCUUUCCUAGUUAACCUCUAGGGAUAAUGCUAGAUAGAAUCAGAAUUGAUGGACAUGUCCAUCUCUCACCUUUUUGUGAUUUAUAAGUUACAUCUCCAUUUUGAAUGGAUUUUAACUUCAUUAAAAAAAAUUUACAAUUUUUGACAAUAAUUUUUUUUUGAUGAAUAUAAAAUUUUAUUAGAAAUGAAAGAGGCCUUGCCCCAGGAUUACAAUAUAUACAUAAAAUAAAAAUAAAGAUAAACCCUUUAACAGACAGUCAUACAAGUACUGUUUGUGAAACAGGUUGUGUCCUCUAGGGAUAGCAAUAUAAAAAAACAUAAGUAGUACACAGAUAGAUCUCUCUGACAGUUACGAGCCUAACCAAUGCAUCAUUGCAUUCUCUUCAACCAAAUCCAGAUCAAGGAGAUUAACUUUAACCUCAACAGAUUUUUGAGUCCUUUAUUACCCCAGCUACAAGCCUACAAUAACAUCCUCGGAUUUAAAGUUGUUAGUUUUUCACCUUCUACUCCCCUCCUGUCACAAGAGCCAUGUAAGGCCUCCAAUUAAUGUCCAAAGUAACCUCCAACAGUUUGAGCUAGAUCUUAGAGAUUGGAUACAAUCUAACACAUCCCCCAAUCUAAUGUCCCCAACCUGCGGUACCUGCAAAUUCGCAUUCCUCUAUACAAUAUGGUUAGUAUUCUCAGAGCAAGCUAUAAGAACAUUUCUAGAAAAAGGACAGGAGACGCAUUCUCCAAACUCUCUGAAGGGUUUCUGAAACCGGAAUGAAAGGGAGGCGGUGCGGAAACCUGAGGCUAGACAGUCGAGAUAGGGAGUAUGUGGGUAUCAUGUUUUAUUUUGAGUAUCCCUUUAGCCUUCGGGCGUGCUUCCAUGGGGGACAAGUUCAGUGGGGUUCACUGCCGCGUGGUGUACCAUUUUUUUGGGUAUAUAUUUAUCAUGAUUUUUAUUAAAAAAGGGCAGUUAAAAAAGAUAUGGCCAAUGGUUUCAUGCUCUUGAUUACAAAUGAUACAAAGACUAGGAGCAGGAACUCCCCAUAAUCUGAGGGUGGUGAAGGAUGGAAGGUGUCUCCAUAGGAAAACUGAGUAUUUCGUGGGCUUUUUGGGCUAAAUACCUUUUGCUAGGAGGUCUUGUUGCCUAGGGAUUGCUAGUGCUUCACAGAACUUUUGUAAGGAGCUAACCCCUUUCAAUCCAGUAAGACUUAAGUUGAAAUUACUACCACAACCCAUCAACCUAUAAAUGUUAGUUUUGCAUUUAAGGAUGUUUUUCUACAUAAUGGAAUCCCUAGAAGGGGAGACUUGGAUAUCUUCUAGACUCUUACCCUUAGUAUAUCUAUCCCUAAUCCAGAGGGAUAGGAUUGAUUCACUGUUGGACUAGAAGUAGUGAGCUUUCUUUAUGGAGGCAUAAGCAGAGGCUUCAAAGUUCCUGGCCCCUAGUCCCCCUACUAUUUUGGGUAGGACCAUUCUGUCCCAAGGGAAGGAUUUCUUACCAUCCCAAAUGAACCUAUAUGCAAUUUGCCUAACCUUAGUGAUAACUGGACAGGGAGGUUUUAUUUAUCCAAUACGUGAACAUACCUGCAAAGACCCAGUUUAUUAACUGAAUUCUUCCCCCAUAGGAUAGACACCUACCUUUCCAUCUAGCCAAAGUCUUUUCCACUGGCUUAAUUAGACCAACACACUGCUCUAAACUUUUCCUUUUACCUGAGAUUGGAACACCCAGGUGGGUGAAGGGGAGAGGCUUAGGAGGAAAAACUAUGAUUUCAUUCAAGUGUGGAAAGGAGUCUACCACCUUAGUAACUAGUACUACUCUUAUCAUUGUUGAUCUCUAGGCCAGAGUGAUAAAAUAAUUCAGUCGAAUUAUUCACUUCCCGAUUCAGAUCUGAAAAUAACUCUCUCACGAGUUGAGAGGUGGCACUCACACUUUCUCACAUAAAUUUUGUUCUAAUAUCUGAAUAUCUGAACAAUCAAACAAGAAAUCAAAAACUAAACAGAGAAGAUGGCUCCUAGAUUGAAGAAAACAGUUGGAGAAAAGAUGACUCCUAGAUUCAUCUUCCAGAUUUUAUAACAAGCAAGCAGGAGAUAUUUGCACUUUCCAACUUUUUAACUUCCUGAACGUGUUUAGGUGAUUCCAUUUCACUCUCCAUAAAAGAAUAGAGAAUUUUGUCGGCAUCUUCGACCAAAUUCCUUUAGCUAACAUGUCUUUAUGCUUUUUAUCUCUAAUACUUUACACCAUUCCCCCCAACUUGCUUAUCGGAGUACCAAAUCUCCACACAAUUGUACUAUUGACCCUACAAUCCAAACAUUUAUCCACUAGAUUCCUUUAUGAGAUAAAGGCUUUCCCGAAAUGCGAAUCUACAGUAGGCUUGAUUUUAAUAUCAUUAAGUGUUUUUCCUUUGAUAUAACUAUCUUGGAUCCAUUUUACCAAAAUAGAAUCACUCUUAUUCCAUUACUUUGAGGCUUUUUUAAUAUUGGUUGCAGUAGUGAUAAUAGGUAGGUCUCUAACCCCUAGACCCCCUUCCGCCUUGGGAAGGGACCAUUUGGACCCAUGGAAUUCCUUUCUUUCCAUCCCAUAUAAAUUAAUAUGCUAACCUUCUCACCUUCUUAGCCACAGAAUCAGGGAUAGCCAUACCUUGUGCCCAAUAUGUAUAUUUUCCAGCUAUUAUCCAAUCAACUAGCCGUAUUCUCCCUCCAUAGGAAAGACAUUUCCCACUCCAUCUUGCUAAGAGCGUCUCUAUUGACUGGAUUAGUUUCCAGCAUUGUCCAUAUGACUUUUUCUUUCCCAUGAUUGGUAGUCCUAAAUAUGAUGUGGGUAAACUUUUAACAGUAUAUCCUAAGAUGCCAUGCAAAGAUUGGUCUUCUGCGCAUACUUUCGAGAAGGUGGAAGAGCUCUUGUUCGCAUUAACUUCUAAUCCCGAAAACAAUGAGAAUUUCUCAAGCAGCAUCUUAAUUGCAUUAAGUGAUUUCGGGUUUGCCUUUGAAAAGAUGAGGAUAUCAUUCGCAUACAUAAGGUGAGAUAUAGAAUUAGCACCAUUAACCUGAUAGGUGUCUGUCCUUUUGUUCCUCACUUCACUCUGUAUCAAUCUACCUAGAAUGUCCAUAACCAUGUCAAAUAGAAUAGGAGAUAGAAGAUCACCCUGCCUCAUCCCCCUCUGGCUUUUUUUGAAGGGAGGUGUUGGAGUCCCUUUCACCAGUAACGAGAAUGAAGCAGAGGAUAUGCAAUUCCAAAUCAAUUUGUAGAAUAUAGGAGAAAAUCCAUACGCUUCAAGAGUGGCAAUUAUCUCUUCCCAACUGACUGUGUCAAAGGUUUUUUUAAGAUCUAUACUCAAACAACACGUUUUGAGAGUUCUCUUUCUCCCAAAGCCAUGAACCAUCUCAUCCGCCAGAAUGGUAUUAUCUGAGAUGAGCCUACCUUGAAUGAAAGCUGCUUGAUUUGAUGAGAUGGGUUCACUAGAGACCAUUCUAUCUGCUAAUACUUUUGUCAUUAGCUUGUACAUCAAGUUGACACAACUUCAGCAAAGGCUUCCCUUUGAAGAAUUGUCUUACACAUUCCAUUACUAGGCCUUUCAGAUCUCCCUAAAUUUUUUUGAAGAACUCUGACGUGAAUCCUUCCGGCCCAGGGGAUUUCUCAGAAUUAAAAGAGAACAGUGUGGACCUUACUUUUUCCUCUAACGGAGUCUGAAGCAACCACCUAUUCAUUGCUUCAGAAACUACUCUAGGGAAAAUAACAGAAACAGUCGUCCGUUGGGUGAUUGAAUUACUGAAUAGAGUUUUAAAAAACCUAACAUUGUUUUCUUCUAACAGAGCCCUAGAGGUGGUUUGAUUUCCAUCCGUAUUGAGAAUUUUAAAGGUUGAAUUUUUAGAUCUCUUUAACUUUGUGGCGAUGCUAAAGAAUCUACUGUUUUUGUCUCCUAGUUUUAAUCAAGAAACCUUACUCCUUUGCUUCAGAUCUGCCUCCUCUUUAGCUAUAAGCUCCUUUAAUUUUUCUCUUAUUUUUGCGCUUUCCUCUUGGAGCGGGAUAGAUAAGGGGUCCUUUUCCAAGGCUUCAACUGAGUUAUUCAGAUCAAUCCUUGCCUGAGCUACCCUCCUCGUUGAGUGUCCUUUCUCUGCUGCCCAUUGCUUAGAAAGAAUUUUAACUUCCUUAAGCUUUUGCUGCAACUUAUACAACCCAGUUUCAUGUAUUUGCUUUGCCAAGCCAGCCUUGGCUAUCUCUACAUACGAAGGAACCUCCAGUCAGGAGUUAAAUAGCCUAAACGGCUUAGCUUCUUUUUCCACCUGAGAUAUUGUGAUUAGCAUAGCUUUGAGCUUUCUAGUUCCAUUGUGAAAUUCCACCCUUGCUCUAGGCCUAGUAUCAAUACAGGUUUAGUUUGCAAAAUCCCUAUCCAACUUUGUUUGGGUGAAAUUUGGGCCUGGAGAGUUAUUUGUCCAAGUAUACUCUCUACCUAUCGAAUCCAGCUUCAAUACCUGAGAUAUAUCCGUAGCCUGUAUAAACUCAGCAGGUCCCCCAUGAUUAUAUGUUCCAGACCCUUGCCUUUCUUCAGGGGACCUUAUUUCAUUAAAAUCUCCCCUACAAGCCAUGGGGAAGAAGAAAUAAGUCCAAUUUACUGAAGAAGGUUCCAGAGUUAUCUUCUGUCCUUUCUAAAGAGGCCUUACCAUAAAUUGGCGUAUGGAAUAAGAUCAGGCCUCCGGAAUUCUUCAAUUUUGCGUGGAUUAAUUGGGGAUGGGAAACUAAUAUAUCUACUGACCAGAUUUUUUCCCUCCAAAACAACCAAAUGGAGUCUGGAGAUGCAGGAGUAGAAGAAUCAACAUUAUUAUGCGAAUCCCAUUCUGGUCCAAGCGUGUCCCUGAUCGAUUGCGUCUUAUGCGGUUUGAUCUUAGUUUCCAAUAUCGAAAAUACAUCUAUAGAUUUGGACCUAACUAAUUCCUUGAUUUCCUUAUGUGUUUCGAAGGAGUUAAACCCCCUAAUAUUCCAAAUCAAGAAAGCCAUUAUUACGACUUCCCUAAUAGAAGAUUCAGGUAGGGGAUCACCUGUCCUUCAAUGCGGCUUCUUCCACACCUACUUUGGAGCUUAGGUCCCCUCCAUGGGCAUAAUAUCUUCUCUUUCUAAUACUUGUAUUACUUUGCGAGCCCUCUUGGUCUGACACCUUGGCCCAAUCAGGGUUCUCUACAGUUUUUAUAUCUGGCAAGUUUUCUUAGCCAUUUAUGCGGUCAUGCGAUGGCCAUGACCGCAUGGCCGCCUAGGCGCUCGCCUAGAAAUAUUGGUUUUUUUUGUAGAUGGCCGGAGCUGCUUGGAGGUCGCCGGAGUGUGCUUUGUGGUUGCCGGAGUGUUCCUUUGUGGUGGCCGGAGUUUCCCUUAAAGAUGGCCGGAGAAAAUGGGUGAGAGAUGAUUUGUAAAUCUAGGGUUUAGGGUUCAAAGGUGGGAGGGAAGGGAAGCAAAUGGGAAGAAACAAGAAACAAGAAAUAAAAAAGGAAUUAGGGUUUUUAAAACCCUCACACUCUUAUUUAAAUGACUUAAGUCUAAGUCAUUUAAAUGGGUCUUAAAUGGGUUGUUGGGUUAGGUGGAUCCGCCUAACCCGCUCCAGCGCAUGAAGACAAACGCCUACAUGCGCUGGAGCGCAUGACCGCAUAUGCGACGCCUAGGCGUCGCAUGAAAAACUAUGAUAUCUGGGAGCCCCAUCAUUCCCUGAAUAGGGGCCAUCCCAGUUUUCCUUCUAGCAUACUUUUUUGUUGCCUCCCUAUGCCUUCCCAGAGUAGUGAUCAUAUUUAUGCUUCGUGACCCUACCUGGGAGAAGAGAACAGCCCUUUCGGGAUCACCUUGGGCUCAGAUGCCGGCGUUGGUUGCUAUAAGCUAAUUUUGUUAGGACAACGCCAUGGGAGGAGAGAACGAGGAACAAUUCAGCCUGAGCUGAAUUUUCCUUGAGUUGUGCCCUUGUCCCGUAUCAUCAUUUACUCCCCAGCUAUAGAUUGGUGAAGUAAUGCUUUGUCCUUGCAUUGACUUCUCACUGUUCCUCUCAAUGUCUUGGAAGACAUUCUCUCGUAUUAUCAAGGCACCCUUGCUAGGCAAAGAUUGCAGAAAUCUAUCGGGAGAAUGGGAUCCUUCCCUUCCUCCAUCUGCACUCCUCAGUUGGGGGUCAUCAGCCUCAAACUUUCUAUUACCUUUUGCUGCCCCUGCAUAGUCAUGUCCAUCUCCCUAUCUUGACUGGAGACUUCUGAGACAUAUGCAUCCCAUUCUGUUGACCGAGCCUCUUGUAGGAACUCUUUAAUAGCCAAAGGAGAAUGAGACUCUCCCGUAUCACCCUCUUCUUGCUGUCUCUGUCUCAAGCUACCUUUCUCCACACCCAUACUGAUGAGUGUUCCCCCUUACAGGGAUCCCUUACUGGACGAGGAUUGUAUAGAUUCAGCAGGAGAAUGAGUUCUCUCUCUUUCUCUACCUGUCAUACUCUGCAGCGAGCCAACAAUCUCCACUUCAUCUACCACAAUAUUUUCCAUAUGUUGUUCCUGUAUUGCCUUACAAUUUUCCCUUUCUUUAUUGAUGUCAUGGGAAACAUCAGUUUUUCCUUUCCUUUCCUUUUCUACAAAGAUACUCCUUUCCUUAUUGGUAUCAUGGCAUACAUCAACUUUUCCUUCCUUUCCUACAGAGAUGCUUCUUUCCGCACAUUUGGAGCUCCCUUCCUCAUGCGGGGUUCCCUUCAUGGACAAGAGUUGCGCAACCCUAUGAGGUCCCUCCUUCCCUUUUCCAGCCAUACUUUGUCGUGAUAUCUCAGCUACCUUCCCUUCACCUAUUCCCUUUUGUAUCUUAUCCAAGUUCUCAUCCUUAUCCAACUCAGCCCAUUUGUUGGAUAUAGAGAUUGGAAGUGAACUUAUGGUCUUCCUUAACUUGCUUUGUCCUUGACACCAGACACCCUCUCUGUCAUUUUGAGGAAUGAUUAUAGUACCUUCCGCUCUUGAGAUAGGGGGAGGAGGCAGGAUUUUUCCUAUGAAUGACCAGUGGCAGUGACCAAAGAGUCCACAUUUCCGACACUUCUGAGGUCUUGACCUGUACUUUACCUUAAGUAUGUCGCAUGUUUCCUUUCCAUUUUUCUCUCGAAUCAUUACUUUGAUUUCUCCAGGGAAUCGGAAACUCGGAAUACUUUAAAAACAUACUCUAAGAGCUUUCGGGUGUGAUACAAUAUCCAUAAGCUCCCCAUACAAAAGAAUGCCUAGGACACUGGUUAUUCUGUUUAUCGCAUCCUUAGAGAACAUUCCCGAGAGAAGAUUUCCAAUGAUUGCCCAUUGAAACAUUGUUUCAUACCAUUCUUUGUGAAUGAUAUCCAGUGGGAGCUUGUUGAUUUUAAAAGGAGCAUCGCAUAAUCUAUCCCAUGAGCGAUCACAAGAGCGUAAGUAGUCCGCCACCUCCCUAAACUUUAUAUCAAAAGUAGCAUCGCGGAAUCUUACAAUUUGGAUGCCUCCAUUAACCUAUUUUCUCCUCAACAAACAAAUCAUAGUCCCUAUAGACGGAACAUCCCCCAUUACUCUGAGUGAUAUUCUAAGUGCUUCCCCUGACUUAGGGAGAAGAAGUUGGGACCUCUACAUAGUGCCACAGGUAAACUCCUCCCUAUCCGAGGGUUGCACAAACUGGAGUCUUUUCAGAUCCUCAGAAUCAGGAGUAGACAUCUUUCAGUUGUCCAGUAUUCCUUGGUUGAAAACCUCCUUCUUACUACCCCCUCUCCUUAGAUAGCCCCUACUCUCAGGUUGCUUCCAAGACCAUCUGAACAGAUUCCUUUUUUGUCUCAGGUUUUUUUCAAACUCUUCAUUUCUUCUAAAAUGUCUCCAAAGCGCAGCUGCGCCUUUCAUGGAGACAGACAGGAGUAAGAGAAUUGCCUCCUUAAAGUUUAGUAAAAUACAAACCCAAUACUACACAAAGAGGAAUUGAGGUGGGUGAAAAAAACCCAGGUGUGGUCUAUGCCAUCUUUUAUGUUGUGGUCUAUUCCAUCUUUCUCCGGGAAAAACCCUGCUCUUUAGAGUGUCUCUAGCUAAUAUUUGUAAAAUUUGAAGACUAGUAGGGAGACACAACAAACCAGUGAUUAAAAAGCGACGCUUAAGCGUCGCUUUAAGCGUUUAAAGCGGCAAAGCGGUUUUUUUGGACCGCUUUGCCAAACGCUUUUUUUCACAGCUUUUUUUCACUAAUAAUUUUUUUCACUAGUUGUUACAGGCUGUCCACUAACUUACAGCUAUAUAAAGUUUAUAUUAUAAACAGCUAAGAUAGGUUACAGCUAAAAAAUGUCCAACUGUUUAUAAUAGCUUAACUUUAUAUAUAAACUUUACAACUAAAAAUGUCCAACUGUUUACAACUAAAGUGGUUAAGCUAUAUAAACUUUAUAUAGCUUAACCGCUUUAGCUGUUUAUAUAUGGUAAGAUAAAUCUUUAGCUGUUUAUAUAGCUUUAACCGCUUUAACCGCUUUAACCGCUUUAAGCGACGCUAAAGCGGUUAAAGCUAAAAAAGCGCUCCCUGGAAAUUGGGAGCGCUUUCCGCUUUUUAAAACUAUGCAACAAACCAAUGCAAGAAAAAUAUAUAUCUAAGUGGAAGAGAGCAAAAAUUAAAAAAGAAAAAAAAUCUAGAUUUCAGAAGCCAGAUAUUUUUCCACAGAAUUUUCACUACAGUCUCGUCCAGUCAGCAAGCAAAAGAAUCACAGCAGAGUGAGCCUCAAACAGAAAAGCAGUUCAAGGCACACAAGUUGUUCACGAUCAAGCCUUGCAAAAAUCGCGAGCAUAAAGAAUCACGAACAGAAUCAGAAACGAAGCCAAUCACGGAAUCCCAAAUUGCAUAGAAGUCAAACACCGAAACAAUCGCAGUUUAAGAAACAAUUUUGCAGUCGUUCGCUAAAAUACAAGAAAUCAACACAAUCGCCCAGAAACAAUCGCGGACAAAGAAAUCGCGAGAUGCUAGACACACUGUUAGAAAUCGUGAGUCUCUACAAAAAACAAGCAAGAAAAAAGUCAGAGUGGCAAUCGUGAAGUCAGUAUUGCGAGCCUAGAAAUCACGAGCAGGGGAAUCGCAAUCCAAGAGAGAAUCGCGAGCAGAAGAAUCAUGAUCCGAUUUCAGUCCUCUGCGAUUUUCUUUCUUUCCGUGAGUCAGUUUCCUUCGUUACGUUCUUCGUUUCUCGUCUGGCAUUAUAGCUUUGUCAAGAAAGAAAGAAAAAAUCCCAAUCUAAAUGCCCGUAGAGAUGCAAUCAACAAAGGAUCGCAACAAGCACUAGUCACAAAUCAAAUCGGACUCAAGAAAUCGUAAGCAGCAAAUCAAGAACAAGAAAUCGGGAUCAAGUCGCGAUCAAAUAAUCGCACACAGUAGGACUAAACUUGUAAAUGGUAUACCGGAAUCCGUAUUCGAAUCCGCAUUCGAAUUCGAAUAUGACUAUUCGGAUUCCAGAUUCGGAUUCGGAUACCUAAAUUGAUAUCUGAAUAAAUAUAAAUUUUAUUUCCGGAUAUCCGAAUUUUAAGGUGAUUAAUUGACUAUUAAUUAACUUUAUUAAUGAUGAUUUUAUAUUUUUAUAAUUUUAUUUUAAGAUUUUUAUAAAAAAUUAUCUGGAUUCGGAUUAUCCGGAUAUCUAGAUAAUUUAUCCGGAUUCGAAUUAGGAUUCAGAUUCAUAUUCGGAUUCAGAUUUUCAUAUCCAGAAUUUAUUCGGUCGAAUUCGGAUAUCCGGAUAAUUAUUCGGAUUCGGAUACCUCUGAUUGGGAAUUUGUUCGCGAUUAUCCUACUUAAGCCUGUAUAUCGGUCGGAUUCGGAUCGGAUAGAAUUCCAGUUCGCGCGCACCAGCCAAAAGUCGCAAGAAUCAUAAGCAACUUUCAGAGAGUUGUUAGAAUCGCGUGCAGUCGUGCACGGUUCUGUUCAAAUUUCUAUUGCAUCCAGCAGUUGACGACUUCUAACUGGUCUACUUCUGAUUUGUUUUAGUAUUUGGUUCUUUUAUUUUGAGAUUAUUUUUCUUCUAUAUUUUAAGUAUUAAAAAAAAUAUUUACAUGAUUUUUAGUUAUUCUUACUAAAAUACCAUUGACUCUUUUAAGCCAAAGAAAAGAGUGCUUUCAGAAAAAGCAUGACGCUUUUUUGCUUUUUUAAUUAUUGUUUUAUUAGGGUUGCUGGAGUUCAAUUUUCAACAAUAACACCAAAAUUACUUAAUUACUUGAAAUGGGUCCCACAAUCUUCGCAACACUGAUUUUAUUACUGCUACCUUUGUCCCCCAUAAUUUUUGACUAAUGCUCUUAACCAACCAUCUUUUAUGUUUUUUAAUAAUAUUUUCCUAGAGAAAAAUACAGAUUAUAUUUUUGUAAAUUGCAUUUUAUAUUCCUUUCCCUUAUUUGUUAUAUUUUGGUUGUCUCUUUUAUAUGACGGAUCGUUAUUUUCUUCAAUGUGUUUCACUUUAAAAGAAGCUUAUGUAAUUCAACCUUUUCUUCCCCUUUUAUUUUUAUCCAGGUUCCAAUUGGAAGUGGACGUAGUUCAUAUCCUUACUCUUUGGAUGUUCCGGGAAUCACAAGGCUUCUAUUUUCUAGUAAAAUGAGUAUUCCUACCAAGGCCAUUUCAAAAUCAAUUGUAAGAAUUGUUUCUAUUUUUGGUGUGCACUUGUGAUAAAAAUUUGAAUUUUCCAUAGUUGUGAUUUCCUAGUGAUUUCACUAUUUAAAAAUAUCUCCCAACCUUUUCCAUUUUUAAAGUAGUAAUUAUUUUUUAUUGACGUAUGGGAAAUUUUUUUACAGUUACAUGGACCUAUAUUAGGUGUGAGUUAGUUGUAUUUAGGGGUCCGGUGGGGGAACAUUGGCCUUCCUUUUCCCUUAACUUCUUGAUUAUUCAUUAUUCUUUACAUUAGGCGUUUGUUUCUUGCUUUGUUCAUUAUGUCAGCUUUCUUCUUCUCUGAGACUUUUUUUAAACAAUGUUUUUUUAGUUAGGCUAAAUGCCUAAAAGAUCUUUUUCCAAUGAAUAUAGAGUCACCAAGAUUCCUAUAUAUUUAUCAUUGUGGUUUCUUGCUUGAAUUUUCCAUAAGAUGUUGCGCAGAAAUUAUAGAAUGAUGUGAGGAAUUACAAUUUUUUUUGAAAACAGCCUAAUUUCGAGGUAGAUUAGGUAGUAAGGCUUCCGGUAUGAGAUAUUCAGAUCUAUUUGAUGGUUGAUUUCUCUGAUGGUAGUAUGUUCUUUCCAUCAUCACUAUAAUUGUUGAGAAUUUUUUAAAUAACUGCUGAAUGUAAUGAUCAUCGAUCAAUAAAUAGUCUCAUCGGUUUAUUUAACUUUGGUCCUGGUCAUUAACAGUGUUUCUCUAUAGAAUUCAUGAGAAUAUGGCUGAGCCUAAUAAGUUUAAGUCACUAGUGAGUCAAGGAUGUGGCUGUAACUACGUUAGAUAUUACGAUAUUACUUUAGCCCGUUUUUAUUUUCUUUAAGAAAUCUGACUAUAAUUUGGUGUUACAUUUAUAAGAUAUGUUUUGGUGGAUUGCUAAGUUUCUUUUUUUGUUAUCUUACAAGUUACAUGUGUAAAUUUGUAAAUCAAUGCAGGUGUAUCUUUUGAAGCCAGGAAGUCGGGCACAAGAACACUUGGAUAAACUUCUGGAUCUUUUAGAACAGUUUGUUCCUAAAAAUAAAUACACUAAAUGCUUAGCUAUUUUCCGAUCAUUUAUAAAAAUUUGUGUUUACUUAUUUAUCAUCAUAGAUUUUACCAUCCAUCUAAUGGAGGGCGGUGGACUUAUUCAUUGGAACGUUUUCUACGAAAUUUAAUAAUUAUCUUUGGUAGACGUCUUAAGCAAGAACAACUGUAAGGAAUUAUUUUAGAUAACUAUCUGUGAUACUGUUAUAUUCCUCAUAAAAUAUUGAACCAUUUCUCUCUCAUGGAAUAUGUCAAUGCAGUAACACAAGUGGAAACAAAAUUGCUGAAUUGCAUCUGGGAAAAUCGGAAAGAGCUUCUUUUGUUAAAGCAAUGAUGAAACUAAUAGAACGUGGCCAGUACAGCAAAGUUGAAGCUCUUGCAGACACUGUUGCAUUAGCAAUGUCAUUUUUGUCAUAUGUAGAUCCUUCGUUGAUGCUCCCAUUCAUCACAUCUCGGUUUCAUCUUGCAUUGGCGACUGUAAGGAUUGAUUUUAGUACACCCAAUCAUCUAAAACAAAUUGACUCAUAUCCUUUUAUCUUUUUUUUUGGGAGGGGGGCUCUAUCCAUCCACUCCAAUUAUCAAUGGAAUAUUAUCUUUACCAAAAAAUCACCUAAAACAACUCAUUUAGACUUUAAUUGUCCAGUCUAUUUUAUUCUUAAUUUAUUUAGCUUUUCUCUUUUUGGAUGGUUCUUAUCAGGAUACAGCAACCCACCAAUUGAAGGCUGCUAUCAUAUCAAUAGCCUUUUCUGGCCGCCCAUUAUCUUUUUCUUCUGUUUUCCCUUUUUCUACUGGAUCUAUGGUUAGCAAUGAUACUUCCAAUGAACUUUUGACGAUAGCUGUGUCAAAUGCAUUGCUUGGCAUGGAUGCAAACGAUCCUCCCAAGACUUUAGCAGCCAUGCAGUUACUUUGUUCUGUGUUUUCCAAUGUGAGCCAAGAAUGAUCUUUUUUCCAUAUUAUUCAUUUCUACUGUAAUAAACUCCUAAUGCAUGUUUAUAAGUGCAGCUACCCAUUCUAAGUGAUGACGAUCAGUUAGCAGUCUUAACCAUCAGUUUCUCUGAAUGGCUCGAUAAAUUCUUUUCUCGUUUGUUUUCCCUACUCCGACAUUUGGAACCCAUAAGUGUUUUGUAAGCGAAUCAUUCCUUGAAAUGAACGAACUUAAUUCUUUUCUCAUUCUUUAAAAAGUACUCAUUUUGUUUCUUUCCAUAUUUUAUAGGACUGAGGGUCCACAGAUUUCAACUUCUUCAAGAACUUUUCUUAUUGAAGACCAUAAUUAUUUUAGCAUGUUGGAAAUCCUUUUUGGGAAACUAACUCAAACUUUAUAUAUCCAGGUCUUAAAUUCUCAUUCAGUUAAAUUUGUUUCUUUAACAUGUUUUUUUCAUCUGUAAUUGUCUAAUUGACAAUUUUUUUUUCAAUCUCUUAGGCACUAAAGAAAAUUUCCAAGUUUGUCAACACAAAUGUUCUUCCAGGGGCUACUUCUGAAGUUGGGCUUCUUUGUUCUGCUUGUGUCAAUGCUAAUCCUAAGGAGGCUGCUCGACAUCUUAUAGGCCCAAUUUUAUUGUCUGUCAUAUCAUCUUUAAAAGAGUCCCCUGUUUCAGGUUAUGGAGGAAGAGGAUUUUCUGAUUCAUCAUUUUUUCCAAAGGUUUCUUCCAGACCAUUUCUUUUCUAUCAAAUUGCAAUAUUCAUUACUUAAUUCAAAAAACAUUCCUUUUCAGGCUUCCCUUUCUCCUGCACUCGAGACUUCGCUUGAAUAUCAUCUAAAAAUAUUAUCCCAUGCCAUAAAUUAUGCUGGACCAGCAUUGCUUAGUUACAAAGAAGAAUUAAAAGAUGCAAUUGCAUCUGCAUUUGAAGCUCCAUCAUGGAAGGUUGUAACGAUCAAUUUUUAAAAAAUUCCUUCAAUUUUUUUCCUUUUUUUAACUACAAAUUAUUCUAUCUUUCUAAGUCAGUAGUUCAAUUGUUUUCAUAUUCUUCCAUUCGGUAAGAAUAUGAAUGCGAGAUAACAGUAAAAUUUCAUAAGAAAUGAAGUGGGCAUUUUUCCCAAAUUUACAAAGUAGAGAAAAUAAGAGGCGAGGAAACCUCUAGAAAAUAAGAGACUAUACUCUUAAUGCAUCACAAUCAAUCAGCCCAUUCUUAGGGGUUUAUCUUUUCAGCUGAAACUGAUGUAGGUGUCAGUAACGGUGUUCCUUUUUAUUUCUUCAUGUCGUCUCUGUAGUUUAAGGUGCACCCUCCUGUUUGUUUCUCUCUUGUCAAAAAUACCAAACGGUUACUCCAAUCAGAAUCCAGUAAAAUCUCCAGUAGUUUGACUUCUUGGGGAAUUUUCCUUGGAGGGCGUACAUGUCAGGAGUACAGUUGACUCCUCGAUGUGGAAGUAUUUGUUAGCACAAAAAGAGGAAAUAGGUAAUGUAAUAACGUGUGGGUUAGAUGGGGAUACCUAACAAUGUAUCCAUUUUACAUAAGGAAUAUGAUCACAAAUGAUGAAUGCUCACAAAAUUCUCAAUAAUAUUAUGGUGGGUUAGAUGGGGAUACUUAACAACUUUUAACAAACUUGUCAAAUGGGAAAUAUAAACACCAUCAAUUUGCCUACUAUGCAACAAGGAGGAGACAAUCAGUCACCUUUACUUCAACUGUGAAUACACAAGAGGAAUCAUCAUUAGAAUAAUAGAAGCACUAGGUCAAUCAAUCUGGAAUAUACCUCUGCUUUGUAAUUUUCAAUUACAUCGCAUGCCUUUAAUUAAAAAAAAUCUGGAAAAUAUCAAUUUCUUCAAUCCCUGCAUCCAACGUAGAUAUUUGAUUGGGUGAACUUACAGACACAUGUCAAGAAUUUACUAAGCAAGCACCAUGCUGGGGACUACACUGGAACACCCUAGGCAGCAUAACAUGGCACAUAUCGCUACAAAAACAUACUGUCAGGUCACAAGAGGUGCUCUCAAAGGAAAUUAUAAAGGACUCAAGUCUAUCCUUCAAGAAAGAUCUCUACAAGAAAGAUAGCGCAACAGUGGAAAUACAAUGUUUAAAUCUGUGGGAGGCUUCAUUCCUGUGGCAAACUCCCUAGUUUACGGAUCUAGGAGAAUUGCUAUGUAGGACUAGAGUGAAUGGACAUGCCUCAUUUCCCAUACUAGAAAAAUAUCACCUUUACUAUGUAUUUUACUGGUUUUUUUUUUCAUUUUUAAUGGACUUUAACUUCAUCAAAAAAAAUGAAUGCCACUUUUAACCUAAGAAGUGGAAUUGUAUAUUUGGCAUGUAAAGUUUAUCCCUUUGUAAAUAAAUUUUUUCAAAAUAAAAAGUUAGAUAAUGGUCAAGUAUUGUCUUUUUCAUUUGGAUUUAAAAUAUAUUUGGCAUUUGUUUUUUGGAAAUAAUAAAUAACUUUUUUUACUAAUAACAGGUUAAUGUUGCUGGUGAUAAUCUUCUUCGUACCCUUUUUGGAAGCCUAGUCUUUUAUUAUCCCAUAGAACAAUAUAAGUAAGUUAACAAUUUAACAUACUACAUUGGGAAAGAAGAUGCUUUUUACUUCCUAGUUCCUAGUAGAUUAAUUAUGAUGUAUUUGUCACAUUUUGCAUCUUCAUAAUUUUUCUUGACUUCUUUUACUUUACUAAAUUACUAGAUGUUGCAAACGACAUCCUUUUGCUACUGCACUAGAAGAUUGGGUAUCAUGUAGAGUCGAUGAAGAAGAAAAUAUCCCAUUGCGUCCUAUUUGGCAUAUUCCGUCAAAGGAUGAGCUUUUGUUAGCUAAUGAACUGAUGGACUUGCAUUUUCGUUCUGCUUUGGAUGACCUUUUAAGGAUAUGUAAAAACAAGAUUCAUUCUGAAGCAGGUAAAAUACCUUCAUUUUUCUUUCAACAAUUUAAAUUUUUUUUUUAUUAGAUACUAGAUUCGAUUUCAUUAAAAUAGUUGGUAAUAUUUUUUUCGUAAUUUUUCACUCUUAGUAUAUUUUUUGUAUAGCAGUUUGCAUCUUUUUAUGUCCAUACAAUUCAUAACUAAGUAUUAGAAAUAGAAGACAAAAGUCUGAUUAGAGAUAGGAAGUAUAAUAUUAUGUCAAACUAUUAAUUAAUUGAGUUUAGAAGAUGAGUAGGCGAUUCUAACAAAUCGCCUAGGUCCUCAAGGUGCAACAUCACUCCGGUGAGUCCUUCAUCACCGGAGUUCCACUCUGCAACCUCUUCUUUUUUCUGAUUAAGGCAGUCUGUCAAGUCCUUGAUGUCAAGUGCCUAAUUGAGAAGCUUCGCGAUCAUCUAUUGGGUGGUUUUUCCUGGAGAAAGAUGGGAAAGAACUCACCAAAAGAAUGUUAAGAGGCCAUAGCACCCACCCGGGUUUUUAUCACCCAAUAGAGUAGCCUCCUUAUGAAGCUUCAAGAUCAAGUCAUCUUCUCAUCCAGUUCGGGAUGAGCUCCCUUAACUGGAAUUUUUAAGAGUCUUGUGUUAGCAUUUGUGUGAGAGAGAUGAAGUAGAGUGUUUUCUUUACAGAGUAAAUCUUUUCAGAGGUAAAGACAAUGAAUGGAGAAUCAGGUUGGGGUAAUUUUCAAAGGAUGGAGGAUCUCAGGAGCAAGAGCAGGUCAAGGGGAUAAGAAAAUAAAGAUUUUCAAAGGGAGAGGGAGCAAUUUCAGGAGCAAGAGCAGGUCAAGGGGAUAAGAAAAUAAAGAUUUUCAAAGGGAGAGGGAGCAAUUUUGGAAGAAGUUUUUGAAAAGCAUUGUCACCCGCAACACACAAAUGGAGGGAGAAGGCCCCUUACUAUGGAAUGCUAUUGGGUGUCUGUCGUGGCAUAUAUGGACAGAAAAAAAUAAAAGAUACAGACAACACGUUAGGCCUCCUGAGGUAGUCCUUAAGGAGGUCAUUAAAGACAUCAGUCUCUCCUUUGAUCCGGAGUGUUACAAAAAGAGUUGUCACCCUUUGGAGACAUCUAUGAUGGAAGUAUGGGAGACCAACCUUCUGUGGCAGUGUAUCUAGUUACUGUAUAACUAGACUACAUAGCUAAUGGGAGAAAGCCAAUGAGCUUCUUGCUCAUUUUUUUUUACUUUUGUUUUUUUAUUUCUAUACUCUAUGUAACUUGGGUAUUGCCCUUAUUUUAAUGAAAUUUAAUUGCUUUCAAAAAAAUAAAAAUAAAGGAAUUUACAAAGCGUAAAUGAACCACAGAGAGCUUGAACCUAUCACUCAAGGGUAUAUAGACAAAUGGAAGCUCAAAAAUCCAGAGCUAGGUGACCUCAGAGGUCUGGAAUUCGUCCAACCAAUUGAUCCAGACCGUCCGGAGGUAGUCAUCUUCCAGCCACAGCAACUUGAGGAGAGGGCUGGAGAAGACACACCUACAGGAUCGGGUGAAUCAGAAUCAGUUCAACUACCUUGAUACCAUAGUUUUAAAAGCGGCGCUUAAAGCGCCGCUUAAAGCUAUAAAAGCUGAAAAGCGGUUUUCUAGGACCGCUUUUCAGAUCGCUUUUUUUAGCGGGUUCUCGGGUCGGGUCGGGUAAUGGGUUGGGCCAACCCAUUACCCGAAAUGGAAGAACUUAAAUUCUUUCAUUUCCCUUUCUACUCUUCUAACAAACCCUAACCCUCACUUUCACUCACACUUCUUACCCAAACCCUAGACCUCGCCUAGAUAAUAUAAAAAAAUCAGGUGCUCGUCUAGAUGAUUAGGGUAAAUGAUUUCAUAGUUUUUUUCAAAUAACUUGGAUGUAUUUGUUUUGGAUGUGUAUUUUUAAGAUGAUGGGCAAAUAUUGACAGGUUUAUAUAUAUUUUAUGUUUAAUCAUACAUCAUACAUGUACAGGUUUUGAAAAAAUUAUAUAUAUAAAUAGGGGUAUAUUUGCAAUUUUUUAAAAAAUUGCAUUUAUUUACAAUUAUGCCACUGUCGCUUUUUUCGCUUAAAGCUAUAAAAGCUGAAAAGCGCUCCCUGGAAAUUGGGAGCGCUUUAAGCUUUUUUGAACUAUGCUUGAUACUAAAUAGAGCAUUGGAAGGAUCCCUCUCGUUCAUCAUCGAAGAGAACAGUCCGGCGGUUCUACACAUCCCGCAGGUCCAGACCGACUCAGUCCAACCCGACCCGCUAUAUCAACAUGACCAGACUAGCCAGAUCAUGACAGGUACGUCUCUAAAGAUGUUGUUAUGCAAUUCUCACAUCCCACCUGACAUCUCUACUGAUAACUUAGAGGAACAGGCCAAUAGACACACGUUAGAGGGUACCAACACACCUUCUUUGAAAAAGCAUAAACCCUGAUUCAUAGUUCAAAAAAGCGAAAAGCGCUCCCACUUUUUAGAAAGAGCUUUUUUGCUUUGGGAGCUUUAAGCGUAAAUAUCUUGUAAAAGUAUCUUGUAAAAAUACAUAUAGUAAAAUUACAUAUAAUCCUAUAUAAAUACAUAUAAAACCUAUAGAAAAUUAAAAAUAUCUUAUAAAAGUAUAAAAUCACAUGUAAUAGAACAUUAAAGAUUUAAUUCAUACGACUAAAAUUAAGUUGGAUUUAAUCAUAGUUGGAUUUAAUUUUUAAUUUAAGUUAAAAUAAAGGUGUAGAAUAGGCAAAACAAGUAUAUCAGGUGAUUUUUUAAUAAAGAAUAGGUGCAAUUGAAUAAUUGGGCGGAUCUUUACCCGAACCCGUCCGAUUACCCGCUCUAAAAAAGCGUUGGAAAAAGCGCUCCUCCAAGAGAGCUUUGGAGCUUUAGCGCGCUCUUAAAGGGCCUGAUCAAUGAUACAUCCCUGCCCAUGGCAGAAAAAGAAAACAGCCCACUAAUCUGUCAUAACAUAUAGUAUCUUCUGAUUAAUAAUAACAUGAGGGACCGUGAUAAAGAGAUCUCUCCCUCAUAUAGAACCAAUAGGUAUGAGGAAGAGGCCAAAUCCUCUCACCACAGUUGGGAAAACAAUGUAAUACCUGAAAAGGAGGAUAUUAUUUCAGAGGGGGAGGAGAUACUCUCAGAAAUUAAUUAAAUGGGUAAUAUCGAUUUAUUUCAUACUCCUCCCCACCCAUGGAUUAAUAAAGAGGUGGCAAAGAUUCCAUUGGAUUUUUAUUCACAGGUAGAAGGUAGUAGGGAGGUGGCAGAAUUUCUUCUGGACUCCAACCUAGGUAUUACUCCUACCAAUACCCUACUGACUAUUGUAGACAUGUCUGAGAUCUCACUUGGUAUAAUCUACAUGGUAUUGAGGAGGGCUUUAAGCUUAGUACUACCACCCCCAAUAAUCCACUGAUCAAUGGGGAGAGGGCAGAAACUUCUCAGGAUUUAAAUCCACAUGUUAAUGUUGAAAAUAUUGACCCAACCCAACCUUGGGAAUUUAGUCUUCAUCCCAAAUUCUUCAGUCUAGCCACCAAGAUUAGAAAGGCAAGAAAUUCUACCCUGAAACUCCUAAAUGGCGAGGGUAAGGUGGUAAUAAAUAGAGCUUAACUUGAAAAUAGAGGUAAUACCUACUUUAAGGAAAUAUAUAAAGCUUCUCCUUUCCCAGAUUUACCCCCCCCCGUGCCUUUCCCGAGGCUGGUUUUUCCUGAUAUGUUGAUGUAGACUUUACUGUUGGAUUGAAGUUCAAUUUAAAAAAAAAAUGCAGAUCGACAGUGGGAAAUUUAGAGAACUAAAUUUCAAUCAAGGGGAGAUGAUGCUCUUGAGUUUUAGAUUGGAAUCCACCAAAUUUGGUGAGAAUAUGAGAGAAUGAAGAACAAUCGAGAUUCGAGAAAGAGAAGAAAGUAGGCAAAAUAAUACCUACUCUCAUUGUGUGUUAGUAUUAAAAAUAAUUAACUAGUUUCCUUUUGGGCCCACUCUAAUUUAUACUCUCAUUGUGUGGGAGUGGAAAUUCCACGAUAAGAGUUAGGCUGGUGCCCAUUAGAAGAAGAGGGUCUUGGCCCGAAUAACUCAAGCCAAGAAUCAGUCAUAGAGAUGUAAUAUCCUACAUCACAUCUUUCUUCUAUUGUACCAAAAAAUACAUGAACUCAUUUUUGUUGUCCUGAACUAUGUUUUAUCAUGAACACAAACACAGUUAUUUUAUAUUUGUAACAAUCUGUUCAUGUUAGUGGGUGCAUUUAUCCUUCAAUUGAUUUAUAUGAAUAAUGAACUCUCUUUGGAUGAUGUAGUAUUCUCAAGUCUGACAUACUCUUACUUUUAGAGAUCACCUUUACUUUCCUCAUUUGCAGAGUUAAAAACUGUUAUGCAACCCAAGGUUCCGGGUGCGCGCGCAUAUGCGAUGAUGCGCCCCCAGAGGGAGAUGCGCCAGGCGCAUCUCCCUUAGCCGGAUCCAGGUAAAAUCCGACCCGGAUCCAAACCUGUUUUAAGUUAUUUAAAUAACUUAAAACAGUGUUUUGUUUUUAUUUUAAAAAAAAUGCCAAAAAAAAUUUUAUUUUAAGACCUUAUAAAUUUUUAGCAUAAAAAUUUAUACAUUGGUCCAUGAAAAGAGCUAUAUUAUUUUUAAUAUAAGCUCCUCCCACUCUGUAGACUUCAUAUUUGUUUUAGACAAAAUGAAUCUUUAUUUAUAUACCAACCUUCUUUGUGUUUUUUGAAUUCUAUCGAUGUGGGACUAAAAAAGUGUGGUUAAAUAAAUUAUUAUUAUAGAGUAUUUUUUAUGUUGUAGAUGUAUUAAAGAAGGCCCAGCCCAGCCCAUUACGUUAUUAUUUUUUAAAAGUCUCUUGGAUUAUUUAUUAUUUUCUUUUUAUAAAAGCCUCUCUUUUAUAAGUUUAAAGAAACCCUAGCCAUUUAUAGAGCUAUAUUAUUACGAAAAUACCCCUAAAUGGUUAACCGGUUUUUAAACCUUGGUGUUACAAUGAAUUAUGGGUGUUAUAAUAAUUAAUAAAUAUAUGUAUUAUAAUAAUUUUUCUAUCUAAUAUAUUUUAAACUAAAAAAUUUAAUUAAUAUAAUUUAGAUAUAUAAAAAAAUAUUAAUUUCCUAUAGUUUUAUAAAUAUUUACGAAAAUGUCACUGGCGCAUCGCACAGAGGCGCAUCUGGAAUCUUGAUGCAACCAUUACACCUCUCCCUACAAUCUAUCUUAAAGACUGUAAAAUAGUUGAUAGUAUUUGUUUCUUUUUUACGUGCCCUUUUUUUCUGCUCUUGAAGCAUAUUGAACUAAUAAAUUAUUUGAAUUUUCGUCAGGAAAUGAGAAAGAUCACUUGAAAGUGACGUUGCUUCGCAUUUUAUCAUGUUUGCAUGGUGUUUUAUCAUGCUUGCCUGAUCUUCUCCCUUCUUUUGAAGCUGGAAAGUCUAGUGAUGAUUAUUUUUUGAUUGCUGGUGCCAUUGGUGCAUCGGUUGCCAGCAGAGAACUUAGAGAAAAAGCUGCAAAAGAUAUGCAUGUUGUUUGCAAGUAAUCUGAUACCAUUUAUUCAAAUUAUCUGUUCUGUUUUUUGCUUUGUUAUUCUCAUUGGAAGUGUAAAUUCUUUCAGAUAUAUGUUGGAUGAUAGAUCAGAUGAUAGCAUACUUUUAAUACUAGUGAUUCGAAUAAUUGAUGCCUUAGCAAACAUUGGUAUGCUCUCUCUUGGACAAGUAAAGAUAUAUUGUCUUUGUCGAUAUGCUUGUUUCUCUUCAAAAGUCUGUUACGUUUUGUUUUUAUUUUUCACAGUUUUCUCAUGUCAACCAAACAGGAAGUUUGGAGAGUGAUGGCUUGUCAUUUCAUGCACAGGCCCAUAAAGUAGAAUCUGCGUCCUUAUUAGAGCCUUCAUUUAAUUUUAUCACACCUUCUCAUGCUAAAGGGAAAAAAAGGUAGAUGUUCUAUAAUGGUAUAAUUUUGUUUUCAUUGCUGUUAUUGUUUCUAUUAGAAAAUUACCCUAUAGCUAUAAUUUUUUUUAUUUGUUCUAUAGGCCACGGUGGGUGUUUAUUGACAAUGUUUACAUGCACAAUAUGUUGAGAUCGUCACAUUCUUUGUAUCAUAAUUUUGACAUAGAUAGUCAUCUUUCACCUCCAGAUCUUCUGAUUUCUUUGGCAGAUGACCUUUUACUCCUAUCUUUGCAAAGAUAUGAAACUGUUCGCUUGUAAGUUUUGUUUUCCAUUUCCAUAAUAUUCUCUCUCUCUAUAAGUGUUAUCACAACAGAAUUAAGGUGGGGGAAUCAAAUGAUCGACCCCUCUAAACAUAUAUUAGAUAUGUUUAUAUACAGGGUUUGGACGAGAACUUAACUGAGUGUCUAACCAAUUCAGUUAAGUCUCGAUCCACACUAACUAAUUAUAUCUAGAAAUAGGGAUUAAAGUGUUAUUAUAAACAAUUAAAAACAUUGAUUGUAUUUAUAUCACUAAUAGCCCCCCUCAAAUUCAUUUGGGAUUGCUGAUGAGAUUGGCUCUUAGCUCCAUGAGUUAUGCUGGCUUCAAAACCUUAGUUAGUGUGUCAGCUUUUUACAUAGUGUUUGGAAUGUGAAUGACUUUAAUAGUCUUCUUUUCCACCCUCUCUCGAACAAAAUUAAAAUCAAGUGCAGUAUGUUUGAUUUUAGUGUGAGACAGGAUUUGUAGCUAGUUGAGUUGCCCUCAAGUUGUCACACCACAGUGCAUGGUGCAUGUGGUGUAUUGACCUUCAUUCCCAUUUCCAUAAGCAGAUUAGAGACCCAAUCAACCUCUGCAGUAGCAGCAGUACCAGUAAUAGCCCUGAACUCAGAUUCAGUGCUAGACCUUGAGACAAUGGGUUGUUUUUGUAAACACCAAACAAUUAGUAACUCUCUCAUAUACAAGAGAUAUCCAGUUUGGCUCUUUCUGUCUGGUGAGUUAGAAGCUUAAUCUGCAUCAUUGUAGGCAGUAAUUUCAUUAGAACAAGUCAUUUUGAGAACAAUACCCAUAUUAUCUGUGCCAGUUAGGUACCUCAGCACUCUCUUCAGUAUUUGCCAAUGGAUUUCCUUAGGUUUUUCCAUGAACUGAACUAGUUUGUUCACUGCAAAGGCAAUAUCAUGCCUGAUUGUAGUGAGGUAUUGGAGUGAACCAACUAGUUGUCUAUACUUGGUGGCAUUCUUAAUCUGUUCUGCCUUAGAAUAGAACUCAGUGUUAGGUUGCAUUGGUGUAGCAAUGGGUUUCAAAUUUUCAUAACCAUGCUUGUUGAGAAAAUUAACCAAAUACAACUGUUAGUCUAAGAAUAGACCUUUAGUAUGCUUUCUAAUCCUGAUUCUCAUCAAGUAUUCCAAAUCUUCACAUACUCUCACAACAAAUUCUGACUUCAAAUCAUUCAAAUAAUUCUCUAUACAUUUAGCAUUUGAACCUAUGAUCACCAUGUCAUCUACAUAAACCAGAAUAUAGAUGACUUCCUCACCUGAUUUUAUGAAAAAGAGAUUCAUCAGAUAUACUUGCCACAAAGCCUUUCAGACAUAAGAAAUGUUUUAAUUUACGAAACCACAUUCUUAAAACCUGCUUUAAUCCAUACAAAGCAUUCUUCAACUACACCUGCCUCGGGAUACCAGAUUGAUGAGGAUUUAGUUGGCUUUUGGACAUCUUACUGGCCAAACCAUCAUAAUUGAGUGUUCUACCAUGAGUUGGUGGAAACUUGGUGAUGCUCAAUUUGUUGAAGUAAUUGAGCACUCCAUGCCCUUUCCUUGGAUAGGGUAUAGUUUUAUAAAAACCUUGACAUGUCUUCUUAGGGAUGUUUAGUACAAAGAAUAUUUUAUAAUAUUUUUAAAAUAUUUUAUAAUAUUCAUAAAAAGUACAAAGAAUAUUUUAUAAUAUUUUUAACUACACUUUUUUAGUCCCACAUCGAUAGAAUUCAAAAAACACAAAGAAGGUUGAUCUAUAAAUAAAGAUUCAUUUUGUCUAAAACAAAUAUGAAGUUUGUAGGUUUUUGUGUACUGUCUUCCUCAUUUCAUCUUCGACAUUGCGUGGUUAUUUGGUAUUGUUCUUUUGUCUCUACAGGAUUGCUAGCAGAACUCUUCUUCAAAUAUUGAAACGAUGGCCAUCACUUUUAGCCAAGUGUGUUCUCAGUAUUAUGGAAAGAUUAUGUGAUAAAAACACACCCGAACAUAUCGUGCUCGGAUCUUGUUCACUUCUUACAUCACAGACUAUACUCAGAAAUUUGACAACGGUGAUCUACCUAUCUCUUUUUAGAAUGUUCGAUUAAAUAGCUUAAUUUUUAUUUAUUUUUAAUUUACAAAGACAACUCUGUUAUUUAAUCAGGACACAAAGGUAUUUGGUGAUGUCCAAUCCGGGAGAGCAUCAGUAUUCUCAACUUUUCUUUUGGGUAUUCUUUCAAGGUAUGUUUUUCUCUAUAUAUUUUGGUAAGAAAUUUUAUAAUACUAUAACGAAAAUACACAGAUAUUUGAUUUUGUUUUACAUUUGUUUUAUUCUUUAAAGCUCUCAUCAUGAUUCUUUGAAAUCUCAAAAAGCCAUCAUAGAGGUAUUGGUUUUCUUUAGAACUAAAGUUGUUAAUGUUAUUUGAUAUAUUCAUGAAAUUUAUUUGAAUCUAUCCUUCCAGGUCUUUAUUAAAUACAAUGUUCACUUUUCUGGACCACCAAAAUCAUUCUUUGGGGCCACAACUGUUCCUUCCGAUCACUCAGAAAUUUCAGAUUUGAUUUUAAAAAUUAGUUCUAUGGGCUUUGAUUCCAAUGGAUUGCACUGGAGGUAUUUAUCUGGCCAUUAGAUCAUUGGCAUAAUUUAUAUAUUAUUUUAUUUUUGAAUUUAAAUUUGUUUAACCUUAUUCAAAUUCGGACACCUAUUUUACUAUCCGGGGUGUUCCUCCUGCGAGGUUUGCUGGAAGAAGGGAAGGAAUACUAGACGUGGAAAUAUAAAAUCAUCUAUUUUUGUCUUUUAGUGCAGCUCACCCCUGAUUUUCUUCUCUUUUUACGAGAGCGUAGAUUUUACUAUUUUAGUGUAAUAUAAUUUAUCUAAUUCAUUAAUAUGCAGUCAAGUGAAAUUAAAGAAAUCAGCCAAAAUGUUCUUGAGCGUAAUAAAUGAUUUAACAUUGGCUUUGGAAAAGCAUAGGAUAUUAAACCUUAUAGUUAGUCAUAGAGCUUAGUUUCUGUAAUUUGAUUACUUGUUAGCCUUAGCCCUUAGUUAUUUCUUUCAUGAAAAUCAAAAUUUACAAAUUGCAAAAAUAGGUAUUAAGUUAUUAGACUUCUAAACAGUGUUUAUUUCUUGCAUAUGGUUAAAAUGAGCAUUCCAAUUAUUGCAACGUGCAUAGUAUUUGUAUAUUGGAUAUGUAAUAACUAAUAGUAGAUGUGUUAUUCUUUUAGGUAUAACCUGAUGGCUAACAGAGCACUUCUGCUUUUGACAUUGGCUACAAAAAACAAGUCAAAUGUACCAUUAGAAUUUUUCAGCAAAACUACUGGUUAGUUAACAGUUUAUUAAAUUCUUUGAUUUUUUAGCAAACUAGUCUAUGAUUAUUAAGUUGAUCAGAAUUAUCUGACAUUGAUCAUUUUUGCAUUAUCUUUAUUUAUUUUGAUAUAAACAUAUGUUUUUUACCCACCAGGACACUUCUUAAAGAAUUUGCAAAGUGAGCUUCCUCAGUCACGGGUGCUUUCUGUCUCUGCAUUGAAUUGUUUGUUAACAGGAUCAGCCCACAAAUUUUUCUGCAAUGAACAGAAAAUCCCUUACCUUUCUAAUGUCGAAGAUCAUGAUUCCUACACACCAAUUUUAGAUGAAAUCAUUCGGAAAGUUGGAUUCUUUGAAAAUACUCUGAGUAGUCUUUCACACGUCCACGUCGUUUCUGAUGAGGGAACAUCUAAUAAAGGGAAUAUUGGGGCUAUUCAAAGUAGUGUAGAUAAAACAAUCACUUUUUUCUACUUUGACUUCUCUGCUUCAUGGCCAAGGACUCCCAAUUGGACAUCUUUAUUAAAAACUGAUUCUUUUUAUUCAAGUUUUGCACGGAUAUUUAAACGACUUGUGCAAGAAAAUGGACCUUCUGUUAUCCUUGCACUUCAAAACACACUAGAAAGUUUUUCAAUUUCAGACGAAAAGUCAAAGCAGUUUAUUGCUGCUGAGGCCAUGGCUGGUAUACUUCAUUCUGACAUUGUUGACCUUUCUAAAUCCUGGGAUAGUUGGAUAAUGGUCCUUCUGCAGAAGAUUAUCUUAUCAUCAGCUGCAGUUUCCACACCAGAGUGGGCAGCUUGCCUGCGUUAUGCUGUUACAGGGAAAGGAAAAUAUGGCAUGCGGGCUCCUGUACUAAGGUAUAAAAUUUUGGAUUGUUUACUCAAUCCUUUACCAAAGACAGUAGCCACAAAUGUGAUAUCCAAGAGAUAUAUCUUCCUUUUGUCUACAUUUCUAGAAAUCUCCCCAACCAGGAUGUCCACUCAAGAGCUCCAGUAUCAUAAUAGACUUAUUGAAGAAUUAUUACAUAACAUGAGUCAUUCAUCAGCACAAGUAAGCUCUACCGUCCGAACAAAAUAUUUUCUACCAAAUAGUAUAUUUUUCUAUCUGCAUUUAUGGUUUUUUUACUUUCUAACGCUAUUGGAAAAUGAUUGUGCUCUAUUUGUAUAUUUUAGACAUUUGGUUAACACUUAUGCACUUAACAAUUCAUAAUAAUGUAGAUAAUAUAAGAUCAAUCAACAAAAGCCUCUCUAUCUUAUUGUUGGGAAAUACAAAAGGAUAUUAUCAUCUUUUUUUAUCAUAAUUCCUUUCGAAAACCCAAUCAUAUUCCGACGGAGAACAAUGUUAUAACCACAUGAGAGUCCAGUUCGUUGAGGUUUGGUAGAUAAUAUAAUGAUUAAGAUCAUAGUUUUAAAAAGCUUAAAGCGCUCCCAAUUUCCAGGGAGCGCUUUUUUAGCUUUAAGCGCUUUAGCGCGCUUAAAGCGAAAAAAGCCUGUACAUGUAAUUUUUUUAAAAAUUGCAUAUAUACCCCUGUUUAUAUAUAUAAUUUUUUCAAAACCUGUACAUGUAUGAUUAACCAUAAAAUAUAUAUAAACCUGUCAAUAUUUGCCCAUCAUCUUAAAAAUACACAUCCAAAACAAAUACAUCCAAGUUAUUUGAAAAAACUAUCAAAUCAUUUACCCUAAUCAUCUAGACGAGCACCUAAUUCUAUAUUAUCUAGAGGCUCUCUGAUAAUUUCCGCAAUUUCAUUCAUGGCAUAACGAUAUUGGGAUUCAGUUCCCAUAUCUGCAAAUGAAGUCCUCUGUUUCUCAUAGGUAUAUCCACGGGUUUGCCCACUCCUUGUAGACGGUCCCGGUUGUUCAGCAGCUCCUGAAGCUUCCUCCACUUGCGCCCAUGUUAGUCCAUCUGCCUCAGUGUAGACGAACUCGUCGCAUGCCCCUUCUACGCCUGUCAUCCACUCGCUAUUGAAGUUCAUCGAGUCGACUCUUAUGGGAUCGUAUUUGCCACUCGCUUUCAAUUCCAAUUGUCGGUGUCGUUGUGUACGUUCCUCUAAUUUCCUGUUGUACGUUAUGUACACCAGACGAUCCAAUUUUUUGGAAUUCAAUCGAUUCCUUUUCCUCGAAUGGAUCUGCAAAUAGUAUAUUAGGGUUAUGGUAAUGACCUAAUAUCUGAAAAAUAACCCUAAUUUACAAAUGAUAAUUAAGUUCUUACGUGUUCAAAUAAACUCCAAUUUCUCUCACAACUAGAUGCAGAGGCACAGAGAGCUAAGAUUCGCAUUGCGAAUUUUCUUAGUUCUUUGGUGGAAGUUCCAUAAGUACGCCACCACGUAACUACAAAGAAAAUCGUUACUUGACAGACAUGAUUAAUUGUCAAUCAAAGGAGAAAUCAAAUAUUUACUUGGUUCGGCCUUGCCAACUGACAAUUUAGCGAUUGAGGAGCCAAAUCUUCCUUGUCUUGGCUUGUACAAGUCAGUAUCCUUCACAACUUUCAUUCUAAUUUCUUCAUCAUCAAUCAUCUUCUCCAUACAAUCUUCAAAAGCCUCCUCAUAAGACGCCACUUCGUCAAUACCGGCCGUACUACAAUCGAUAAACAAUGAAUUUAGUGAUAGUGAAACAUUAGUCAUAACUAUCAUUAUGAAAUACCUUCUUAUCUUGUAGUAGACCACUGGAUUGAGGAAUGCUGCUGUUUUGAAUAGUGGAGAUUGAAAGUGUUUUGACCAACGAAUUUUCAAUAUUUUGAAAAUUGGCAUAUAGUCGCGUUCGAUGUUCUUGAAGUUUGUCAUUAUCGCUUCCUUAGCCUUCAGAAAUGCGGCCGCUAGAGAUGACAAAUUCGGUUUAGAGUCACUAUCUACCAAUCUCAGACGGUCUUAAGACUUCACAUUGUUCGUGCAAGCUCUUUAAGGUAAGGUAUGAGGUUGCAAAAUGAGUUACCCCCGGCCGAACCAGUUCUUUUCCUUUGGUCGCCUCUAACCAUUUGCUAUGAAGUGUUGAAUGGUUGUAAACGUGAUUAGUGAUCUUCAAGGCAUUUCUUAUACAAGUCUUGUAUUGCGGGAUCUUUCCUAUGUCCUCGAGAAUCAGAUCCAUGACGUGUGCGGCACACUGUGUCCAGAAUAGAUGCUUGUAUUUCUCCAUCAAAAUUUUUCCCGCACGAACGUAGUUUGAAGCGUUGUCCGUGCAAAUCUGUAAAUUUCAAAUUGUUUGAAAUUAACAAAAAAUAAAAGAUGGAAUUGUAAUUAAAGAUUAGUACCUGUACGACAUGUUGAGGCCCAAUUAUUUUCAUUGCAUUCUCAAGACCGUCUGCAAUGAACUCAGCCGUCUUAUCUUGGCUAGAUGCAUCUAUUGAGUGCAAGUAGAAGGUUCCCGCAACCGAAUUGACCAAGAAGUUAAUAAUAUUCCUUCUACGCCGAUCUGUCCAGCCAUCAGACAUGAGAGCACAACCACUCUCUAUCCAAGCUUCCUCAUGUUUCUUUCUGAUCAUAUCAAUAGUCUUAGUUUCGUUGUUCAGUAACGGAGUUCCAAGACUAUACGAAGUUGGUGGUUGGCAAUUUCUACCAAACCUUCCGAUCGCUUCCAUCAUACACUACAAUUCAAUAUUAUAUUACAAGUCAAUUGUAUUUGAAAUUGUAUUGAAUAAAGGAAGAAUGGGUAAAAUUUUUACCUCAAAUGAUUCACUUUUUGCCACAUGAAAAGCAAUGGAGUUGUCAUAAAAAAAAUUGGCAAUGUACUCGUGUACAUGUUUCGUCUCUUGUUUCUUCAAUAGAUCUUCCAUUGUACUCCGAGCGAUUGAGAAUCCGGCAAAACAGGCCGGAUUUCGGCCAUCUUUUUUUCCCCUUUCAGACGGCCUGAAGGUGGGGGAAGUGACCGAAACUUUGAAGAAGUCCUUACCAGUAAUAGGCGUGCGGAUGCAGGGAGAAAACGGCUGGAAAAAGGGAACUCUGGCGACGGUUGGGCGAACUCCGGCGACGGCGAGGUCUAGGGUUUGGGUGAGAAGUUUGAGUGAAAGUGAGGGUUAGGGUUUGGGUAGAAGGAAAUGAAAGAAUUUAAGUUCUUCCAUUACGGGUAAUGGGUUGAACCAACCUGUUUACCCGACCCGACCUGAGUACCCACUUUAAAAAAGCGAUCUGUAAAGCGGUCCAAGAAAACCGCUUUACAGCUUUAAUCGCUUUAAGCGCCGCUUUAAAAACUAUGAUUAAGAUAAUGUAUUGUGAUCUGAACUCUUUUUUAUGGAAUUACAGAUUUUUCAUUAAAAAUGAAGAGUCGGUACCUGAAAAUUACAGGAGAUAAGAAACAAAAUACAGGGAUAUGAGUAAACUCAUUACCGCCAUCUUAUAGGCUAUGAUAUCUAGUAAUAGAGUAACUAGACAAGUUGCGUCAGGAUGUUAGUCUUCUCACUUUAUAGAUUAGUAAUCUUCAGUGGAUGUCAACGACUCUUCUUAUAAUCCUCUGGUCUGAAGGAAAGGCUGAUGUCUCUUAUGACUUCCUUCGAUACUAUUUCUUGAGGCCUAAGUGUGUGUUGCUUGAACUUCACGUUCCUUUCAGUCCAAAUAUGCUAAGCAAGUGUUCUUAUAGAGUUUAUAGAAGGCCCUAAGGUGGUGAAUGAUGGGUGAAUUUCUGGCAUGCUUCUCUGAAAUCUCUUAAUCUGAUAUUCAGGUUAGCUAGAGAUGGAAUCAGAAUAUUUAUAGUAGCUUUCACCUUCUAUAAGGAGCGAUUGAGAAACUCCGAACUCUAUGAAUGGGAGGAGAAUGGCAUGGGAGUUACAUUUAAGGCAUGUUUCUGAAAUUUGCACUCUCCAUUUUUUUAGUCUCACGAAGGUAUUAAGGAUUUAAGGUGCUUCCAUAUUAGUCUCCAGAGUAUUAUUGAGAAUUUGGUAGGCAUGUGUGACCAGAUCCCUUCUGCAAUCUAGUCCUUGUGAUCUCUGUACUUAAUAACCUCAGUGAUUUCCCGUAUAUAUAAUCUACCUACACCAACGGAAUGCUUACUCAGUGAUUUUGAUCCUUACUCUAAGUUAUCAACCAGCAAUCAACACUACAAUGGCUCCAAGAAUGCAAAUUCCAACACCAAUGUACAAGAACUAUGGAUGAACAUCACAAGGAAUGAAGGUACGAGAAUGCCUACCUCUGAAGCCCCAAUCAACAACCACUAUCCUUUCAUGGCUUUCAACUUUUGGAAUAGACUCAGAAUCCCAAUAGAAGAGAUGAAAAGAAGAAGCAUCCUUCAUCCCAACAACCACAAUGAAAGAAGCAAUAGGGCUACCCAAGCUGUUGAGGAGCACCCUGUGGAAGAAUCCAUUGAUAAAUGGAAAGGAAAUCUAUUAAUCCAGUGCUUGGAGAUCUUAGAAGACUCCAAUUCAUCACCCCACGUGAUGCCAAUCGCCUAGAGUUUCUCGCCUCAAGAGGACCUUAAUUGAGCCGCCAAUAUAUUGGAAAAUAAUGCAAUUCAUGUUGAGGUUUAAGUCACUUGGGAGAUAUAAGGAGUGUGGAGACUGUUUUGGUUUAAUUGGUACCCGUUAAUGGGCCAAUUAAGGAGUUAUUAUCUUGGACCGGCCCAAGAUAAUAACACUAUAUAUAUAUCUCAAUGUAGAGACUCAAAACCUAUCUUGCAUGUAAUAGGUUAAACACUAUCAAUAUACACCAUAUAGAGUGGAUGUACACCAAUUUUGGGUGGAACCACUAUAAAAUCUUGUGUUCUUUUUCUCUCCAAAAUCACUAUCAAUCGUGUGAGUAUUGAUCUAGAUUCAGAUCUAGAUUGAAGAGAGUGAUUAAUCUUAUCUUCAGAUCUGGAAAUAACAAGUGGUAUCAGAGCCUAGGUUACUGUAGCGGCGAAAUACUGUAGCAACGCACACACUGUAGCAAUGGGAGGAGAAGGGAAGAUUAGGAUCGAGAAAUUCGAUGGCAAGGACUUCAUGUAUUGGAUGAUGCAGAUUGAGGACUACCUGUACCAACGCAAAUUGUAUCGAUCACUCAAGGGGGUGAAACCAGAUGAGAUGACCGAUGAUCAAUGGUUGGAGAUGGAUAGGAUGGCUCUAAGUUUGGUGAGAUUAAGUCUGACCAGAUCUGUUGCUCUUGCUUGUGCUGCUGAGAAGACUACUAUGGGGCUGAUCAGCAAGCUUAAGGAUAUGUAUGAAAAACCAUCAGCUUCCAAUCAGGUAUUCUUAAUAAGGAAAUUAUUCAAUUUGGUGUUAAAAGAAGGUGACUCAGUCACAGAACAUAUUAAUAUGUUUACUGCAAUGAUCGGGCAAUUAUCCUCUAUUAACAUUGUCUUUGAGGACAAGUUACAUGCUCUUAUAUUGCUAUCUUCACUACCUGAUAGUUGGGCAGGACUGAUCACUUCAGUGAGUAGUGCAAUGUCCAAGGAGGAGCUGAAAUUAGAAGAUGUAAAGGAUCUUCUAUUGGGAGAAGAAUUGAGGAGGAAGAAUAGUAGCCAUCAAGGAGCAAGUUCCUCAGCUUUGUUAGUUGAAUCAUCUGGAAGGGGCAGAUCAUAUUCAAAGUCUGGUAGGACAGGGAACAGAUCUAAAUCCAGAGGUGCUAACAGAGCAAGAAAUGCUGUUUGCUGGAAUUGUGACAGCAAGGGUCACUUUAAGAGAGAUUGCAAGGCUCCUCUUAAGAAGAAAGGCAAGGAGGAGUAUGAAACUCUUGGGAGCUGCUCUGAAAAUUCUGAUGAAGAAGUGCUGAUUUGUUGUGUUGAUUCUGAUGUAGAAUCAUGGGUGUUAGAUUCUGGAGCAUCAUUCCAUUCAACAUUUCAGAAGGAGCAGUUGAAGAAUUAUUACUCCACAGAUGUGAAGAAGGUGUAUUUAGCAGAUGGAUCUGCAUUGGAUGUUUUAGGCAGAGGAGAAGUUCACAUCAAGACAAAUCUAGGGUUGUGGAUUUUAAAGGAUGUGAGGUAUAUCCCUGGUCUGUCCAGACAAUUGAUAUCUGUGAGUCAGCUAGACAAGGAGGGCUACCAUGCCACCUUUGCAAAUAAUUCCUGGAAAAUUGCAAAGGGAAUCAGAAUUGUGGCUAAGGGGUCUAAAACAGGUACACUUUACUUAGUGCCUUCAGAGACUGAUGUCAUUUCUGUUGUAUCCAAGGAGGAGGACUCCACACUUUGGCACAAAAGGAUGGGACACAUCAGUGAAAGAGGAUUGAAGAAACUGCAAGUUGCUGGAAAGUUUCCAAAACUGAAAUCUGUUAGUUUGGAGGUCUGUGAGGACUGCAUAUUUGGAAAACAGAAGGCUGUGAAAUUUUCCAAACAGAAAAAAAUUCCAGAAGAGCAAAAUCUGGAGUUGGUGCAUUCAGAUGUAUGGGGGCCAGCUUCUGUGGAAUCUCUUGGAGGAGCAAGGUACUUUGUUACCUUUAUUGACGAUCAUAGCAGAAAAAUAUGGGUUUAUUGUAUCAAAAACAAAUUUGAGGUGUUUGCCACUUUCAAGAAGUGGAGAUUAGAGGUAGAAAAUCAGUCAGGGACAAAGAUCAAGUGUUUGCUAUCAGACAAUGGAGGGGAGUAUGAAUACUGAAUUUAAAUUGUUCUGUGAAGAAAUGGGAAUCAGAAGGAAAAGAACUGUGCUAGGAACACUCCAGCAGAAUGGUACUGCUGAAAGAAUUAACCAGACCCUUUGCAAUAGGGCCAGGAGCAUGUUGAUACACUCUGGGUUGCCCAAAAGCUUCUGGGCAGAAGCUGUUACUACUGCAGCUUACUUGAUCAAUAUGUAUCCGUCUGUGCCUUUGGACUUUAAAAUUCCACAAGAAGUGUGGAGUGGAAAGGAGACUAAUUUGAGUCACUUAAAGGUCUUUGCAUGUGCUGCUUAUGUCCUAUUACCCAAAGAAAAGAGAGACAAAUUAGAUGCUAAGUCUGUGAAGACUUAUUUUCUUGGCUAUGGAAGAAAUCAGUAUGGAUACAUAUGCUGGAAUCCUGAAACUAAAGAAGUAGUUAGAGCCAAAAAUGUGGUGUUUGUAGAAACAGAUCUCUAUAAGCACAGACCAAUCACAUCAAAGGAAGUUGGAAACACAGUUGAUCUGGAAUUUCAGACCUGGCAGAAUAAAGAAAUUCAGAGCAGUGGCACUGAGGUUACAACUGAAAAUGAAUUUUUUGAAGAGCCUGGUGUUGAGGUCAGAACUGAUGAUGAGCUUGUUGAAAACAGAGAAGCUGAGGAGGUACCUAGUGCUGAUGAGAGUGAAGUAACAGCUAAUGACACUUCACACUUUGUGAGGAGAUCUACGAGAGUAUCAAGACCACCUGUAAGACUUGAUCCUUCUCCUGUUGUAAAUUUUCUUUUACUCACUGAUGCUGGAGAACCAGAAAGUUACAAGGAGGCACUCAAACAUGGCAAUGUUGUUCAGUGGAAGCAUGCCAUAAAGGAGGAGCUGAAGUCUCUUGAAGAGAAUCAAACUUGGAAGCUUGCUGUUUUACCAGAAGGGAAGAAAGCUUUGUAUAAUAAAUGGGUUUUCAGAGUAAAAGAAGAGGAAGAUGGAAAGAAGAGAUUCAAGGCCAGAUUGGUGGUAAAGGGUUUUCAGCAAGUUCAAAAUAUUGAUUAUUCAGAAGUGUUUUCACCUGUUGUGAAGAUGACAUCUAUCAGGACAUUGCUUGCUAUUGUUGCUGCUCAAAAUCUAUUUCUGGAACAAAUGGAUGUAAGGACAGCAUUUCUCCAUGGAGAGUUGGAAGAAGAUAUCUACAUGUAUCAACCUGAGAGGAGCUACAUUAAAGACAAGAAACUGGUUUGCAAAUUGCAGAAGAGUCUUUAUGGGUUGAAGCAGGCUCCAAGGCAAUGGUACAAAAGAUUUGACACAUUUAUGUGUUCAAUUAAUUUUAAGAGGGCAGAUUCUGACCAUUGCUGUUAUCUGAGGAGAUCAGGGAAUGUUUCUGUGAUCCUUGCCAUUUAUGUUGAUGAUAUGUUGAUAGCCAGCUCAAGCAUCAAGGAAAUCAAGCUUCUGAAAAUUCAGUUAUCAAAAGAAUUUGAUAUGAAGGACUUAGGGGAAGCUAAGCAAAUUCUGGGAAUGAGAAUUAGCAGGUCAGCAGGCUGCAUUAAAUUGAUUCAGAAGAAAUACUUACAAAAGGUGCUUGAUAGAUUUAAGUGUGCAAAUAUUAGGACAGACUUGCCACUUAGUGCUGAGUUUAAGUUGUCAAAGGAAGACUCUCCUAAGACAACUGAGGAGGAAGAGAGGAUGAACAAUGUGCCAUAUGCAUCAGCUGUUGGGAGCUUGAUGUAUGCAAUGAUUUGCACUAGGCCAGACAUUGCCCAUGCAGUGGGAGUAGUCAGCAGAUUUAUGUCAAAACCAGGAGAGAAGCACUGGAAAGCAGUGAAAUGGAUUCUGAGAUAUCUUUAGAAUACAUUGGACAUUGGAUUGUGCUUUACUAAGGAGGUUGUGGUGCUUGAAGGCUACUGUGAUUCAGACUUAGGAGGGGACUUGGAUACAAGUAGAAGUACAUCAGGAUACAUCUUUUGCAUUGGAGGCACAGCUGUGAGCUGGAGAUUCAAAUUGCAAGGUCAUGUGUCAUUGUCAACUACUGAAGCAGAAUACGUAGCUGCAACAGAAGCCACCAAGGAGAAAAUCUGGUUGGAAAAUUUGCUUACAGAGUUGGGGUUUGUGCAGAAAAAAUCAGUACUACAUUGUGAUAGCCAAAGUGCAAUCUACCUGGCUAAAAAUCCUAAAUUUCACUCCAAGUCCAAGCACAUCAGGCACAAAUACCAUUUCAUUAGGGAACUCAUUGAGAAGGGUGUAAAUUGGAGCUGAGGAAGAUUUCUGGAGACCAAAAUGCAGCAGAUAUGCUUACAAAAAUCAUGAACAUUGCAAAACUAAGGCUAUGCAUGGCCUUAGUGAACCUUCAAGAUCAUUGAUGAAGAAGGAAUGGUGUGGUGAUGUGAACAGUCUCCAAGUGGGAGAUUGUUGAGGUUUAAGUCACUUGGGAGAUAUAAGGAGUGUGGAGACUGUUUUGGUUUAAUUGGUACCCGUUAAUGGGCCAAUUAAGGAGUCAUUAUCUUGGACCGGCCCAAGAUAAUAACACUAUAUAUAUAUCUCAAUGUAGAGACUAGAGACUCAAAACCUAUCUUGCAUGUAAUAGGUUAGACACUAUCAAUAUGCACCAUAUAGAGUGGAUGCACACCAAUUUUGGGUGGAACCACUAUAAAAUCUUGUGUUCUUUUUCUCUCCAAAAUCACUAUCAAUCGUAUGAGUAUUGAUCUAGAUUCAGAUCUAGAUCGAAGAGAGUGAUUAAUCUUAUCUUCAGAUCUGGAAAUAACAAUUCACUCCUUGUGCUCUUGGAGAUAUACCAAGUUAUCGUAGUCUGGCCUGACUAAUAAAAAUCAAGUGGAAUGUCAGAGCACUAAUUCAACUGGUCAGAUUCAGAGACUAUAUAUAUACUGUCUCCUUCUAAUCAAGGUUUUUUAUUAGGACCCAUUUGCGACCAUGUGCAUGCGCUACCCUCUAUCGCCUAUUCAGGGGGUCGCAUAUUUAUGGAUCUUAGCCGGAUCCGGCUAAACCUGACCCAAAUACCCACUUAUGUUUUAGAAAUUAAAAAAAUUACUAAAGUAAAAGGUAAAAACCCAAAAAACUAAAGGGAAUUUUUUUUUUAAACCAAUAAAUAAAUAAAUAAAAAUAUUUUAUAUUUUAUAAAGAGAAACUAAUAUAUUAUAUAUUUUGAAAUUUGAAUCUUUGCUUAAGACUUUAAAUAUUAUUAGACUAUUUUAUUUUAAAUGAAUUUGAAGUAUUUUAUUAUGAAAUUUAUACAGGGAAUUACAUAAAUUAUAAAAAAUACAGGAAAUAUAUUGAAAAAUAAAUAAAUAAUAUACUAAAAAAGACAGGUCGCAUAUGCGAUAUGCGGACCUGACCAUCGCCUGGUCGCCUGACCCGCUGAACGCAUCAAAAACCUUGCUCUAAUCAGUGGCUGACUACCCUAAAUGUUGUGAUAGAAUCAUAGAAGAGUUGAGAUUUUAGAAGAAACUCUAUUUAUUUAUAUUUUAUAGUCGAUGAUUUUAAUUAUUUAUUAUUGGUAUAUUUAUCAUGCAGAUACGAGAGGUCAUAGGUGGCAUUCUUUCAGUACUAUGUUCAAAUAUACGGUGUUUUGAAUCAUUUGCAUAUGGUCAUGUAAAUAAUGGAAGCAGUAGCAUGGCUGAUUUCCAUGGACAUGAAAGUUGGCAUUGGAAACUAACACAUCGUUUAACUGAAAUUUCUGAAAAUAUCCAGAAUUCAAACCAUUUCACAGAGUUGCAUGAUUCUUCUGAUGUAACUAACGAAAAUAGUUUUGUAAAUGAUGAGUUGCAGCGGGAUGUCAACAUAAUGGAAACGGUAAUAUUUAAUUUACUAAUAAUUGAAUUUUAAUUACAUCAUCAUUUCUUGCAAAAGGACCUUAAAGUAAUGCAGGUUUUUUAUCACAUUUUCUUCGAUGCUUGCAGAUGCUCCACUUUGUCAUCUCAUCUUUAAAGUCUGGAAGAUCUUCGUUUUUGUUGGACGUGAUAAUUGAACUUCUUCUCCCUAUUUUUUCAUUACAGGUGCCCAAAAUAUACAAUUCUUUAUUGAUGAUAUUUAUUUUUUCUAAUAAAAUGUACAUAUUUUUCGAAGUAAGAAAAUAAAUUUGAUGAUAUAUGUUGAAAAUGAGAAGGAUAAUGAUUGAUUUUGCUAGAUGUAUCAAUUACCUUCUCUUCUAAAAACAAAAAUACAACAUGCAAGGAAAUAAUCUACAAGAUUAAAUUCAAGGUUUUUAACCCACAGAAGUGGCUCUUCCCUAGCCCACUGUGGUUUAGGAUAUGUGGUCGCUGGAAUAUCCUCAAAGGCUCAAACAUAUGUCAGAAGUUCUGAAUCAGAACAGUUUGGAAAAUGAGAAUACUCUAUAAAAUCAUAUCUUCUCUUUGGUGAGAAGAGAUAUGUAAGGCAAGAGGGUUCUAGCAAGGCGGUGACUAGAUCUGAUCUGGAAUGCCUUCUACCAAUUUUUUUCCCAUGUUUCUACCAUCCUUUGACUAGAUCUAACUUCUAAGUCAAGAGAGCUUUCCAGUGUGUGUUCCAAGCUGUCGGAAAGCAUUGUUCUCUUUCGAUUGAUUCAUUGAAGAUCUUUUUGCCCCGAUAAUAUUCUUGUUUUGAUAAAAUCUAUAUCGUUGUUUGCUUUAGGAAACAUCACACAAAGAUUUGUCAAUUUUAGCCAAGGCGGCAUUUGAAUUGCUCAAAUGGAAUAUUCUUCCAAGAUCACAUUUGGAAAAAUCCAUACAUUUGCUCUCUUCUUUUGUUUGUGAUUCUAACUGGCGAACCAGAUUUUCCUGUCUCUCGUAUCUGAGAUGCUUUAUGUACAGGUAUAUUACUUUUUCUGACAUUGUUCUUUUUCUUUUUCUUUUUAUAUUUUAUAUAAAUCUAUUUAUUAGCUAUAUUUGAAAUACGUUAUAGUUGAAAAUAAUUGAAAAAUACAGCCAACUUGAUUGAUUUGUACAUCAAAACCUACAAUAGCAUGUUUCUAUGAAAUAUUUUCUUGAAUCUAAUUACGAAAGAAAUAUUCUCAAAAUAAUUUAGGGGCUUUCAAAAUAUUUUCAAGAAGAAUGUUGUAACAUCAGGGGAGUCUGAUUCUUCAAGUCACCAGUCUUUAACUAUAUAUACAAUUCAUCUCCCAUCAUCCUUUAUUCUGGACUUUAGCCUUAUCCAUAUAUCAAUGCAAUUUUAAUUUAUUGAAAGAAAAAAACUUCAAAAUAUGUUUUUGAAAUACCUGAGAAUUAGUCAUCCUUUGUAACUGUCUAUCUUCUUGUACUAAAACCUAUAAAUGAUAUACCAGAAUUCGAAAAAUCAAGCUCACCGGAGGUUGCCAAGUGUGGGUGUCGGAAAAUCUAGUCGGAAUUGGCCAAUUGGGGGAGGGUUGGACAUGGAAAGGGUCUUCUGAAUCGCAAAUGGCCGGAUCUAACUAAGGUUCCCUUUGUGGGCGCACAUGCGCAAAAGCGUGCAUAGUGCGCACGCAUCCCAAUCCUUGCACCCUAGAGGCAUGUGGUUUCUCACCCCUCUUCACUAGGAUGGUAUGGAAUUCAAUUUACUCUACCUCCUUCUCAGUUAUUAUCAAGGUUUUUCAUGUGCAUGGCAUCCGGGUCCGGUCCUACUAACUAUUUACUCAUUAAAAAAGGGUAGAACUUAAAUAAAAUGAUAGGGAAAACGGGAAUAGGGUAUUUUCUCCCUAUUCAAACACCUCAGACCCUUCUACCCCAGGCUUCUAGCCAUCACCCCUCCAUCAAACAUCGACUAGAUCUCUAACUCCUAUUUGUAUUAUGCAAGGUUCCGGAUGCGCCUCUGCGCGAUGCGCCGCCACCUGGAGCAUCUGAGCAUAUGCGUGCAUAUGCGCUCAGAUGCGCCAGUGGCAUUUUCGUAAAUAUUUAUAAAACUAUAGGAAAUUAAUAUUUUUUUAUAUAUCUAAAUUAUAUAAAUUAAAUUUUUUAGUUAAAAAUAUAUUGGAUAGAAAAAUUAUUAUAAUACAUAUAUUUAUUAAUUUUUAUAACACCCUAUAAUUCAUUGUAACACCAAGGUUUAAAAAACCGGUUAACCAUUUAGGGGUAUUUUCGUAAUAAUAUAGCUCUAUAAAUGGCUAGGGUUUCUUUAAACUUAUAAAAGAUAGGCUUUUAAAAAAAGAAAAUAAUAAAUAACCCAAGAGGCUUUUAAAAAAUAAUAACGUAAUGGGCUGGGUUGGGCCUUCUUUAAUACAUCUACAACAUAAAAAAUACUCUAUAAUAAUAAUUUAUUUAACCACACUUUUUUAGUCCCACAUCGAUAGAAUUCAAAAAACACAAAGAAGGUUGGUCUAUAAAUAAAGAUUCAUUUUGUCUAAAACAAAUAUGAAGUCUAAAGAGUGAGAGGAGCUUAUAUUAAAAAUAAUAUAGCUCUUUUCAUGGACCAAUGUAUAAUUUUAAAAUAAGGUCUUAAAAUAAAAAAAAAAUUGGCCUUUUUUUUAAAAUAAAAACAAAACACUGUUUUAAGUUAUUUAAAUAGCGCAUCAUCGCAUAUGCGCACGCACCCGGAACCUUGGUAUUAUGUAACUUAACUCAUAAUUUCUAUUUUCUUUUGUUUAAGACUAAGUUCUAAAAUUUAAGACUAAGUAAUAUGGUAUUUUAUUAUAUAUUUUGAAAAUACAGGUACUUAUGUGUAAAUAUUUAUAAUUGCAAGGUAAUUUUUGCAAAUUAGUCAUAUUUUCAUAUGAGCAGUUAUGCGAUCGGCUCCAUGCCUCCAUUGCAUGAACGCCUGUAAAAGAUUGCUUCUUAUAGAAGGCACCCCCACUCCCCCUUUUAAAAACCAGAGUGGAAUAAGGCAAGGAACCCCUCUCCCCAAUCUUAUUUGACAUGGUCAUGGAUAUCCUAAGUAGGUUAAUAAAGAGGGAGGUUAGGGAGCUUGACAUGGUAAAUGGAGCCACCUUCAUUUCCCAUUUCAUAUAUGUUGAUGAUAUCUUGACCCUAAAUCCCUGAGGACCAUCAAAACCAUACUUCAAUCAUUUUCAGCUUACCAUAAAGAUAAAUUGCACCAAAAGCUCUACCAUAUUUUCCAAAGUGUGAGAGGAAAAUACUGAGCUAUGUGACAUCCUUGGGUUCACAACCAUAUUGAGAAUGUGAUUCUUGUUACCGAGAAGCACAAUCAGACUUCUGUAUAUUACAGGAGGCGUGAUGGGAGUGGUUAUGUGGCUACUGGUACAUCAAGAUGCCACCUUUAUUUGUAUUAGUUCUUAUAUCUCUUCCCAAAUCAUGAAAUAUAUUGUUGUGUCAAAAAAAUAUCCUCUGUUUUUGCCGCAACAGUUAUAUUUUUUCAAUUUAUCAUUUGUGGUGUCACUAUUUCAAAUUUAUUUUCUGCUAGCCUGAUGCUUAUAAUUGUCUAGAUAUUACUUAGGUGUAUUAUUGCAUGAUGGUAAUUGUCUUUAAUAUCUUGACUACAGUAAAGUCUGAUAUAAUAUGUGAAAAUUAUAGUUUUAGCUCGUUUUUAUUUAUUUUGUGUUUAUGUUUCAUGAGUCAAUAGAUUUUAUUGCCCUAUUAAUUGCUAAUGUGACUUUUUAUUGAUUUAUGAUCAGGCAUGUGUUUGUUCUUACUACUGAUGAGAAAUCACAAAUUUGGAAGUGUGUUGAGACACUACUUGUAGAUAAUCAAGUUGAGGCAAGCUUCUAAAAUCUUUUAUAUGUUUAUUAGUUGCUUUUAGAUAAGAUUCUAUGAAGUAUUGGAAACAAAUUCUAGUUUCUGUGGCUACUUGUAAAUAGAUUCCGUGGCUUUGUUAAUAAUGUAGCCUAUUUUAUAUUUGCAUUUUGGUUUGUUUAAUUAAAAAUGAUCAUCAGAAAUUCUGUUUUAUUGUUUAUGCAAUUUUUUUUAUAAUUUCGAUAACUUUUUAGCCUCUUUUUUAAAAAAAUUCUUGGACAAAAAUGAUCAAUUGCUAUAUCUGCUAUCAUUUUUAACUCUACUAAAAUAUAUCUUUAGGUAAGGGAGCAUGCUGCAGGGGUUCUUGCUAGCUUAUUGAAAGGUGGAGAUGAUGCUUUGGUUAGUGAUUUCCGAAAUAGAGCUUUUGCAGUAGCACUAUCCACACAUAAGAAACGAAAACAAAGGUAAAGUUUCUUUUCUUAAUUCUAACGUUAUAUUGAUAAUAGAUUGAUUUUUCUCAGUACAGAUGAAAUACAGAUGAAACUAUUGCUCAUUUUAGCUUAUCAUUUACAGUAGUGUUAUUGAUCCUAGUUUUGUUAGGUUAUUUUGACUAAUUUCAGUAGUUGGGAGAUAUAACGGCUACUAUAAAUUGGGCCACUACAAAUGUACAAUAAGUCAAUAAUAACAACUUAAUGAAGUUACUUGACUGGAUGAAGGGCUAUUAUAUCAUAUAGUUACUUUGUGAAUUUAGCCUGACUAAUUAGGUAUUUAUAGUUUCUUUUAAACUCUAAUUGGGUAUAUUCUUUUUUUGAACCAACACCAUUUUAGACAUGUGUAGAGUAGGCUCAUUAUAGAGCUGAACCACGUAAAAAUCCCUACUCUUAUUCCUCAUCUAAUGUAUAUCUAGGUUUGUGAGGUGAGAAAUCAAACAACAAACGAAAAUCACUAUUUUGUUGAUUUUCGGCGGUUUCCUGCGAGUGACAGGAACCAAAACUAGGUUCUUGUGAUCGGCAAAAAGAAGAUAGGUUGCCAUAAUAAGUUUUACCACAUAGAGUAAUGUAUUGAUGCAAUAAAAAAUAUCGUCGUGAAGUUAUCCUCAUGAUGGAUGCGGUACUUGAAAAUCAAAAUGAUUAGCAAUCUCUAUGAUUACAGAAAUUGGAAAUCAAAUCACUCAAUAGCAGCAACACAUGGUGCAGUGCUUGCUUUGGUCGCUUCUGUUCUAUCAGCUCCAUAUGACAUGCCAAGGUAUAUUCCUCAAAUUACUAUAUAUUUCUUUAGAGAAACAUCUGUUUUUUGUAUAAAAGUAGACUAAUCAACAGUUCCUUAUUUUCUUGUCAUGUAUGCAAAGUAUACCAAAUUAAUUUAUGGAAGGACAUUAAUUUUCUCUAUGAAAGUUACAAAAUGAUUGGCUUGUUGUUUUGUAAUUUAUGGCUAUACCAAGUAUCAUAGCAGUCUAGGAAAUAAAAUAAUAUAUCAGUAUCAGGGAAUGAAAAGAAGAUUCAACAAGUUUUUGGCAUUCUAUGCACAGACAAUUUUCCACUUCUCUAUUAAUUACAUCAUAAAUGAUUGUCUUAUAAAUUACAUUUCUAAUCUCUCUUUUUAAAUAUGGUUGACCAUUUUCUGUCUCUUAUUACUACAGUUGGCUUCCAGAUCAUGUAACAUUGCUUGCAAGAUUCAUAAACGAGUUAUCACCGGUGAAAAAUACAGUAACAAAAGCCAUUGCAGAGUUCCGGCGAACUCAUGCCGACACAUGGUUUGUCCAGAAAAAUUCUUUCACAGAAGAGCAACUGGAGGUAAGACUAAAUAAUUCAUAGCAGGAAUAUACUCAUUUUCAUUUAUUAUUUUAACACAGCCAUUUGCUUUGUUAUACAGAUCUUGACAGAUACUUCUUCAUCUUCCUACUUUGCUUGACAAAAUAUCAGAGAAUGGGACACCAAAAUUACGAUAUACUCGAUCCAUAUUUAUCAUUUGUAUACAUAGAAAAUUGGUAAAAAGACAAACAAAAUAAAACUGCAAGUGACUGACAAAUUGAAUAUUCUUCUUCAUCUAGUACUACAUAAAUACAAUACAGCACAAAGCUAUUGGAUCAUGAGAUCAUCUGUCAGGUCCCACAGCCCACACUCGCUUUCAAAUAAGCCUUCACUGUCCUUUCUUAGGAGUUUCUCUCCUUGUGCUUCUUCUUCAUCAUCGUCCUCCCUUUUCUCUACUAAUUGGCCAUCAAGUGUUGAUCCGGUUGCCACCACAUCAAUGUGAGUGCCCCCACCACACAAGUUCUGAUUCCAUGACGACCCUUCACCAUUGUUAAGGUAAGAAGAACCUCCAAACCCAAAUCUAUCCAUCCCUCUUCCUGUUGUAUAGUUAUUGCAAAGAGACAUGAGCCCAUCAGAUGGCUCUCCAUCAGACCCCAACAAAAUCCAAGGUUUGGUUGGAGGAGAAGUGUUGUUAGGAUCAAUGAUGGGCUCAUGCAUCGCUCUUGAUAGACCAAGCUUUAUCUUCUUGAUUGUCUCUUCCUUAUCUGAAUCCAUUGUAGCAUAUCCAGACAUUGCUUCUCCAGAAGUAACUGAUGGACCAGCAGCUGUGAAGUCUACACAUUUCUUAGUUAAGAGAUGCAACAUCUCAUCCUUGAAACACCCAAGUGCUGCCUCUGCCAAGUGAGCUACCUGAGGUGGUGCCAGAGUUGUAGCAAUCUCAGCCAUGAGGUGUGAAAAGGGCUUGUGUGUGACAGGAUCUAUACCCAUUCCAGACAACUUCUUCUUCAGCUUUGUGUUCCAAUAGUUUUUAACAUCAUUGUCUGUUCGGCCUGGCAGUUGUGCCGCGAUUAAAGACCACCUGUGUGUUUGUUUUUUUGUUCGUUCAAUAUAUAGAAACCAAUCUCGUCUUUCAUUUACAAAGGUUGAAAGUUGAAACAUACCUAUUUCCAACAACAGCAUGAAGCUUGACGAUAGUCUGCUCCUCGUUUCCAGUGAAGUCACCACGUUUGAGGUCUGGUCGGAGGUAAUUUGUCCAACGAAGGCGACAACUCUUUCCACAUCUUUGCAAGCCUGCAUGUAACGUAGUCAUAUGACCCAAGUUAACAAUGCAAGCUCCAAGCAAUACAAAAUGUACAAUAAACAAACAAAAACCUGCAUUCUUUGGAAUAACACGCCAAUUCCUGGUGCCAUGCUGUGCUAUGUAAGAAGAAAGUUUGUUAUCUUCCUCAGGCGUCCACUGUCCUCUCUUGACACUAUCCUUCUCACAGCAUGGAAUUCUACCCAUGAAGAUCGACCGCUUUCAGCAGUUGUCCACUCACUUGAGGACUUGAGGAAAGAGUGUGCAGGUAAGUGUGGUUUAAAGAUAUCAAUGAAUAAAAAUUAAAACCUAAAACUCUAUUUGGUGGGAAUGGAAUGGAUGUUGUUGCUGGAUGAUGUUAUGAUGUUAUAAGAGUAUAUAUAAUAAUGAAGAAGAGUUCACGUGUGGGCUCACUAUGUUAGAGACUCCCAUUCUAUGAGCAUGAUUUGAAUAAAGAAUUCAACGCCCACUGACAGCGUGAUUCCUUGGCAAAGUUGGCAGGUUGCUCAUCCACAAGACACCUGGUCAACUCUCCCCUUCUUCUCCUUCCUUCUCCUUCUUCCUUGUACACUUUUGUUACUGACUUUGAUCCCUGUCUAGAUGUACCUGCAAUGGUCUUAGGAACAUUCAUUCAUUAGAAAACAAUCCAAAUCAUAAUGUUGGUUGUGGGUCAUUUGGGUCAGUCAGUUGGAUCUUUAAUAUAUUCCAUGCAUGAAGAAGACAAGGAGUACUACUGAACUUUCUUGAUUCACACCAUGUUCUUUGGUUUUAAUCAAUAGAAAUAUCCACAGUCUUUUCUUGUCUCUCUUUGAGUGAUUUCAUCUUCUUGUUCAGUGUUCUCAGAGCUUCACAUAUCUCUGUCAUCUCUGGAUGCUGUUGAUCCCUUACAAGAAACACAUGGACUCUGUUUCUUAUCUCAAUCCAACUGCACCCUGGUUCCUUGCUUACUCCAUUUAACAUCAUACCUCUUCUCACUCGCUCUAUGCCGUUUCGGCUACCUAAUGCAGCGUAAAUAUUUGACAGUAGAAUAUAGGCAGAUGAAUCAGAGGUGCCCAAUUCCAUUAGUUUUUCUCCGACAUAUGUUCCUAGUUCGAAUUGUCGAUGGUUCAUACAGCCUCCCAGAAGUAUACACCACAUGUGACGCUUCUCCAUAGCCACAAGGGAUGGUGACUCUAUGAAUAACUUGGCUGACUCUAGUAACCCGGCGCGACUUAAGGUAUCAACCAUGCAAGCACAGUGCUCUGCCGUUGGCAUUAAACCGUAGUUGGUCUGCAUUGAUCUAAAGUAAUUCCAGCAUUUAUCCACCAAACCCAUGUGGCUACAUGCUGAUAGCAAAUUGAUGAAUGUGAUGGUAUUAGGUAUUAUGCGUUUGUUUUCUACCAUUUCGUCGAAUAGUUGCAAGGCAUGAUUACCGAGCCCAUUUUGGGAAAAUGCCGACAGCAUCGAAUUCCAUGCAACAACAUCCCUUGUGCUCAUCUUUUUGAAGAUGAGGAAACUCUGGCCAAUGUCUCCACUUUUCGCAUACAUUGUCAUUAAAGCACUUCCGAUAGGAUUGUCCAAAUUAAACCCAUGUUUAAUAGUGUGAACAUGGAGUUGCUUCCCCAAUCCAAGAGACCCAAGGCAGGAACAAGCUCUAAGUGUGCUAGCUAGUGUGAGAUCAGUAGGCAGCAAGCCUUCCAUUCCCAUUCGACAAUACAAACUUAGAGCCUCUUCAUUCUGCGCAUUUUGCACAUAUCCAGAUAUCAUUGUUGUCCAAACAACAGUGUCUGGUUCUGACAUUUGAUCGAAUGCUUUCCAAGCAUCGUAAACAGAGUUACAAUUAGCAAAUGUAUCAAUCAAUGCACUCUUUAUAUAAACAUGUGAUUCAAAUCCAAGUUUCAAUAAGAAGCAAUGAAUCUGUUUCCCUGAAUUCAAACUCUUCAAAUCUCCGCAAGCAUUUAAAACACCGACCAAUGUGUACUUAGUUGGUGUAACUCCAAAAUGAUGCAUCUCGGAGAACAUCCUCAAGGCAGAUGCAAAACUCCCAUUCUGAACAUACCCUGUGAUCAUAGCGCCCCAUGUAAUUGAAUUCCAGAUGGUUGAGGACUCCGUAAAACACCGGUGCGCAGCAUCCAAUGACCCACAUUUGGAAUACAUGGUUAUGAUAGAAGUAUUGACAGCUACGAAUGAGAGGAACCCAUUCUUCACCGUGUAAUCAUGUAUCUGCUCUCCAAUCACUAGAAACUCUGAUGCUCCUACCGCACUGACAACGGCGGUGAGCACGAACUCAUUGACGCAGAAAGAACCCCCCGUUCCUCUCAGAUUCGACCUGAACAAUUUAGAAGCUUCAUGGCAAUCAUUCUCAAUGGUGUAGCCUGAAAUCAUAGUUGCCCAAGAAACAGAAUUCUUAAGACGCAUUCUGUCAAACAGUUUCCGCGCAUCUCUAACAAACCCCAAUCUACAAUAAACAUUGAGAAGUGCGGUUCCUGCAAACACAUCACCAGAAAUACAACCCACCUUCACCGCAACACCAUGCAACUCUUUCGCACCACCAAGGCGAGCAUCGUUCCCGGCCGCGGCCUUGAAGAGACCGGUGAAAGUGAAAGAAUUUGGCAACACAGAAAAAUCGCUCAUCAUUCUCCUGAACAAUCUGAAAGUUACACAGGGAUUAGAAUGGGAGUUGGCAUUGAUAAGACAAUUCCAGGAACCCACAUCUCUAUUCCUAAUAUCAUCAAAGGCCCUGCCGGCUUCCGGCAAUCUUUCACAUUUCGCGUAGAAGUUGACGACGAUGUUACCCGCAAAGCUAUCUGUGUGUAAAGAUCCAAUUUUGACGAUGGCUGCGUGGAUGGAGGCUCCACGGAUAAUAUCUCUCCGUGCGGCGGAGUUGGCGAGUUGAUCGGAUAAAACCGCCGGGAGUAAAAUUGUCUUCCUUGUCAUCUGUACCAACUAACGGUAACGGAAUAUUCGACGCAGACUGAUUCGAAAAGCCGUCGAAGACACGUUUAUUCCUAUGGGACCCACCCACUUUCCCAUCUCCGAAAAUAAAUAAAUAUGAAAACUUGCAUUCUUUCUCACCGAAAAGAAAAGAAAAGAAAAGAAUAAUAAUGUUAUCACGUUUACAAUUGAAAAAUAACAAUGAAUUUAUUCUUAAAAUAACAUUCAAUGGCAAUGGUGAGUGAAAAAUUUAAAAAUUCAGAUUGAAAUCUCGAUUUUUCCACACUUGAAUCCAACUCUAACCCUAAAUUUAAUUACACAACUCGAUUAGUAUUAUAUUAAAAUGGUUAAUGAUUCAGAAUUUAACAAUAAUAUGUAUUCUAAUUUAUAUUCACUUUUGUAUUAUCAUAUAACUUAGUUGAAUAUUUUUAAAUAUUCAUAAUUGAUUUAAUAUCUACUUUUAACAUUAUAUAUAUAUGUAGUGAAAAUUUAACAAAAUGAAUACAAUCAAAUUCGAAUUUUGAAUUUAAUAUAUUUAUAUUUAAUUGAGUCAAUGUUUAAUCUUUCUUAUUAACAAACAAAUAAAAUAAAAAUCUAAAAGAAGACGUGAGAAGAAAGAGGAAGAAAGAAAGAAUAAAGACAAGUACGUUUGUUGCUUGGCACCUUGCGCCACUGCUGUGCGUAGGUUGUGUGUGGUGUUUCCAAAUUCCAAGACCUAGAAUUCAUCCGAAAGGGGGUUGGGAAGAACCCAACUGGUGGUAAGUUUCGACUUUCGAAGCAUGGAAAUGUGUUUUUCCCCUCCUUGUUUUUUGUCUUUAUUUGGUAAAAAGAUGAUUUGGGUUUUCAGAUUCUCAUUAGUGAUGCAAACUAGAGCUUUUGUUUUCAUUAGGGUUUAUUUUUCCAAACUCUGUGUUCUUGUGGGGAGGGAUUUGGGAAGUGGGUUCUUUUUCUUUCCAAUCGUUUUAAGAUUUUUUUUUUUUUUUUUUUUUUUUUUUUUUUUAGGGAUUUUCAGCUUGAUUCCAUCAAUCCGUCUGUCACAUGUUGAUUUUAUGAGAUUUAAUAUUUUUAGGGUUUUUUCAUUGCUUCCAAAAUAGAGUAAUCAUAAAAUCUGUGACAGAUUGCAUUAUUACAAUACAUGUUUAUGGUUUUUGAGUAUACGUAGCUAGAAAGUAAACAAUCUUAUGAACCCUAAUAUUUCUAAACUAAUUUUCAUUUUUCUUCACAUGCUAUUGAAAAUAUUUAAUCAGCAAAUCCAAGAUCAACUUAUAACAACAACAGUUAGAAAUGAGUGGGAAUUCUGGAGUUUCGUAUAAUGGAGGAAAAAAUAUUACAAAUAGUCCAUUGUCAUCGAGGCAGAGGCUACGAUGGACCAACGAUCUACACGAACGUUUCGUGGAUGCGGUUUCGCAACUUGGCGGCCCUGACAGUGAGUUUUACGUUCUUCCUUUUUUUUAUCUAACUAGGUAAAUAUAUUGCCACCAAAAAUAAACAAUUACACUACCACAGUAAAGAAAACAAAUAUGUGUGAAGUGUAAUCUAUGGCUCUAUGCAACCUGUUUCUGAAUUGUAGAGUCCAGUGACCUUCUUUCAGCUCCAAUAAUUUUGUAGAGAGCCUUGGUGGUGGUAGUGAAAAAAAAAUCAGUCAAUCUACUCUGCUAUUGUCUCCAGAAUUUCUUCCAACUCUUCAAUACUCAUGUCUAUUUAUUUAUUUUAAUCUGCACAAUCUUUAUUGGCUGCUCUAAAACACUGCAGGAGCUACUCCAAAGGGUGUGUUGAGGCUUAUGGGUGCUCAAGGAUUAACUAUAUACCAUGUGAAAAGUCACUUGCAGGUAUCAACUGACUGAAACAAAAAAUUCAAACUUGCAAUUCUGAAAUAAUUCUGUUGGAUCUUUCAAUAUUCUGUCUAACUUCUGAUACAACCUAUGUUAUAUAUAUUUAGAAAUACAGGCUUGCAAAAUACGUUCCUGAUGAACCCUCGUCUGAUGGUUAGAUUCUAUGCACUUUCACACAGUAAUAAUACUUUUAUUCUUGUUUAUUUCUGAAAUCUCUAUAAUUUUUAGGUGUAAAUGAUGAAAAGAAGGAUCGGGAUGAGUUAUUAUCCAACUCAAAUAACUCGUCGUAAGAAAACAAAUAAUUAUUUCUUUUAAGAACGAAUGAUUUUAUAUACUGACUAACACAAACAAUGCUCCCAUUGUUUUGAUACAGUGGAUCACAGAUAACAGAAGGAAUGAAAUUACAAAUGGAAGUCCAGAAAAGGUUGCACGAACAACUUGAGGUUCAACGACAACUGCAACUACGGAUUGAAGCUCAAAGUAAAUAUCUGAAAGAGAUACUCAAAGAACAACAAAGAUUCAGUGACCAGUGCAAGAAUUCCGAUGAAAAGAAUCCUUCUUCUACUUCUAGUUGUGCUCCAAAAUCAGAUAAACUCCUACCUUUGUUGCAAGAUAAGGAGAUUGAACCUAUUAACAGCUUAAUAAAGAACAUUAAACAAAACAACUUCUCUUAUCGACCUGACAGGAGCCCUGAACAUGAGAAACCAAACAAGAGACAACGAGAAUCCACUGAAAUUUGCCAUGAAAAUCCAGAACUGGUCUUGGCCAAUCACAUCCUUGAGUCAAGUUCGGGGCCAGAUUUUCAGCAGAAUCAUUUACCCUUAGCUGAAUAUAAUAUUUCCUUGUAAUAUAAUAAUGCUUAAUUAUCACUUAUCAUAUAAGAAAAGGAAUAUGUAUAAGAAAAUUAUACAUCAGAUGUAUUUUCAGAAUAUUGGAGACAUGACAAUCAUUGAACCCUAAUCUAAUUACAUAUCUAAUUAUAUUGAAUCAGAAGAGUACUGAACCCUUGAUUGUCAAAGUCAUUCCUACAUCAUAAAUGUAAAAGAUGGUGGUUGGUUGUGUUAUGAACUUAUGAAGAUGGAUGGUGUCGUCUUCUUGAAAUGUAGUGCUGCAAACGCAGACGCAAUGCCUUUAACUUUUCACGAUUUGUCUUCUUUGGAGUUGUUGAUGAUGAUUUCUUCUUCUUGGGCUCAUCCUCGUUAGAUUUUCGCUGAAAUCUCCUCAAAGGUGUAGAUACAAUUGACCGGAAUGUCAUCUGUUUUGUUCACCAAAAGAACCAAUCAUGAUUUUUUGAGUAUAUUAUGGAUAUUGAAACUUGUCAUUAAUUUCAGGUAUUUACCGGUUGCUUGUUAGUAGUAGGAGUACUUGUACAUUCUAUGAAAGUAGGUUCCUCUUCACUCCUGCAUAAAGAAGAACACCGCCCCCAACUCUCUCGGUUAGAACUCGAGUACGAACAACAUUCUUGAUUUGAUCCACUUUCUUUGUCCUAAAAAAAAUCCAAAUCAUAUGAAAUUCGUAUUAUUUUUGUGGAAAAGUGGUAAAUAAAAAUAUAGAAUAAUUCAAAGAUAAACAGAUCACAUGUGUAUGAGUUUCUUCAACAUCACUUUCAAUGGCCAAUUCGCUCAUGAUUUUCUCUUCAUCCAAAAGUAUCUCCUGCAAUUAAAUGAUGCAAUAGGAUGUCACAAUAUGCAAUCAGGAAGAAAACACCCACUAUUUCAAAAGCUUACAUCAUUCUUAUUUGAUGCAUUGUAUUCGGCAAGGAGAUCAAUCACUGAUUUCGUAGUUGGAACUAAACAUAAUAGAUUAACGACAUGUAACUGAUUAGUCGAAAUUUUUAAAUAGUUGUGAAAGAAGGUGAAUGAAAUUUGCAUAAAUCCAUAAUGAAUAAAAAAAGAUGAUACUUUCCUGAACCACUCAUAGAGUCAUAGUGGUAAAUUGGUGAAGAAAUUGAAGGGGUUCAAAUACCAUGACCAGCAAAGGUAACAUAUAUUUACCUUUUGGAAUGCCAGAAGCCGAGGAGGAACCAGAUGCAUCAGUACUACUAGCUGCGUGCAGACUGGUAAUAAUUUCAUACAGCAAGUUCUGGAUUUCAAUUUUAUACAGAGAUGUGAGUUAAGUUAUUAAUUUAUCAGUUUGGAUUUAUGAAAAUCAAUUAACCAGCCUUCAAAAUUCAAAAUUUACUUCCUGCCCUUAAAAUAAGAGAGGAUUAAGAAAAUCACCUCGUCCAUUCCAGAUCCGAUCCUCAAAUCACUUAAAUCAUAGUAUUUUUCCAACUUUCUUGAUAGUGUCGAAGAAGAUUGAGGAGGUUGAAGGACAUUGUAGAAAAAGAUAGAUACAGAAUCGUAAUAAAAUUGUGGUCUUGGAGAAUUGUGAUCACCAUCAAAUUUAAUGAUAUUCUUCUCACCCUGUUAGUAUGAAAAAAUGGUAAAAAUAUAAUAAAUAUAGAAAAAUAUCCAGUUUAAAAUACAGCAGUUAAUUAUAGAGUCAAAUUCAGAAGGCAGUCAGAGCUAGAUGUAUUAUUUAAAUUAAAUAAACAACAAUUUCUUUACCGCAUAUGACUUGUAUAUAUGAUCUGAAUGAUGAGGCAGAACAAAUACGUCAUCAUUUGCAUGUCCAAACAAAACUGGAAUAAAUGUUUUUGGUGCAAACUGAAUGAAAAACAAGUUAUUGUCAUAAAAUCUCAAUCUUUCUUAUUAGACAACAGAUACUAAAAUAAAAAUGACAAAUCAAUCAACGGAAUAUACUAUAUACCACUAAAUACUAAUACCAGAAGAAGAAAUAUUGAAAAAACCUGUAUGGUAUUAAGCUCCAUAAUAUCAAAUUGUGCUCUCCUUCGAAUGACACGUCGCAUGUAUUGCAAACCCAUUUUGAUCUAAAAAUCGAAAUAGUUCCCGAUGAAAAAGAUAGCAUAUACAAUAAAAAUAAAUAAAUAACUACAUACUGUGAAUUUAGGUAGACGGAUUUUGUAAACACUAGCAAGUUCCAUCAUGAGAGAGUACAAAUUGGAGAAAGCACUAUCCAAAACCAUCCCCACAAUUGAGGGAUCUUCCACCCCAUAUAGAAGACUGCAUCAUACAUAGAAUACAUCCAAAGAAAUUAUGAACCACAAUUUGUAACAGCAUUUAUCAAAUAAACAUAAGACAAAAAGUGAAUACCUUGUAACUGCACCCAUGGACCGCCCCCAAAGACCGAUGGAUGAGGUUUUCUUGCUGUUCCGCAGGAAAGACACCACGGUUUUAAGAUCGUCUUUCUACGGCACAAGAUAGGUUAGGUUAUGUUUUUAAUACUUAGAAAGACUUGGACCCUAAAAGACAUUAUGAGCAGCUAAUUCUACCUCGUGCCAGCCAAGGCUAACGUAAUCACCAUCAGAUAGGCCUGAGCCAGAAAAAUCAAGGGUGAAGAGUGUUAUAUUCAAAGGAAGUAACAUUAUAGCUGCAUCAUUAGCAUCUGCUCUGCAUCCGCUGCAUAUUUUUUCAAAUAAGUCAGUGUGAGAUUCCAUUGUCAAUCCAAUCAUAAAUCUGUAAUGAUAGAUUUAUACUAUCAGCCUGGAUCGACCCUAAAUUAAAAUCCUACAUGUAACAAGAAUAUACAAUCAGAUUGCCAACCCCUAAGAGGAAGUAAGAUCGUACACAAUCUCCUCUUUCAUCCAACAAACGGAAUAUGAUGUAUUAUGAUAAUGGCAUAAAAGAAAAGUAGCGAAAAAUAAUAUGGUUGUUGACCUAUUUCCAUGGCAGUAAAUAACACAUGGAAGAGGAGUGUCGUCUGAAAAGUUGGCAGGAACAUAAUGACUGCAUUGCAGGGUGUAGCCUCUUCCGUUCGUUAGCUGUCAAAGUUAUAAAAAAAGAUAUAAGUAUCAGAAAAAAAGAGCAAAUGAACAGAUAAGCAGAACCCUGGUAAUCUAUACCCAUACUUGCCUCCAAAUCUUGACGUUUGUAUUUCCUUCCAGCAAGAUUAAAUUCUGAAUCCCAUAAAUACUGAUCUGGGUUGUAGUCCGCUCUGUACAUACAUUAAAAAUAAGGUACGAAUGUAAUAUUCGUUUUUUUUUGCAAGAAAAAUUGGAUUGAAAUUUGAAAGUGAUAUAAUAACUGAUUACUGAUGGUAGACAUAAAAGGCAACUAACUUGAUUUUCUUAGCUAGCUAAUUAACGACGUCGAUUUCAGAUGAAUUCUACUUUCAACAAUUUCCCAUACAGCCAUACUAUAAGUAUAAUCAUGUGAUUUACUUUUUAGUGUAAAUAAAAUAACUGCAAUCACACCGCUUUUUGUGAACAAUCAAACAGUCAGCAUUCAGAAGCGUGUUUGUUAAUAAUUUGCAAGGACUUAUGAUACUACUGGGAAAAAAAUGUAACCUUAAUAAGAUGAAAAUGAAUUGAAUGAUUUAAGAGUAGAAUUGAACAGACUCCAAAUUUAAAAUAAAGUGGUAGCAAUCAAUAUUCAAUUAUUUUAAAUAUAAAUCAAAUCAAUACUUCAAAAGAUGCAAGUGGUGAAUAACAAACAAAAAGCCAAAAUCAUCUUGUGCUUAGAACUUACCGGGGAGGUCGGAUAACAAAGUUGAUGAAUUGUUCAAUCAUCCUCCCUUGAACAAUCCGGAGAGGAAGUCUUUCAAAGCAUAUGAUAUUGGAUCGAUCCAAAACUGAUUUCAAGUGUACAAGUUGUUUUCGCUAGCUAGAACCGAAAAAGAAAGAAAAGAAAAAAUAUCAGGUUUCUUAAUCAGAAAUACAAAGCAAUAUCCAGAAACCUCUCUAUUCAAAAAAAAAAAAUCAAAAAUUGCUGACAACAAUGCAAAAGACGCGAAGUUUUUCCCAAAUACUCCAGACAGUCACAACUUGUUUUUGAAUCCUUGAUCUAUGGUCAGUACUUUGUUAAAUCCAAAAACUUGAAUACCCUCCUCUAAAUCCCCCCUCCCCCACCAUUUCCCUGACCCACAAUCCCUACCAAAAGACUAAAUCCUAAUCAAUUAAUCAGCAGCACUUACAUUUUGCCAGCCCUCUUUUUUUCCAAAACCCAACUCAGAUUUGCUUGGCAUUCACAGUUUCACACCCACCUCCAGUUCAUCCCCGAGAUCCAUGAAGAAGAAAGUGAGGAGAGAAAAAGAAGAAGCAAACCCUAGAAUUCAGUAGUAGCAAACGCGUAAAGACCCAAUUUCGAGGUGUAGAGGAGAACCCAAAGAAAAGCAACAACACCCUCCCUGGAAAGUCGAGAGAUUUGUGAGUGGUGUGAGGUAGUAGUAGGGUUUGUCUACCCACUCUUUCAAGUUUCAACCUUUCUGAUGGCGCUGUCCACUUGGCUCAGAUGGGUACAAAUGCUAUAGUGGUGUCUGGAGAGGAUCAGGAUUCAAGAGAGCGUGACGACCAAGUACUAACCGGCGAUAAACAUGGAGUCGACGAUGGAUUUUUGGUCAUUUGGGGUGUUUGAGAAACGACAGUUUCACAUAGGAAAACGAAUAAUUGGACAAAGAUUCAUUUUUUUUUCCAUUUAGCAUUUGCCCAACACAACACAGAGACAUUAUGACAUUAUGAGCAGAGGGAGAGAUGUUUGGAAAUCAAAGGAAUAUUUGAACAAAGACAUCUAAUUAAUUUUUUUUUUAAUUGUUAAUUACUUUUAAGUUAUCAAGUGAGGUUGUAAAUAAGUCCGCGUUUCACCCCCGACCCCGCUGUCUGGGGCUGAGACUAAUUAUAUAAGAAUAAAAUUCAGAAAGGUUCACAUAAUAUGAGUUCAAUAAUGUUCAAGUCCGUAUGGGAUGUGUGCGAUCAAAACAUUAAAAAAAUAAUAUAAUUAAAAGACGGUUCAGAUGACUUUGUACAAUAUCCAACGACUCAUAUAGGAUAAGCGUUUUUGAACUCACCCUAUGCUGAGCUCACUGGAAAAAAACUGUAUUUUUUUAACCUAUAUUAUCUUUAACUUUAAGGUUUUAAUUAUAAAAAUACUAAUUAUAUUUUUUAGAUAAAGCUUCUAGUGUGUCCUUUUAACCAUGUGUCCGCAUGUGUCCAGCCUUUUGAUCUUGAUCGAACGGUCCACGAUUUUGUUAAUAUUAUAUUUCUAAUAUUCUCCAUUUCAUACUAGCAGACCUACUCUAUAAUAUAGCUAGCUUGUGUAGUUAUUGAAUCUAUAUGUACCUUACUUUUAUUUAUCCAAUGUCAGUGUUUUAAAUGGACAUUUUAAAUAUAUGUUUUGCCGGCUAUCAAGCAGUAUUUUUCAAAUUUACCAGUAAUAAAUGAAGUAUGAAUUGUCAUGUCAAUGUUAGGUCAAAAGUUUUUCAUAUUUGACAAUUUCAUCUAAUUUAUUUGAAAGAGUCUUCACAAAUCGCAUAAGAUCAACGUUUCACUGUGUUUCGACACUGUCAUCUACUUCACAUAUACCGUUGACAUCAACUAUUUUGUGAGCAAAAGUCAAGAUAAGACAUCCAGUUUCAGGUAUGUUCUCGUUGUAAUUGUCCAUAUUUUUUAUGUUGUUCAAAUAUCAUAAGAAAACAGCGAAAUGAUCGCCAAAUUAUUCUAUUUUGCACCAAUUAAAUAAAUCGCUUCUUAUUCCUAUAGUUCAGUCAACUUCAAGUUGUUUGUUUUGUAAAUGUCAACGUAGGUUUGAUUUGUUAAUCGUACGUUGACGAAGGAUCGUUAUAGACAUUUAGAAGAGAUCGAAUGUAAUCUAGUAAGUAAUGUCAAAUAGCUCGACCAACGAUCUACUUGCCAAGGCCGCCUAGGUACUUGAAGAACUCAACAUCAUCCAUGGCAACGAGACUAUCCAAAACAUGAUCGGGAACACUAACCGUUCCAACACUAACAGCAUCAUUAGGCUUGUCAUUGGUCGGCUCUUCAGCAAAGACCACCGGAAAAUCCUGAAUAGGUGGAAGAAUAUCUUGAAAAUGAACAAGAUAGGCCAUGAAUAGGUACUUACAGUUGGGGCAUAUGACCAAGUCGAUUGGACCGAAUCCGGGUGGAUAAACUCUAUGGAUGUUCGUGAGGUCGUCGACGGAGUUUGGAGAAACUACCAGAGAUGGAGGAGGAGAGGUCGACCAAAAGCCAUCAUGGUAAGAAAAAGUUUACAAAUGAACUGCUUCAUAAGGUGGAGUGCGAGGGGAAGAAGUACUUCCUACUCGGAAAUUCCGUGUGUGAUCGAAGAGUUUGUCUUGAUAUUGAGUUAAGAUUCAAAAAACCAGACAACAUGAUAUUUCAACACAAAUUCCGGUAGCAUAAUUGUCUUCAGAGUAUUGUCAAAUCGGGUGCAAUAAGAUUGUCCAAAGUACAAUAAGCAUUCCUAUAGGAGUAAAGGAUUUUUUGAUAUAAUUAGGUUCAAAAAAGUAUUGAUUAUUAUCUAACUCUAAAAUGUCUAUAGAUUAGUGUCAAAUCGGUUAAUAAUGGACGUUGAAUUUGUCAGAACUAAAUAAAAUAAUAAUGGUCUCUGGAUUUGAACGAAUAAAAGUAGAUGGUCAGGAUGUGUUUGGACAAAAUUUCUGUAUUUUUUUAACCUUAGUCUAUUUUCUAAAAUAAAAGUAACAAAAUUACACAACCCUAAUCCCAAAUACAAGAUAUGUUAUAGGUUUUUCUUUUCUUUUUUCCAACCGUUGUGAUUCUUUGAUUCUGUAUGAUUAAUUAAAUAUCUAAUGACUUAGACUGUUACAUAAUAUUUUGAACUUAAUUUUUAUUUUAUGUUUUACUGUUUUAAGAUUUCUGCUCAUUUUUUAUUAAUUUUUUAAGGUAAAAAUCCCUAUUUGAACCGGACUGGACCUGGAUUUUUUAGUGGUCUGGUUUCAGAUAUUUUCCUUUCAGACUCGGUCCAGACCCGGAUCAACUUCAUGGGUUCAAAGACAAGCCAACCAUUCCAGACCCAGCCCAUUUUAACAUUAACAUUCAUCGGCGGUUGUUUUCUUGAGUGAUUUUGAGCUAGAGAACCUGGAACCACAGCCACUAAACCUAUAUCAAUGAUGAAGCUAGUCGAUAAAGGCUGAUAUCCCAUGAUUUAAAGGAAAGACUGAUGUCCUUGGUGAUUUCUCUAAUGAGAACUUUUGGAAGUGUACAUGUUGUUUAAGUCUCUUCAAUUCUUUGAAUAUGGGAUACUAACAGUUAACAGUUACGAAGAACAAAGCGAAUGUAAAGAUCUCGAAGUCAUAGCUGGAAUAUGACAAUCAUUCAAUGUAUGUUAUGUUAAAAAUCAUCGGAGGCCCGAUCGAUGACAAAAAUGGAGCUUCGCAAAUUCGAACUAGCUAGGUUAUACGGCUAAGUAAACAAAUUACAGACAUGGGAGCUAACUGUUUCAAGAUAGAUCUCAGAACAAAACAAGCUAGGAUGCAACAACAUUUUGAAACUAGAAUCGGUUUGGUAUGGAGCUGAUGUACUUAUUAUUCAACCUUGGAUGGAUAAUACUGAAUUGGAUGAACACUGCAUACGCUUCCUGUAUGGAUUAAACCAAAUUAACGACGAUUUUUAACAUUUACUAAAGGAUGAGAACCUACGGUCAAAAUAUCGAAAGGAUGAGAUCAUAGCCAGAAUAGCUAGCCAGCACCCAUGUACCCGUUUGAAUGGCCACCUAGAAUAUCAAAACUCCUUAGAAGUGGAUGUGCAUCUGGCGAUCGUUGUAGAUGCACAGUUCACCUUCCCUAGACUAAGAAAGUUUAACAUAGAAGAGGAAAAGGAGAGCUAUUGCGAUAAUCUAAGUGUUAAAUAUCCAUCUCAUACGCCUCUAUGUACGGGGUGUGAUGGAUAUGCUGGAUCGCGAUCCACGACUAUAAGGGAGGUUAAUAACCUCUUUUCACGUAAUAUAUUUUUUAACGAAAAUAUAUGCAAUAAUAACAAUAGCAAUAGUAAUAUUAUAAUAAUAUCAAUAACAAUAUAAUAUUAUUAUUAUAUAAAUAUAUAGUUUAGUAAAAAUUAAAAAGCCUCAUAAGCACUUGAUAACAGGUCGAUAACUUUUAAUCGUAAAUGACUUGAAAUGUAAAUGGUCUCGUAAACACCUGAUAACAUGUUGAGGAUUUAAAUGUAAAUAAUUUGAAAGUAAAUGGUCUCUUGAGCACCUGAUGACAGGUCGAGGGUUUAAAAGUGACUUCAAGAUAAAUAUAAUAUAUAUAGGUUUAAAAUCGAAAGUGAUAUAAAAUAUAAGUAGUCGAUUUUAUGUUUAAAUAAUAGCUAAAAAUUUAAAUGAAGCAAUGAACACAGAGAUUUAUACUGCAUGGUUCGGUCUCAACUGAUUUACUCCAGUCUCAUGAGAUUGUUUCACGAAAUCCACUAGAUUAAAGGUAUUGUCAAACCUAUAAGAGUUUUUAAACGCAAUAACGCUCAAAAACCUUGUGUAAGCUUUUCAAAACUAUAAUGUUUACGAACCUCUUUUAAACUUUUAAAUGAAUACUACUUAAAAAUACUCAAGUUUUAAAGUAAACUUACAACUAUCUCAAGUCUUUUAAGAUAGACUUAACACUUAAAAGUUUUUUCGAAAACUUUAUAAAACCAAACUAAAAUUUUAUGGUUUAAGUUCAAAAACCUUUCUUACACUUUGGUGAUCUUGAGACAACUUUCUCAACCAAAGUGGAACACACGAAAUGAUGAUGAAUGUUUAAAAAUAAAACACAAUGGAACACUUCAACUUUGCUUAAAAACUCAAGAAGAUUAGAAAAAGAAAUAUAGAAUUUUUGGACGUCUAUGAGAGCAAAGAGCACUUGGACAUAACUUGAAAAACUUGAAAGCUUGAAUGAUUUUGAAAGAUGUGGAUUUGCAUGUAGAGAUUUGGAGCUCAAAAAUGUGUUUGGUUAGCGUUUGCAAUGGGCAUACCCCUCUAUUUAUAACAUUGCUUUGAUUUCUUACAAGAGUUCAAAAUAUGUUGGAUAUUCUUUUUGUCAACUCUUUGAUCUAUGUAACAUUUCUCUUUGUUCCAUGCAAAACUUAUAUUUGUUUUAUGUAACAUUUCUCUUUAUCUUAUGCAAAGUUUGUAUUUGUUCUAUGUCAAUCUUGUUUCUUGAUCAAAGAUAAAAAAUAAAAAAGUCAAGAGUAAUUAAAAUAAUUAAUUCAUAAAUAUAAGAAGUUAACCAAGUUUUGACUUUAUUUUAUAUAAGGUCAAAUAAUUUUAUGAUUUAAUAUAAACCUAAUUGAGAUUAAGUUCAAUUCAAUUCAAAUUAAAUUUAUCUUAUUGAAUAACAAUAUGAUUAAGGUUAAUUAAACAUGAUUAUCAAUACUAAUAUGUAUCGACAAUUUAGAUUCUACAGGAUAUUGUUAGAGGUGAUACAAGACCAACACUGUCUCAACUGACCUCUGGUGGACUUAGAUGUGGAGAAUUUAUGCUCGAUUAGAUGAAGAAAAGAUAGAGGUUGAAUAAAGCGAUCCUGGCCCUAUAGUUAACACGCAAGAGGUAAAAAGAAGUGAGGAAGGCAAAAGGAGAGAGACUUUGGUAAACAGUAAAAGGGUAAAUAGUAUGAAGGGUACUUGGUAAAUAGAGGUAAAAAGAAGCGAGGAAGGCAAAAGGAGAGAGACUUUGGUAAACAGUAAAAUGGUAAAUAGUAAAUAUAUAUAGAUUUAUUAUGUAACCCAAAAGUGUACUAUGGAUAAGUAGCCCAAAAGGAUCGAAAUUCUUUAAGGCAUAAAACCGUAAACAUUCAGUCAGAACAGACCAAAAUCCCAUCAGGCCCAAACACGAAGAAAGAGCUCUGGAAAGCCUUCCAAAAGAGAAGUCGUCUACUUCCCCUAACAAGUAGUUGACUUCCUCUUGGAAGUGGGCUUCACAGCCUUCCCAACAGACUUUUAGACUGUAACUGGGUUUACAAUUGCCCUCCCUCAACCAAAAAUAGUUGUGAAGUUACCGAAAUACCCCUAUAAAUCUCUAAAUUAGGAAUGGGUUCUCCCUAUAAAAGAAAACCAGAUUCAUACGAAUCACUCUAAAAUGGAAGUAGAACCACUAAAAAAAACAGUGUUUUCUGGUGGCUUCCUACUGGCGGUCUGGCCGCCGAUAGGCUGCAUGAGUCCGUCAAUGGUGUUUUCCCUCGUAAAUUAGAAAACGACUAGGCCGUCGGUCUAAUUUUUUUAAUUUAAAUUACGGUUGGACCGUCAGGACGUCUAAUAUUGGUAGCCAGACCGUCGGUAUUUUCCGUCAGAAAAACACUAUUUUUCUGUAGUGAACGUGAUUACGAAAGACCGUAACUCCUGAUUUCGAUUUCUCAAGGGAAGUCGCUUUUAUAUCUCACAUGGUGUGUAAGUUGACUUUAUGUUGUGUUCGGAGCCCCUUAUAUUGUUGAGUUUACAAACCAUAGUUUCUACAAGGUUACAAAUGUGUAAGGAAUCUCUUGUACCAAUGCAACAUGAAAUUCAAGGUAGUUACCAUUCAUGCCACUAGCCAAGGCCAAAAAAGGAGCACCCCAACAAUUUUCGGCCAAAACUUUCAAAUCUCUCUAAAUAUCUCAAAAGUUCAAGCUUUCAUUUGCUAGCUCUUGCUCUUAAAGUUUCCAAGUUUUCAAAAUUCUCGUGUGAGUGAUUUUUCAAGGUUGCGCUCCAUGGUCCUCAAAGCUUUCCAAACUUUUUCUUCUCCAUCCUCUUAAUUACCUCUAUCCUUGUGAUGAUGCCCAAAUUAUUGGGCUAUGGCCUAAUACUCUAGCCCAUCACGAUUAUAACAUAUGGACCAGAGAUUAGUCAUAUUAGUUUGAAAUGCGAGGACGACUUCUUCUUUGUGCGUCUCUUUCAGAGCUAUUUCAGGGUCUUGAAGGGUUUCGAUCCUUUUAGGAUGUGUAUUUGUGGUUUGGGUUGGAAAGGGUUUCAGUUUUUUUAGGUUAUGUUUUCGUGGCGAUAAUAUAUUCGAUUCAGACAUGUAUCACCAAAUGUUAAAUCCAUUAUCAACUGUGAGAAGGGUUCUGCUAGAUUUUUCGGUAUUCACAUACAAAAGCACAAUAAUUCUAUCUGAGGCAUGUGAGAAUAAAAGAGAUCAGCUAUUGAGGAUCUUCAGUUUUUAAGAAGGCAUGCUGCCAAUUAAGUACGUAUUUGGGAGUCCUAAUUGUUAGAAGGGAAUUGCGAGCCAUUACUUACAUUAUUAAUUUAUUAUAUAUUCUUGGUGAUACAAGAUCUUGUAUACAUAUCAUAUAUUAUCUGGAACUGAAAUGAAUUCCCCAAGAGUUUGGUACGUCAAAGGGGGGGUACUGGUUAUACAUGAUUAGGGUUUAGGGUUAGUGUUAGGGUUAGGGUUAGGAUUAGGGAGUGUAUUGAUAUGACAUGGCAUGAAGAUCAUCGUUUGAGAGAUAGCGUACUUCGUCAUCUUGCAGAUACAGAACAAUGGAGAGUGUUAAAUGGUGUCAAUUCAGAAUUUGUUAUAGAACCUCGAAAUGUUAGACUAGGGUUGGCAUGAGAUAGAUUUAAUCCCUAUGCAAUGACAUCAUCACGUAGCACAUAGUCAGUUGUACUUAUCCCAUACAACAUGCCACCAUGGUUGCGCAUGAAACAAUCAAAUAUGAUUAUAUCAUUAUUGAUUUUAGGUCCAGAACAAUCAGGCAAUGAUAUUGAUGUGUAUUUAGAAAUUAGAACCACUAAUAGACGAGUUAAAGUUAUUAUGGAAUGAUGGUGUUCAAACUUAUGACUCAGUGAAGAAAAAAACUUUUAUAAUACGAGUGGCUCUGCUAUGGACAAUCAAUGACUAUCCAGCAUAUGAGAACUUAUCUGGAUGGAGUACAAAAGGAAAAGUGGCAUGUGGUGUAUGUUUGACCAAUACAUGUAGUUUGUAUUUGAAGAGGAGUCAAAAAACAUGUUUUAUGGGACAUCGUCAUUUUUUGGAUCCUUCACAUCCAUAUAGAAAAGAAAAAUCAAAGUUCAACAAUAAAAUCAAAUUGGAAGCAGCACCUUGAUAGAUACACAUGUCAAAGGGAAGUAGUAUUACAUGAUAUGCAAGAGAGACUGAAUAAUAAAGAUAGAAGAGAGGAAAAAGCAACCAUGGAGAUACCUGGAGAGGAAGAGCAGAUCUGGGAGAAGGCAUCGGGGGAAGCUGAUGGAGAAGAGGAAGAACAUGACCUGCAAAAGUUAGAUGAAGGGUUUGAGUCAAACAAAACAAGUACAUCUGAAGAGAUUGGUAGGGGUAAAAGGGUAAAGGUUCAACCCAUUAAAUUUAAAGAUUAUGUUAUUUUAAAAUAGGAAGUCUUGUUAUUAUUUUUAUAGGCCCAGUCCGUUGACCAAGACUAUUUAAACUUUGUAAACCCUAAUUUUAGGGUAUCAUUUUCAUUUUUCUCAAUAAGCAUGACUUAUGAAGCUUAGGACACGGUCUUACAUCAAAUUCUCUUCUCCUCUGUGACUCAAUUUCAGGUUACCGUAGCAAGCUCUUUUUUGGGGGUUGCUGCCUUAACAUUUGGUGCUUUCAAUCAGACUGUUGCGAAAGAAGAUUGUCGGGAACGACGUUAAUUUAUUCAAAAAAAAAACUCUCCAAGAUUUGAUCUAGAUCUAUACUAGAUCUACAGCAGGGACGUAUCUAAACUCAAUUUUCCAGUCAUUUUUAUAUUAAUUUGUACUAUUCUCGGAUCUCAGGAAGAAAAAAAUCAAAGGAAAUGAGCAAUACACAGUCGGGAACGACUUAAAUUAUUUCAAAAAUCUUUCAAGAGUUGAUCUAGCUCUAGACCUAGAUCUAGAUAAGGGACGUAAUCUCAUCCUUACUACUUUCGAUUAAUUUUUAUUGAGAUCGAAAAUUUUGUUAACAGAAUGACAUCGCCACAUCACCAUAGGAAAUUGUGGCAACAUUGAGGAAGAAAAUCGAAUUUGAUGCUGAAGAAAACAAAAUGUCUUUUGCAAGGUUGAAUGAGAAGAUGACAAAGAUUGGGGCUACAAUUCUGGAUUUAACAAAAAUAAUUAAUAAUGGUGCUUCAUCAUUUUCAGAUAUUCAGAUGGGGACUAACCGUUUCGAUCGCGACAAUCAACAGAAAAAAAAACAUUCACACAAAAAUGCCAAAGUUCAACGGGAAAAAUGUGGAAGGCUGGAUUUAUCAAGUAAAAAGAUAUUUCCGUUAUCAUGGGACACCUGAUGAGGAAAGAAUAGUGCAAGUAACAGUGAAUAUGGAGGGUGAGGCUCUAGAUUGGAUGGUAUGGAUGGAGGAUGAAGUUAAACUGAAUUCAUGGGCAGAGUUUUUGGAAGAUAUUCAAAGGAAGUUCGGGAGCAGCCCGUAUGAUUUACCAACUGGACGUCUUGGCAGGCUGGUGCAGACAAGUUCAAUUAGGGAAUAUCAAAAUAAAUUCGAAGCUCUAGCGACUAAAGUAAGAGGCGUUUCGGAGGAGACAAAAAGACAAAUGUAUAUCACUGGAUUGAAACCUGAAAUUCGGAAGGAAUUGGUGAAAGCAAGACCGGAAGGCAUUUCGGAAGCUUUCGCUUUAGCAACUGUUUGUGAAGGUGAGGAAGAAAUUCAACACGGCAACAAACAAAUAACAUUAUGGGAAAAACAGAGGAGCAAUUAUGUACCUCCGCAUAAGCGUAUCGCCGAUAGCGAAACGAACAAAAAUCUAAUGAUUAAAACAAUACUAACACCGGAAGAAAUGAAAGCUCGGAGAGAGAAGAACCUUUGCUACAAUUGCGAUGAAAAAUGGGUUCGUGGCCAUAAGUGUAAAGAACGUCUAUUCAGAUUAUUUAUUGAGGGAGAUAUGCUCAUUGAGGUUAAUGAGGAAGAAUUUGAUGAUGUGGAAGAAUUCAAAGAUGCUGUGGAUAACAUACAAUCAACAGAAGUACCAAGGAUUAGCUUGUAUGCUAUGAAUGGUCAACCGGAUCCGGAGACAAUUAGGUUGAUUGGUUUGAUUGCUGGACAAAGAGUUUCUGUUUUGAUCGAUUCGGGAUCAUCGCACAAUUUUGUCCAAACUGAGGUUGCAAAAAGACGUAAAAUUGGCAGUAUCACCAAUUAAAGAAUUUACAGUUGCAACGGGAAGUGGGGAACAACUGGGCUGUUCUACAGUAUCCAGAGGUGUAGAAAUCAAAAUCCAAGGUACCACUAUUACAAUAGAUUUAUUGAAUUUGCAGCUAGAAGGUGCAAAUAUCGUUCUGGGAGUUCAAUGGAUGAGAUCAAUUGGUAAAAUAAUGACAGAUUAUUCUGAUCUGUCAAUGGAAUUUAUGUUACAAAAUCAGUUUAUACACUGGAAAGGCAGUCAUGUUAUUGAAGAGGAAAUAUUAUCUUCAAGAGAAUUAAGGAAAUUAACAGAGCAUAUUCCACGAGGAUAUUUAUGUCGAUUUGAGAUAAUUCAAAAUGACAACAAAUCUGUGGAAAAAGGGAAAAAAUGAAAAAUUAUCGGUGGAGGUUGAAGAUUUACUAUGCAAAUAUAGAGAGAUAUUUGAGGAAUUUACCGAACUACCUCCGGAAAGAAUUCAGAAUCAUAGAAUUCAUAUUAAUCCGGGUGCGAAACCUGUCAAUGUUAGACCGUAUCGUUAUCCUCAAUUUCAGAAGACCGAGAUGGAAAUAUUGAUCAAACAAUUGCUCACACAAGGUUUCAUACGUGCUAGUAACAACCCGUUCUCUUCUCCGGUUAUUCUAGUAAAAAAAAAGACGGAGGAUGGCGACUUUGUGUAGAUUAUCAGACACUGAAUUCUAUAACCGUAAAGGACCACUUCCCUAUACCGACCAUUGAUAAGAUCUUGGGAGAACUCAAUGGUGCGAGAAUUUUUUCUAAGUUAGAUCUGCGUUCUGGUUAUCAUCAGAUCAGGGUUAGUGUAGAGGAUAUUCAGAAGACAACAUUUCGAACACAUCAUGGCUACUUCGAAUUUUUAGUCAUGCCGUUCGGCUUAACUAAUGCACCAAUGACAUUUCAAGGAACAAUGAAUGAUAUAUUCAAAAAUCAGUUAAGGAAGUUUAUUCUAGUUUUCUUUGAUGAUAUUCUAAUAUAUAGUAGGAGUCUUGAGGAGCAUGCUAGACAUCUGGAGGUUACAUUCGAGAUUUAAAAAAAAAAUCAGUUUGCUGUCAAGCUAUCUAAAUGCGAGUUUGAAAAAUCAUCUCUACAUUUUCUAGGUCAUAUUAUAACAAACGAAGGGGUGAUGCCCGAUCCAGAGAAAUUGGAUGCUAUGGUACGCUGGCCCGUACCUGUGACAAUCAAAGAUUUGCGGGGUUUCCUAGGCUUGACAGGUUAUUAUCGUAAAUUUAUAAAAUCGUAUGCUAAAGUAGCAACACCAUUGACUGAUUUAAUAAGAAAGGAUAAAUUCAUUUGGUCUGAGGAAGCUAUUAAGGCAUUUGUAGAAUUAAAGAGGGUAAUGCUAAAUGCACCGGUGCUAGCAUAUCCCAAUUUUGAAAUUGAAUUCACUAUAGAAACGGACGCAUGCGAAUUUGGGAUAGAAGCGGUUUUAAUGCAGAACAACCAUCCGAUUGCUUAUUUCAGUAGCAAAAUCUCAAAAAAAAUGUCUAAAGCAUCUACUUAUGCUAAGGAGCUUUAUGCAAUCACUCAAGCGGUAGGAAAGUGGCGCCACUAUGUGUUGGGAAGGAGAUUCAUUAUAAAAACAGACCACCGUAGUUUAAAGAACUUGCUAUCGCAAGUAAUUCAGACACCGGAGCAGCAGGUAUUCUUAUAUAAAUUAUUGGGCUAUGAAUUUACGAUUGAAUAUAAAUCAGGUAUCGAUAACAAAGCGGCAGAUGCUUUGUCAAGAGUUGUGAUAGAUGAAGAGUUACCGGUCAUAGAAGGUUCAAUUCUGGCCUUAUCAACCUAUAUUAAUGAGUUGACAGAGAAGUUGUAGAGCGAGAAUGAAAAUAAUAAUAAAUUCCUAGAAUUGCGCAAAAAAAUCGAAGGAGAAUAUGGUGUUGCCAAUUUCAGUAUUAUUGAAGGAAAAAUUUAUUUCAAAGGCAGAUUAUUUAUCUUUGAAGAUUCCUCAUUAAUACCUACUAUUUUAAAGGAGUUCCAUUCUUCGAAAUUUGGUGGUCAUUCGGGUAUCGAAAGAACUGAAAAAGAAUUAAGGAGGUAUUCUUUUGGAAAUCUAUGCGAAACAGUGUGAAGGAAUUUGUGGACUGUUGUCAUGUAUGUCAACAAAUGAAAAUACCAACAUCUAAAUAUCAAGGAUUACUAAUGCCUUUACCAAUACCGAAAGCGGUAUGGUCGGAUAUAUGUAUGGAUUUCAUAACAGGAUUACCAAAGGUGAAGGGCAAGUCUGUUCUAAUGGUGGUGGUCGAUAACUUUCUAAGUGUUGUCACCUAGCUCCAUUAACUAAUAAUUAUACGGCAACCGAAGUCGCACAAGCUUUCAUCGAGACAGUGGUAAAAUUACAUGGCAUACCUCAAUCGAUCGUGUCAGGUCGAGAUAAAGUAUUUACGGGGAGGUUUUGGAAGGAGAUCCACUGUAUCAGUGGAACCACUUUAAAAAUGUCAUCCGCUUACCACCCACAAACGGAUGGACAAACGAAGGUCACCAAUAGAGGAUUAGAGAUGUUUUUGCGUUCGAUUACGUAUAAGAAUCCUAAAAAAUGGUUAGAAGCAUUACCUUGGGCCGAAUUGUGGCAUAAUUCGACUUUCAAUAGUUCUAUCGGAAUGUCGCCAUUCAAAGCCCUAUAUGGAAGGGAAGCAUCGGCAUUACCAUUUUUUGUGGAAAGUUCGUCUGUCGUCGAGGCUGUCCAAGACGAUCUGCAAAGAAGGUCAUUAAUUAUAAAAUCAGUUAAAGAAAAUAUGGAAAAAGUACAACACUAUAUGAAAGAAGUAGCGGAUAAGAAAAGAGUGGAAGUCGAGCUUACUGUUGGUGAAUGUGUUAUGGUCAGAUUACAACCAUACCAACAGAUCACUGUGAGGCUUUGUCUACACCCAAAAUUGUCGCCGCGAUAUUUUGGGCCUUUUCAAGUGGUAAAAAUAAUUAACAGGGUGGCAUAUGAAAUCGAUUUACCCGAGACAAGCAAAAUUCAUAGAGUGUUUCACAUAUCAAGAUUAAAAAAAUAUAAAGGGAGCAAUCCAGAUCAACAAGCACAAGUGUUACCUGAACUAUUGUAGAAGAAUCAGAUUUUCACAGUCCCGAUGCCCAUAUUGGGGAGCAGAACAGUCUUGAAACAGAAUAGGAAAGUAGUAGAACUACUCGUUCAGUGGGAGGGAGUUCCACCUGAAGAGGUGUCGUGGGAAGCAAUGUCGGACCUGUGCAGAGCGUUUCCGUCACUUUGGACAGGUAACCUGUCCAGAGAGUUCCACCUGAAGAGGUCUGAACGGUGGUGAUGAUGAUAGAUACACAUGUCAAAGGGAAGCAGUAUUACAUGAUAUGCAAGAGAGAUUGAAUAAUGAAGAUAGAAGAGAGGAAGAAGCAACCAUGGACAUACCUGGAGAGGAAGAGCAGAUCUGGGAGGAGGCAUCGGGGGAAGCUGAUGGAGAAGAGGAAGAACGUGACCUGCAAAAGUUAGAUGAAAGGUUUGAGUCAAACAAAACAAGUAUAUCUGAAGACAUUGGUAGAGGUAAAAGGGUAAAGGUUCAACCCAUUAAAUUUAAAGAUUAUGUUAUUUUAAAAUAGGAAGUCUUGUUAUUAUUUUUAUAGGCCCAGUCCGUUGGCCGAGACUAUUUAAACUUUGUAAACCCUAAUUUUAGGGUAUCAUUUUCAUUUUUCUCAAUAAGCAUGGCUUAUGAAGCUUAGGACACGGUCCUACAACAAAUUCUCUUCUCCUUUGUGACUCAAUUUCAGGUUACUGUAGCAAGCUCGUUUUUGGGGGUUGCUGCCUUAACACACCUCCAAUUAGAUCCGGUGAGAACAUACUUAAAGAGGUAAAAUUACUUUAAAAAAUAUAAUUACUUUUACUUUAAAAUUAUAUUCAAGAAUUGAAUUGUUGAAGUAAAAUCAAAUUUUAGUUGAACGCACUUCCAAAUAAAGCAUUAGGAAAAGGAAACUUCGGUACACCAGUUACAUUUGCAGAAUGAUGGAUGAAGAAAAGUAUAUUCUUUUCUUUACCCUACUGGAAAUCAAUUUUGAUUUAGCAUAAUCUUGAUGUAAUGCACUGUAACAAUAAGGCUGGACUUAGAUGAAAUCAUGAAUCACCUCCAGGAUGAAUUAGAACUGAUGGAGCCGUCUGAAGAAGGGGCUGACAUACCUGCUCCAGCACCAGCAGGAAAACAACCCACUACCGGAGAACAUCACCCGACCAGGUCGGCAAGAAACAGGAAGAAAGUGAGUGAUCCUCACUUUGUCUAUUAUUAGGCUGUCGGUGGUUACAACCACGUUGCAGAUUCCUUCCAACUUUAGUUAGUUAAUUGUUUCAAUCACUGCUGUAAUCGUUGUUAUAAAUAAGAGAAGGAAUGGAUGGAUCAUCAUCCAAGUUUAAAACAAAUCCAAUUCUUCCCUCCGGCUCCCUCGGAAGAAAUCUUUAUCUUCACCCUCGGCUUCCAUCGGGAGAAACUCUCUUCUUCACCUCCGGCACCCCCCUCCGUUGGGUUUAUUUCUGCAACACUUUUCCGUAACCUCUAAACAGAGUGUUACAUUGGUGCUUUCUUUGUCCUCUUGCACGGGUAUUGCAAGGAAGCAGUUACGGUCGACGGAAUCAUGGCCAGCUCGUCAGAAAAUAGAGAAGAAUCACUAGAAGAGUUGCGACAAAUCUUAGGGGCGAUUAUUGAUGAACAGACAGCGCACCAGAUGGAAAUCACACUCCGACAGGACGCAGCUAUCGCAGAAAUGGCGGAGACAGUGCUCAAACUGUCCAACAACGAUCAGAACAAUUUUCCAUUCGACGCAAAAGGGGAAACAAUAAAUGUUAAACGCGCGAUUAAAUUAGAUUUUCCCCGAUUUACGGGGGAAGGUCCAGAGGGAUGGCUAUACCAAGCCGACGAAUAUUUCGCGUUCCAUGGUAUUGGAAAAGAAUCGAAGGUCCAAAUCUCGGGUCUACACAUGACAGGCAAAGCGUUGAGCUAGAUAUGGGGGAUGAGGCGAAACAAAUUAAUCUCAACUUGGGCAAAAUUUGUGGAGGACUUACGGGAGCGGUUUGGUGCGGCCGAGUACGAGGAUAAAUUGGAAGAAUUGACUCGGUUACAACAGACGUCGAUAUUGGCCGACUAUUUGGAGAAAUUCGAAGACUUGCUAAACGAAGUAGAGGAGCAAUCGGAACAGGCACUCAUAACGUAUUUCGUGGGUGGGCUUAGACCUGAGCUGAAGAGUGAGCUGAAAAUUUUGAAACCUACAUCGUUGAGGUAAGCAUUUUCAGCAGCCAAAGUAUAUGAUGCCCACCCGGGACGCCGACAUUUAUCAUGGAGAACCCCUUUCCGGCCAGGAUCAAGAGCGUCGAGUUCUGUUCCCUUACUAAAAACACCACCGGACACCUCCCGAGGGGUACCCAUUAUAAGAAAGACCUUGACUGUGGAAGAACGACGAAUACGUACGGCGAAAGGCCUAUGCUUCAACUGCGAUGAAGCUUAUUCCCGCGGCCAUCGUUGCAAAGGUAAAUUGUUUCAUAUGGAUAUGGACCAGGGCUGUUUGGUCAAAAUUAUGGAAAAUCAACCGGAAGUGGAGGAACAAGUCGAACCAACGGUGGGAGAAGAGGGAGCAACAGAGAUUAGUCUCCAAGCUCUAUCGAGAGCAUUAAAUCCUCGAACACUAAGGCUACGAGGAUCUGUCCGGGGGCGCGAUCUAUCGGUGUUGAUUGACAGUGGAUCGACACAAAAUUUCAUUCAAGAUUCGGUGGCUUACAAAUUGGGGGUGGGACUUCAAUCGUUACAGGAAUUUAAAGUAUUUAUCGGAAGCGGUGAAUACCUGGUAUGUCAAGAAAUGGUUCGGCAGGUACCACUAACUAUACAGGAGGUGACAUUAAAUGAAGACUUAUAUGUACUGUCAAUGGAGGGAGCCAACAUUGUGCUCGGGAUACAAUGGUUGGAGACUUUAGGAGCGGUCACAUACGACUAUAAGAAGUUGUCCAUGGAAUUUGAAAACCAAGGUAAAAAAAUUAAUUUUCAGGUCGACCUCCCAUCGCAAGUAUCAAACAACAGCCUUAAAAGCCUCAUGGGCCGAGAAGAAAUAGCCUAUUUUUACCAACUCCAGGCCGAUUAAACAUGCUCCGGGCCAAACAUGCUCCGGGCCGAUUAAACAUACCCGCAUUUCCAAAAACCAAAAAUCGAAAGGCUUACCAAAGAAAUGUUGAAUCAAGGACUGAUCCGUUAUAGUACGAGCCCAUUUUCGUCUCCAGUUUUAUUGGUCCGGAAGAAAGACGGCACUUGGAGAUUCUGCGUAGAUUUCCGGGCAUUAAACUCAGCUACUGUUCGCGAUCGAUUCCCAAUACCAACCAUGGAUAAACUCCUUGACGAACUGAACGGAGCCACUAUUUUCUCUAAACUGGAUUUGAGGGCCGGGUAUCAUCAAAUACGAAUUGCAGAAGAGGACAUAGAGAAAACCGCCUUCCGAAUACACCACGGACAUUACGAAUUCUCCGUAAUACCGUUUGGGCUCACCAGCGCACCCUCUACCUUUCAGGCUACCAUGAACCACUUAUUGCAGGAUUUAUUAAGAAAAUAUGUUAUCGUAUUUUUUGACGAUAUUUUGAUCUAUAACACCUCACGAGAAGCACACCUCAAACACCUGGAGUUGGUAUUGGAACUACUGCAACAAAACUCAUUCUAUAUCAGAGAGUCCAAAUGCUUGUUUGGGGUCUCCAGUUUAAUCUAUUUGGGUCAUAUUAUCUCAUCCGCCGGAGUGCAACCCGACCCGAAAAAAAUAGAGGCAAUCAAGGCCUGGCCGCAACCCAAAAUAGUAAAACAGGUUAGAGCCUUUCUGGGCCUAACCGGAUACUAUAGGAGGUUCAUGGAGAAAUAUGCCCAAUUAGCCUCCCCAUUAACGGAUCUGUUACGAAAAGAUAAUUUUCACUGGGAUGAAACAACUUGGUCAGCGUUUGAGUGUCUCAAAGAAAAAUUAAUUACAGCACCGGUACUAAUGUAUCAUAAUUUCUCUCUCCCAUUUGUCAUUGAAACAGAUGCAUGUGACGUGGGUGUUGGAGCAAUUUUGAUGCAAAAAAAACAACUAAUAGCGUAUUACAGUAAAAAGUUAUCUCCUCUACGUCAAAGAGCUUCUACCUACGCCAAAGAAUUAUGGACAAUCACAGAUGCCGUGAAAAAAUGGAGACACUACUUGUGGGGUAAUGAAUUUACUAUACGCACCGACCACAGGAGCCUCAAGAAUCUCAUGGCCCAAACCAUUCAAACACCGGAACAACAAUUUUUUUUAACAAAAUUAUUGGGGUAUAAGUUCCACAUCGAGUACAAAAGAGGAAAAGAAAAUAGUCCUGCCGAUGCCUUGUCACGCAUACCUGCUGAGGAAGAAAUGACCAGACAAUUACGAGCCAUGUCAGCUCCUGACCUGCCAAUGUGGGUGGAUAAAUUAAAGGAGGAGACAAAAAGGGAUCCUUGGCUAUUAAAAACACUGCAGCAGAUUAUUAAUAAAGAAGCUCGACCCGGGUUCGAAGUAAAAGGUGGACUGAUUUUUUUUAAAAUCGUUUUUGUUUAGGUCCAUCAUCUGACCUGCGAGGAUUAGUCAUGGAGGAGCUGCACGGAACCCACAUAGGAGGGCACGCCGGCGUAUAUCGCACCCUAGCCCGCAUACAGCUCAGAUUCUUCUGGGUAGGGAUGGCAAGGGUCAUCAAAAAUUUCAUCCAGCAGUGCCGAGUGUGCCAACAAAUCAAGAUACCAACGACGAAACCCAUUGGCCUGUUACAGCCGUUAUCAAUACCCUCCGCGAUUUGGGAAGAACUCGGAAUGGAUUUCGUCACCGGCCUGCCAACAGUGGGAGGAAAAUCUGUUAUCAUAGUCAUCAUAGACCUCCUGACAAAGUAUUGCCACUUGGGUGCACUUCUGGCAAGCUUUACGGCGACCUCCGUUGCUGAAUAUUUUGUAAAUCAAAUAGUCCGACUUCACGGUAUGCCUAAAACCAUUACAUCCGACCGUGAUAAAAUAUUUAUGAGUCGGUUUUGAAAAGAGCUUUUCACGCGCAGCGGGACUACAUUAAAAAUGUCCUCGGCAUACCACCCCGAGACCGACGGUCAAACGGAAAUUACAAAUAAGACGAUUGAGCAAUAUUUACGAGCAUCUGUUCAUCAAAAUCCCCGAUCAUGGCCAGAAGUGCUCCCCUGGGCUGAGCUUUGGUACAACAGUUCCUACCAUCAUAGUACCAAGACAACCCCGUUCCAGGCAGUAUAUGGAAGGUCGUCACCGGAAAUUAUUGAUUAUAGACCAGGGGAUUCCAUGGUAGAAGCGAUGGACACCUUGCUAAUGGAGAGGAAAAGGAUGUUGGCAGAAUUACAACAUAACCUUCACUCGGCUCAAGAGAGAAUGAAACGAUAUGCUGAUUUGAGGAGACGUCCUUAUGAGUUCAAUGAGGGUGACUGGGUUUGGCUUAAGUUACAGCUGUAUAGAUAACAUUCCGUGGAUCGCCAGAGGUGUCAAAAAUUAUCAGUGAGAUUCUACGGUCCGUUCGUUAUCACAAAGAAAAUCAGUGCUGUAGCUUAUCGUUUAAAAUUACCGUCGGACUGUAAGAUUUUUUCCACAUUUCAUAUUGCUCUUCUCAAGCGAUUUAUAGGGGAAAAUCCAGAUCAGGAAGCGAUAACACUGCCCAUCCCAUUGUAAUCCCACACAAAAUCACCGCAUACCGGUUAAUCAACAAGAAGGGCAAGAAAGUGGAACAGGUGUUAAUUCAAUGGCUAGGCUUAGGUCUCGAUGAGAAGACAUGGGAAGAUCUCAGUACGAUCGCACGCCUAGCGCCCUCUUCUAACCUUGAGGAUAAGGUUAGCGCGGAUGGAGUGAGGGAUGUAACAAUAAGGCUGGACUUAGACGAAGUCAUGAAUCACCUCUAGGAUGAAUUAGAACUGAUGGAGCCGUCUGAAGAAGGGGCCGAUACACCUGCUCCAGCACCAGCAGGAAAACAACCCACUACCGGAGAUCAUCACCCGACCAGGUCGGCAAGAAACAGAAAGAAAGUAAGCGAUCCUCACUUUGUCUAUUAUUAGGCUGUCGGUGGUUACAGCCACGUUGCAUAUUCCUUCCAACUUUAGUUAGUUAAUUGUUUCAAUCACUGCUGUAAUCGUUGUUAUAAAUAAGAGAAGGAAUGGAUGGAUCAUCAUCCAAGUUUAAAACAAAUCCAAUUCUUCCCUCCGGCUCCCUCGGGAGAAAUCUUUAUCUUCACCCUCGGCUCCCAUCGGAAGAAACUCUCUUCUUCACCUCCGGCACCUCCCUCCGUUGGGUUUAUUUCUGCAACACUUUUCCGUAACCUCUAAACAAAGUGUUACAUGCACAUCUAGAAAAAUAUUUGCGACAACAUAGUGAAUACGAUGCUUAAUGUAGUGAACAAAUCCAAGGAUAAUUGGAAAGCGAGAGAAGAUCUUAAACAUCAAGGAAUUCGCAGAAACCUUCAUGCAUACAAAAAAAAUAAUGGAAAGUGACACAUUCCUUUUGCACCAUUUUUUAUGACCUUAGAACAAAGAAAAUUAUUUUGCACAAUAUUGAAGUCGAUUAGGGUUCCAGAUGGAUAUUCUUCAAAUAUUUCAAGAAAUGUGAAUUCAAAAGAAAAGAAGCUUAUGCAAUUUAAAAGUCAUAAUUGCCACAUGCUAAUGCAACAAUUAUUGCCUAUUGCAUUGAGAAAUUCAUGUUCCAAAGAUGUUUGUUUUUCGAUAAUAGAAUUAUGCAACUACUUACAUGAUUUGUGCUCCAAUACUCUGAAUAUCGAUCAUUUAAAUCAAAUGGAAAAGAACAUAUCAAUAACGUUAUGCAAAUUGGAAUAGAUAUUUCCGCCAUCUUUUUUCACAGUAAUGGUUCAUUUGUCAGUUCACCUUGCAACUGAGGCAAAAGUGGCAGGACCAGUGCAUUAUCGGUGGAUGUAUCCUAUUGAAAGAUAUUUGAAAACAUUAAAAGGUUAUGUUAGGAAUAAAAGCCAACCUGAAGGAAGUAUUUAUGAACAAUAUAUUGCUGAAGAAUGUUUAAUAUUUUGCUCUCGCUAUUUGUCAGAAAAUAUUGAAACAAAAUCCAAUAGACUUGAUUGUAAUUGAAAUGGGUAUAUUGGUAAAGCUACACACAUUAAUCUUGGGGAUAGGAUAUUUGAGCAAGCACAUCGAUAUGUAUUAUUCAAUACAGAUGAAAUAAAGAGUUUUAGAGAACUUCAUGUGGAUGUGAUUCGUCGCAGUUAUCCGGUAAUGAAUCUCAAACAUAUAGAAAGAAUGCAUCAUGAAAAAUUUCCUAAAUGGUUCAAAGAUCAUAUACAUACACGUCCUAAAGUAAAAUUUAGCAUUUAGCGACUUUCACGUGGUUUAAGUCUAGAUUUGAAAAAAUUCAAAGGAUAUAAAAUGAAUGGUAUUAAGUUUCUUUCUACGUCGAGUUCAGUGAAACUAAAGACUCAAAAUGACGGGAUUUUAGUAUCGGCCAAGACAUUAUGUUAUUUGAGUGUUAGAGAUGUAAACCCAAUAGUGAAUAAGCAAAACUAUUAUGAAAGAUUAAAUUAUGUUAGUGAACUAUAAUAUGGACCAAAUCAUGUAGAAACACUCUUUCAUUGCAAUUGGUUUAAUGACCAAUCUACAAAUGGGAUACAAGUUGAUACGUUUGGUAUUAUAUCUAUAAACACUAAACGAUUAAAGCACCAAGAUGAACCAUUUAUUUUGGCAGCACAACAAUGUUUCUAUGUGGAUGAUCCUAAAAAUUUAGAUUGGAGUGUUGUAUUGAAAAGACCACCUAGAGAUUUGUAGUGCCUAAUUAUGGAUUUCUUAUAUAUUCUUUGUGAGUAAUUUUUUUAUUUUAAUUAUUUUUCUGUUUUUAUUAAUUUUAAGUGCUAAAUAUUUUAUUGUAUUCACAGAUUAUAAAUGACAUCCAAAAAAACAUUGGUUAGUAAGAAACGAUUUACAUGAAGUUCUGUCAACAAUGAAGAACCUACUUCAAGUCAAGUUCCGACUCCAACUUCGACUUCAACUUAAGUUUCAACUCUAACUCCGACUCCUCAAAUUCCAACUCCAACUCCGACUCCGACUCUAACUCCUCAAGUUUCGACUCCAACUACUUAAGUACCAACACCAACACCAACUACUUAAAUCUCUAGAAUUAAGAAUAAGCAUCUAUCAUAUGAGGGAAUUGAAGGUACAAUUAGUAGAUUGGGUAUUGUUGGGGAAAUUGCUAUAUUGUUGAGGAAAUUAUUGGGGGUAGCUAAUGAGGUCUAUAAUCUACAAAUUCAUCUGGGUUGAUGAACAAGGCAUGUUGUGGAAGAGGAUGAGCUUGCCAAAAGAAAGAGGGAUGGGAUUAAAGGACCUUAAGAUAGUAUAUCGAGUGACAAUAGUCUGAAGAAUUUAUGCAAUUUGGCUCACUGGUCUCAGGAACUAUUAAAGUUUCUGAGGUUCAGAGUUCGAAUCUUACUUUGCACAUUUUCACUUAGAUUUGUUCGAUGAUAUAUUAUGUGACUCUGGUAUAUUAUCCAAAGGUUGACAGUUUUAGAUCUGUAAAGAGAUACCCUCCGUUAUCAAAAAAAACUCAUGAGCUACUUGGCUGAAGAUAAGAUAUGCAUGUUAAAGCUGUGAAAAUAAUAAAUAUAAAGGUAUUAUUGUCAAGUAUAAAUAAUUAUUAUAAAUACUAAGGGUAUAGUUUGUAAACAAUUAAUUUGUGGAAUAUCAUUAACGAUUUAGAGUGUAAAAUCCCUCUUUAAUUUUAAUUAAUCAAAUCGCCUACUAAAAAAAGAUAAUUACACAUUUAAGAAAAAUAAAUUUAAUCUAGAGCACAAAAUGUGAAAAUAUAUCUGGAUUCUGGAGCAUGGAAAUAUCUCUCUAAAACUAUGUCACAAUCUAUGCGAGAGAAAUUGGGAAUUCUGGAAGAUGUUGAAGUGAUGAUAGCUUCAAUGUGACAUGGUAUCAGGUUUCACUAUGCAAUGGAGUUUCCAACCUCCAAGACCAGUGGAGGCGAAGGCCUGUACAAAAGAUGGAUUAGACAUAAUAAUAUGAGAUGAAAAUAUAGAUUUAACAAAGGAAUCUGACUUCUGAACCCCCCCUGCCUUCUUAGCGAAAAAAAACAUAUAAUAAGAACAUCUAUAUGAAGAGUGAUGGCAAAUGGAACUGAUACAUACAAUAAAUAAGUGAUUCUAUAUGUUUGAUGUCUUCAUUUAUGCUCAAUAAGACGAAAUAAGAAAAUUGGCAUCUUCUUGGUGAUGUCAAAACAAAAACAAAACAUAAAUUAUAAAAUAGAAAUUGGGUUUUGUCUGGAUAAUUUAUUGGAUGCUAGGACCAUAACUGGCCAACCUAUAACAUAUGCAAUACUAUGAUGGGAAACAGUGCAGAAGCCAUCAAUAUAAAUCCCCAAAGAGUAACCAAAUUUAUUUGCAAUUUUGCAUUCAAUAUUCUGUCAUAGUACAGUAAAAUGUGCACUGCCACUGUAUGGUCUGCUAAAUCUGGACAUUGUGUUUGAUUUUUUUUACUGUCGGUGAUAUGCCGAAUUGCAGAUAAUAUAGUAUGUUAAUGAACCUACAGCUUAAAUAUAAAAUACAAUCACACAGUGCAGAGGUAUGAUCUGGAAUCGAUUUGUUUAAAUGAUCGAUUGGGACUAAAUCUAUACUUAAUCUCAAACGAUUAAGACAUAAAGAGUCAUUUAAGAUACUUAUGAAGUGUUAUGAUAUGCAGAUAAUGCAAUAUAGAAUACAAAAUUCUUACCAAGAACAAAACAAAGAUAAAAGAUGACAAUAGCUGUUUGUAAGGAAGAAUUCGAUUCAGUAUUUAUUUUGAACACAUGGAAACCACUUUAACACAGGAAAGAAUGGAAACUUUAAACUUUUUUUUUUUGCAAAAAUGGCAUCACGACUCUAACGGUCUAACCUCAUUCCAGGAACACCCUUUGGAUUCAAGCAAAGCUGCAUUGCAUGUAUCCAGCUCGAUUGAAGUACCGCAGAACAUCGAAGCUGCCUCUUCCCAGCCUUUGUUAUGCCCCAUGCACCUGCAUGAUUGUUUUGUUCUUUAGGAAAAAAAAAGCCUAAACGACUCUCACCAUGCUAAAAUUGCCUAGUAUUUUUUAAAAACGGUUCGGUUUAGUGAAUCUGAAGAGUGAAGAUGUAAGAUUAUCAUACAUAAGUGUGAGGAUCUUAUCUGUGGAAUACUCGCAUAUGACUUGCUGAAGAUGAGCUGCUGUUUGACCAUCCAUAGCAGCAACUGAGUAGAAGCUUGGCAUAAAAUGCACCACAGCUUUUGAGAAUUCCAAUUCACUGGCCUGCAUUAUUUCAAGUGUUUCUUGUGUUCGAGCUGCGUCACUGCACGUCAUCUAACUACACAAAUUUGAGCCUUGGAAGAGUUGGAAAACGACUUUUAUAUAACAUCCAUGAAAAUCAUGAGGUCAGAUAAAAUCCGACCUGGACAGAAUGAGUUCAGGAGUCCAUCCCAUUUUUUGAAGCUUGUGAGUGACAUCAGCUGCGUCAUUUCGCCCACCCUUGCUAAUUGGACGAUCAUGAUCUGCUGGAACCAAUAAAAAAUUAAACUUUACACCAUAUUCCAUGAGUCCAUGACAAUUAUCGUAAAGUAGUCAAACUAAAUUCUAUCCAAUUAACUAGUACAGGAAAAAUGAUUCAUUAUAAAUUAAUCUUAUUAAGAGAAGGGCUAAGAUACUAACCACUAAUUAUAGUUAGUAUAGUUACAUCUUAGCUCUUCUCUUAACCAAACCUUUAAUCAACCCUAGCUAGAAGAAGAAAAUGUAAGUAUUUUUGAAAGAAGAAGAAAAUGGAUUUCCAUUCAGUUUUUCACAAACGAAGCAAUCCAAACAUGACUCACAAGGUAAACAAACAAACUAUUGGACAUCCACGUGUAAGUCAACGUGGGGUCAAAGUUAGUAAUAAAGUAGUUAGCAGUAAAUCAACUAAUAACUAAUAUAGUUUAAUAUGAGUGCUAUAUAAAGCACAUUACGUUGUAAACAAACUUUUUCAUGUGACACCUAGGCAACCAUGCGAUCUAGUGCAUGUAGGCGUUUCACGCCUUCAUGCGCUGGCUGGGUUAGGCGGAUCCGGUUGGAUCCGCCUAACCCAUUUACCCAUUUAUUUAACUUAAAAAAGAGAAAAUAGGGGUUUAAAACCCUAACCCUCAUCUCCCAAUUUCUUCUCAUUUCCUCCCCUUUCUCCCAAAUUUCGAGCCACCCUCUCACCUCCUUUUUAGCCCAUUUCCUCCACCUCCGGCCAGCUCUACCUCCGACGACCAGCUAGGACUAACGGCGAACACCUCCGGCGAACCUCGAACGCAACUCCGGCGAGCUCUGGCGAACGUCGACCAGGCUGCUCCGGCGAUCCUCAGGCGUUCAUGUGACCAGGAUCGCAUGAACGCCUGGUCGCAUAUAAAAGCUUGGUUGUAAACAUUCUCAACUCAAUUGAAUAUCAAUUCAGUUAUUCUUAUAUGAUAUCUUACGCCUAGGUUAGCAUCAUGACGAUCGAAGCACCCACUUCCGCUGCAAAUUCAGGCCAAGUUUCGACCAACAUUGCUUCCACACAUCUUCCGACGACGAAGAUUGUUAUGAAGCCAAUCAAAUGUGUUACCCUAGAUAACACCAAUUAUUUUUCCUGGGAAGCGCAGUUCUCCGCAAUGUUACGUGGUUUUCAAUUGAUGGGUUACGUUCGAGGGGAGGUCGAUCUUUCGACUCCGGCAGCCAACCAGCAAGAUCAAUUAAUUUUGAGCUGGAUUUUGACCGGGAUCUCAAUGGCAAUUCUUCCACGAGUUGCGUCGUUCAAAACCUUUGCUGGGGGGUAUGGACAUGUUUGCAACGCCUUUUCGCCUCCGGCACUCAGACGAGACAGCUACACAUUCAGCUCCAGAUACAGUCAAUUCGCAAAAGAGAUAUGACUAUGGACGGGGUCCAGCUCCCGUCUCUUCGAUCGAAGGUUAUUCAUACUAUAUAAACUUCGUCGACGUCGGCAACAACUUUAAUUGGGUUUACCCGAUCGCUGGGAAAAGUGAUGUUCAUCAUGUGUUUGAGAAAUUUAGAGUAUGGGCGGAAAGACAGUGUGAAACAAAGAUCUUAGCACUUCAAACGGACAACGCCAAGGAGUAUCAAAAGCUUGGGAAACGUUUGGACAAGUUAGGAAUUCAUCAUCGAAUGGCCGCGCCAUACUCAUGCAAACAGAUGGGUCUUGUUGAACGGUGACAUCGGCAUUUGAUAGACACCACUGUCACCAUGUUACGACAUGCGAAUUUACCAAAUCAGUUAUGAGAUUAUGGGGUUCUCACCGCGUGUUACCUGUAUAACAGGAAUCCCACCCCGCUUCUGAACGGAAAAUCUCCACUCGAGGCACUACUCUGUAAAGUUCCAGAAUACAAGAAAUUUAGAGUCUUCGGAAGUUCAUGCUAUCUGUGUCUUCGACCAUAUCGCAGCGGUAAACUCGACUCGAAAUCGUCGCGGUGUAUAUUCGUGGGUUAUUCAAUGGCACAGGACUGUUACCUCUGCUUGCAGCCAGAUAGUCAGAGGAUUUUCUCAUCUAGGGACGUGGUGUUCGAAGAAGAUGAUUUUUCAAUGAAUAAGAAUUUAUUUGGGGACCAAAAUGAAAAUACUCAUGUUCAUUCCAAACCAAAUCCAUGUUUUGCUAUGGCAAUGGCAGCCACUAAAGUCCCUAUCCCAAGAUCACCGAAGUAUGCCCUAUCGAUUUCUCAGUGGAAGGAAGCCAUGACGAAAGAAUUCAAGGCUCUCCAAGACAACGGAACAUGGAGUCUAGUAAGUACCACGACGAUCAGAAGAUAACAUGAUUAAUUCAAAAUGGAUCUUUAAAGUUAAAUGUAAAGAAGACGGCUCGAUUGUACGUUUUAAGGCAAGAUUAGUAGCGAACGGCAUGCGCCCAGUUCAUGGUUCCGACUACUUGACACUUUCAGUCCGGUAAUCUGUCCGUUGUCAAUUCGUCUCGUACUCACACUGGCGAUAUCACGUGGCUGGAAAAUGCAUCAAGUUGACAUUUCCAAUGCGUUUCUUCAUGGCAACCUGAAAGAAAGGAUCGUAAUUUCCCAACCUUUUGGCUUUAUUGAUCAGAAGUCUUUGGAUUACGUCUGACUCCUUCACAAAAUCGCUAUACGGAUUGAAGCAGUUCCCAAGGUCCUGGUUCAAAAGGCCGAGUAAGUUUUUAAUCUCGAUUAAAUUCAAGGAGUCAGCAGUCGAUCCGUCUCUCUUUAUCUAUCAACAAGAAUCAGCUAUCGCAUAUCUUUUUUUGUACGUUGAUGACAUCGUAGUUGUGGGCUCUCACGAAAAAGUAGUCGAAGGGUUGAUCGAUAAAUUGGCACAGGAGUUUGCAAUGAGGAAUUUAGGAGACUUGAAGUUCUUCUUGGGCAUCCAGGUCAGUCAAGUUAAAAAUGGGAUUCACUUGUCUCAAACGCAGUAUCUGGUGAAUUUACUUCGAAGUUACGACAUGGAGAAUUUAAAACCAGUGGUGACUCUGAUGUUGGCAGAGAUAGAUUUAAAUUCAGAAGAUGCACAAAUUGACAACCCGGGAGAAUUCAGGCGAAUUAUUGGUUCAUUACAGUACAUCACUCUGACAAGGCCGGAAGUUCAGGUAGCAGUUAAUCGGCUAUCACAGUCUAUGGCAAAGCUACAACCCAUUCACUGGUCGGCGAUGAAACGGGUACUUAGGUUUCUUCCGAGAACUCAAAGGUAUGGGAUCGUGUUACGGAGGAUAAGUGAUUUCGGAAUCACAGCCUAUUGCGACGCCGACUGGGGAGGCGACACGGUUGACCGUAAAGGUAGAACAAGUUUCUUAGUCUACGUCGGAGGAACCCUAGUCUCAUGGAUCUCCCGAAAACAGAACACCUUGGCGAGAUCAAGCACAAAAACAGAGUAUAGGGCCAUCGCAACUACUACUCAAGAGGUCGAAGGUGUCCGAGCAAUGCUUCAUGAGCUAGGGAUAGAAGUUCCGAAAUCGAUAACUAUCCUAUCGGAAAAUUUGGGAGCAACUUUCAUUGCGAAUAACCCAAUUGCCCACAGCAAGUUGAAGCAUGUAGCAUUAGACCUCCAUUACGUAUGUGAGAAGACAGAGAGCGGAGACAUAAUCGUGAAGCAUAUAUCCGGAAUAGACUAGUGGGCGGACAUUCUAACAAAGCCGUUACCUCCAAAGUCAUUCACGGUGUUACAGUCAAAGCUUGUCGGAGAGCCAGAGCCUUCUCCAUCAGCUUGAAGAGGGGGGGGGUGUAUUGGACGUGGGGUCAAAGUUAGUAAUAAAGUAGUUAGCCGUCAAUCAACUAAUAACUAGUAUAGUUUAACGUGAGUGCUAUAUAAAGCACAUUACGUUUGUAAACAUUCUCAACUCAAUUGAAUAUCGAUUCAGUUAUUCUUAUACAAACAAACAAACCCAUUUCCAAAAUCCAACGAAAUGAUGAAGAAUUAAUUAGAUUAAUCAUGGUAAACAAUAGGAUUAAAGAAUCAUAUCAUAUACUCAGAUUACAGUUCAAUAGCUAUCACAUGUUGGGGGAGAAAUCAGAGAAAUUGAAAAAAUUACCAGAGAUUCGGAUAUACCUCUGAGAGAGCGAUCCACCGCAGAACUUUCAGCAUGACGAAGAAGAAUCAAUCGACGAGGAGAUUUGAUAAGAGAUCUAACACCGUCCCCGUCUUCACCUACCAGAACGACCUUGGCCACCGAGACAGAACACCGGAAUCGAAGUCGCUUACGGUCGGCGGGGAGUAGUAGUAGAGGAGGAGAUGACGAGACGUUUGGUAAGAAGGAACCGGAAGAAAUCGCAACAGAUCGGUAGUAACCUCCCACUGAUCCUCCUCUCAUGAUCGGUAGUAUCCAACCCACCGGACUACCGACGGGGAUUCAGUUAUUAAAAUAUGAAAAGCGAAAACGUAGAGGUAUAAAAAUAUAGAAUAAAUUUUACAUGAGUAAGGAUUAAAUGACAUCACAGCCAUUCAUAUAUAUAUAGAUCUACGGUUGUACUUUGUUUUUUUGGGAUAAGGAUUUUGUGAGUAGAUUUUUUUUUAAUCACUUCAUUUUUCAACGGCUGAAAUUUUUCUCACAAACAACUAAAAAACGUACAAGUUUCCUAAUAAAAUAUAAAUAGCGCAAUAUAGGUAACAAUAUUUUUUCUUUUUGUACCAGGUUUCAGAGUCACUUGAUAUAUCUAGAGUUUCAAACGAAAUUGCCUAUGCUCCCGCUCGGUUCAGGCUCGAACUAUGUCUUAUCGUUUUCGCGUAGUGGACCUUGGACAAUGGGGGUGAAAAACUCUAGUGUGCUCCUGGUAUCUUUUCCUUUUCCUAAGAAAAAUCCUACGAUCAUUUUUCGGUCCACUAUAUGUAAGUGAUUACUUAUAUCGUUUCUACUUUCAAAAGAAGUUUAUCUCCUAAAAGAUAAAUCCUCUUAUGAAUAUGAUUGUUUAGGCAGUGGCAUAUCCAGGAUUCCCUGAUUGGGGGGCAAGAUUCGCCGAAGGCGAAAUUUUUUUUUUUUACUAAUUAAAAAACCUAUACAAAUUUUGGCAUGACCUAUUCAUAUAAUUGAUUAUAAAAAUCUAUAAAAAAUCAAUACAUUCAUUCCAUAAUUAAUAUUUAAUACAUUAAUUAAUAUUUAAAUUAAAAAUAAAUACAUUCAUUUAAUUAAUAAUAAAAAUAGAUAAUCGUUGGAUCAGAAGGAUCAGAAGGAAGAUCAUCGGAAGCUAAUGGUUUAGAAAUAAUAGAUAAUCGUUUUCUUUUACUUGUUUCUGAAAUAUCUUUUUAUGGUUGUGGAGAAGGAGUUGUCUUUUUAAAAUAUUUUUCCAUCUGUAAGACUAUAAUUUAAAAAAUAAGAUUCACCUUAAAUCUAAGAAUACAAUCCUACAUUUUUAAAUCGAACUAUAAAAUUAUAUAAGAAAUAAUGCAUAAAAUUAUAAAUCUAUCAAUUCUAAAAAUAAAAAAAAAGUAAUAGAACCUUUUUACCUUGGUAUUGAAGAUCUUUUUAAGCUUCCGACAAAUGAAAUGACAAAUCCCUAAUUAACACGCAAGCGGCAAGCGUAGUCAACCUAAUAAAAUUCAGAAUUAGCAUCUGUAUAAAAAAAAUAGACAUCUGCAGGAGAUUGGGUGAUAUGUAGGUGAAACCUUAUCUUUAGAUUUUAUCAAGAAUAUUUAGUCUCUGGGUACAUUGUAAGAAAGAUUCAUUUAUAUACGAUCUAUCUAUAUAGGGAGAGAGGGAAAGACUAGAGAGAUUAAUAUAUUGUGAAAUUUAUAUAUUAACCCUUAAAAAAUAUUAAUAUAUUGUGAAAAUUACACUUAACCCCCUAUAAAAAUUUUUAUUACAUAUAGGUCCUCGAUUUUUUUUCCAACUUUUAGGGGGGUAAUUGCCCUCCCUUGCCCCCUGGAUACGCCACUGUGUUUAGGUCAUUCCAUUUUCUCACUUUUAACUUCUAUGCUUUUUUGGUGACUCAAAAUUCUAUUUUGAAUUUCAACCCACCAUUAGCUUACAUAUUAUAAUUCUUUAAUACAAAUUCCUAUCGAAUAUAAAUUACAAUCCAAUCGUACUAUUAAUAAAAAUUAAAAUUAGUUUGGUGUCACGCUGCUAGCCUUUAACUUUUAUUCUUUAUUAAUAUUCUUUAUUAAUAAUCUUUAUUAAUUAUUAAUAUCUAUAAUUUUUAUUCUUUUAAUAUCUAUAUUUUAUUUAAUUAUUAAAAAAGCCUUAACGAGUUUAUCGAGCUUGAGCUUUAGGUUGAGUUCAUUGGGCUCGCGAGCUCGAGUUUAACCUUGAGCUUUAUUUGACACCCUAAAUAUAUCAUCGGUUAUAUUGGUAAAAAUUAAUUAAAAAUUACGUAUCAGAAUAAAACCUUGAACUUUCAUUAACCUUAAUAGUUACCGUGACUAAAGGUAACCAAUAAAGGUUUGGGACGGGUUUAGUAUUGGGACCCAGUUGAAAAAAGACGUUUUAGAAUUAGAUAAGAUUUUAAUAUAAAUGUCUGGGUUCUUGCCUAUUGGAAGUACUUUCUUAGGUUGUCUGAGUGCUAUAUCGUCUGAAGCUCUUGUCCAUUUUCAUAUGAUAAUUUGUACCGGCUUAGGAAUUUUUUCUUUGGAAGACUAAUUUUAAAUUAUUUAAUUACCAAAUUCAAAAAUAAUUUUUUCCAAUCCAAUAAUUGUUCUCGACAAUGUGUCGUAUUUUGGUACCGAUACAUAAUAUCAUCAUUUUUAAUCAUUUAUAUGAUAGUCAUUUAUUUAUCUUCUUUUACAAUCUCAGAUCGAAAGGUAAUUUGUUUUCAUUGAGUGACUCUCGAGGUAGUUGUGGAUUAGACGAUGAAAUUGAAAUUGAUUGAUUUAUUUUAAGUCUUUUGAUUAUAAAUUUGUCCAUUGAUUAUCUAUGUAAAAAAAAUUUAAAUUAAUAACAAAUUUAACAAUAAAAAUAAAAAGAAUGGACUGUUAAUUGGCUAAUUGGAGUAAAUAAAAUGGUUUUUGGUUUAUUUUGGGGGUAUAUGAUUGUUAAUUGCUCAAGUCCCCUCUACAUUCGCCACUGCUUGUAUCGAGCCCUAGGUAACAUAGGUAACCUCAUCCGAGAUAACAUAUGAGCUUCUACUUAGGUGCCAUCAAAUAUUUUUUGGCCACUCGUUAGUCAUGUGAUGCGCUACUGGAAAUGGAGGAACCGAUGUCGAUUAAGUACGGGAGCAUCCGAGACGCCGUCGACCAAGCUCGCCGGACUGGAGACCUAACCUGCGAUAUUGGGGAAGAAGGGGUCGGCGAUCUGGAGCCGUUAAACUAUGUUGAACCCGGUUCGUUGACAAGAACCCGAGUUAGGAGAAACACCCGCAAGCCGGACUGGACUAGGGAUUACGUCAUGGGUUAAUUUUAUAAGCUCGUUAAAUUUAAAAUACUACUGGACAAAUUAUUAAGUAGUCCCUGCCGUUUUAUUUAAUUUCAAUAUGUCUGUAAAACAAUUAAAUACUCUGUUUUCAUUGAAUUCAAGCAAUCAAUUUUUUCAAAAAAUUAAAACAGUUUCCAUUCCAAUCCAUCCCCUCCUCCGACAGUAACCGUCGAGUACUACCCUUCAUCUCCGCUCUCGUCGAUCAUCGUGAUCUGCUACCAACUACUACCGGAAUCUCUCUUCCUCUUCACGUAUCGCUUGCCGCAUUGAGUUCCAACCUAACUAAGCUUUACCGCUAUUUGUUAGGAAGGCUAAAUCUCGAUAUCAGGAGUUUAUCUCCGCUGCGAUCUGUCUCGGACACCCGUGAAUUUAUUUGCGGAUCUGAGGCACUUAUUUUACUCAGGUAAACUUGUUCUACUUGUGGAUCCGAUACACUUGUAUCAUCAUGGUAUCAAGCCAUUUUUCUCUUGUAUUCAAAUUCUCUGGAUUGAAUAUUUCCACUGGUUGAUCGCCAACUGAAUCUUUUUCUGAACUGAAUAGUUGAAGGUACUCUACAACAUCUUUGUCAAGAACAUUGAUGUCGACAUGUGUACAUGAACUGAUGAGCUUCCUUCAUAUGCAACCUUAUUUAUUACUCGAGAUAUUUGUCAUAUUUAAUAUUAGAUGAAAAUUAUGUGACUAGAUGUGUAAGUUUUUAUUUAUUUUUAAAAUAAUGAUUCUCAAUUUUUCAUUUGAAUUCCGUUCUUAAAUUAUUUAUUUAGGGCAAAUUUCAGAUGAGAUAUAUAUAUAUACGGCGCAUUUCUGGGACAGCCCCUUGUUCGGACGGUCCCCUUUGCGGACUAGAAAUCUUCAGUUCCGAAAUCACCGAUCGCGAAAUGCAGUUCCGAUCGGGGGAACUCCGCGAAGUGCAGUUCCGAUCGGAGACCCAUCGCGAAAUGCAGUUCCGCGAAAUCACCAGUUCCGAUCUCCAGUUCGCGAAACUCCAUUUCGCGGAACUGGAGUUCCGAUCACCAGUUCCAAAUGGAGUUCCACGAAAUGCAGUUCCAACCUCCAGUUCCAAAUGGAGACCCAUCGCGGAACUCCAGUUCCGAUCGGAGACCCAUCGCGGAACUCCAGUUCCGAUCGGAAACCCAUCGCGGAACUCCGACCUCCAGUUCCGACCUCCAGUUCGAAAUCACCAUCGCGGAGACCGUUCACCGGUGAUUUUCGAUUGGAGAUAGACAACGGCGUCGCUGUACUGUGUUGAAGUGAGGUUCGAAAUCGGUACUGGUGGAGAUCGGAUCUGAAACUAGGAGGUAAACGGGGGCAGGCUUGCCUCGAUACCCCUACAUUCGCCACUGCUUGUCAAGAUUGAAUGCUUUGGUAAGAACAUUAAUAUUGGCAGGAGGUUUUACUUUUAAUUAUCUAAUCCAAAUAAAUUUCAUUUGAAUAGAUAAGUAAAAGUCAAAAUAUACUUUAAAAUGUAUACAAAGAAAACGUGUACUUUUUUGCCCAACUUUUUAAUAAUGAAUAAAUGAAUGAAUGAAUAUUCAACGAUUCAUGUUUAUUGAUGAAAAUAAGAAAAGUUCAAGAUAAUUAGAACUUUGUAAAUUUUCCAAUUGACCAAAUCUUAUCUAUAUUAGAUUUGAUUUGUUCAAGAUAAUUCUGCCCAGUUUUCAUCUAUAAAUACAAUUAAUCCAUCGAGGUUACAUGCACUUUCAAACCAGAUAGAAAGAUAUAUGACAAUGGAUUCCAAACUUGUCAUUUUGUUUUUUGCUGUGGCAAUGGCAAUUGCUUCUUCAGCCAUGGCUUCUGAUCCAAGCCCUCUUCAAGAUUUCUGUGUUGCUGACCAUGCAUCUAAGGGUAAGUAACUAAGUAUAUAUGAACAAAUUUUAUUUCAUGACAUAUAUAUAGGAUAAUUUUCUCAUCUAUUAAUGUUCAAUAUAUAUACACGUACAGUGUUGGUGAAUGGAUUAGUGUGCAAGAACCCAAAGUACGUCACUGAGAAAGACUUCUUCUUCUCUGGUCUCGACAAGGCAAAUAACAGCAAAAGUCGUGUCGGGUCAAUUGUUACACCAGUGAAUGUUGCACAGAUCCCUGGUCUUAACACUCUUGGAAUCUCCCUAGUUCGCAUCGACUUUCAACCUGGGGGCUUGAAUCCUCCUCACACCCAUCCUCGUGCGACCGAGCUCCUAACUGUGCUCGAGGGGACAUUGGGAGUGGGAUUUGUCACCUCCAACUCAGAAAACCGAUUUAUCUCCAAAGUUCUCAAAAAGGGUGAUGUCUUCACCUUCCCUAUCGGUCUCAUCCACUUUCAGAUAAACCUUGGAAAAGAUCCUGUCGUGGCCAUCGCCGCACUCAGUAGCCAGAACCCAGGUGUCAUCACUAUUGCAGAUGCUUUGUUCGGAUCCAAACCUCCCAUCGACGUCAAUGUUCUAACAAAGGCAUUCAGUCUUGACAAGGAUGUUGUAAAGUACCUUCAAGAUGAAUUCUCUGAUUAGGGCACCAUCACAAUAAUUUCAUAAGAAUCUUAUAAUUAUCAAUUAUGUAUUGUCUAUAUAUUGAUUUGCUUUUUUUGUGAUGAUUGAUGAAUAAUUUUAUAAUGUUAAUUCAAAUAAUUACCAAGUAUUUGAAUAUAAUAAAAAAUUGAUUUCAUAUUAAACUAUAACUUUAAUUAAAAUGAAAUAUAGAUUAAUGACUUUAAAAAAAAUAUGAAAGUGGAUAUAGGUUUUCAUUUUUCAAAGUGAAGAUUUAAUUCUUAGGGUCAGUUUCAGGUGAGAGCGAUCUCACUAUUUGAGAACUGGUAAGAACUUUAAUCGUAAUUGAUGAUACCCUCGGCCCACUAGAAUGGUCUAGAAAUAACAUCAGUACACCCGGCCUAUUACGAGAUCCCAAGAACACCCCAUGAUCCGAUACGGCACGAUACAUACCCGUCGACCCAACAAGAGGGACCAGGAACGUACCCAGAUCUAUCCUGGCUCUGUCCCAGGCCCGGCCCGCCUAACGACCCAUUAACAUUGAGGCCCGGCCCCAAGGGACAAUUGAGAUCCUAUUAAUACAACAUGUCUCAAUGGAAGAUAUACUUUACCCUACCUACUAAACCUAGACUACAAAGUGAGAGAGAAUGAGAAACCCUAAACCUAACCAUAUGUCGUCAGUGGUGAACCUGACGUGAGCACAUAUGCAACUUUAUGAUGGCGAGCAACAGAAAGGCAGUAUGAGACGCCGAGAUCCGGUAGGGAAUAAGCUCCUUGAGAAUUGGUAAAAAUAAGGAAGACCAACGAACGCCGAAGGUAAUUAGACCUUGGGAAAGAUCUUGCCAGAUCGGCAUUGUUACAAAGGACGAGUGGCUCGUGACCAGAUGUCCUCAUAAUGGACCGAUCUCACAACCGAUCCUGAUCUCUCAUCGUCGGAAGGGAUAGGAGAAGGGACCGUAGGCGGUGAUCUUGAUCCAAGGAAUCUCUAGAAAGGAGGAAUCGGAGAUACCGUCACAAGCAACGGAGGCUAAACCCACAAGAAAUGAGCAAAUAUUGCGAAUGGAGGAGGGUAAACCCACAAGAAAUGAUGUCCCUCUUCUCUUAGAGGAAGGAGAGGAAGCCCUGACACCCCAUCUCACACGUGAGGAUUAUCGCGCGGGAUGGAAAACGCCACGACUGACGUCGUAAAAUGGGACAAAGGACCUGAAGAACCACCUCCACUCUUUCCGAACCGGAAUGGAGGAUAUGACAACCCGGAGGGGCAUCUGGUGCUGGAUGUUUCGAAGAACUCUCUUGGGUGACGCCAUAGGAUGGUACCAGGCUUACCCCUGCACAACAUACACACAUUCGAGGAUCUCGAAAGAAUGUUCCCAGUGGUAUUUGCGUUCCUCCUAGGCGUCACGCAGGGCGACAACGAAACUCUACGAGAUUACAUGAACUGAUUCGCUACAACGAUCCAAGAGUUGGAUUAAAUCGAAGAGCUAACGAUAAUGAUGGCCCUACUCGAUGGGUUGAGGGGGGCGAGAUUCGCCUUCAAGCUAGUCAGCAACAAUGUCAAAACCUUCGUGGAGGCCUUUUCCCGAGCCCAAGGUGCAAUGAAUGUAGAGGAAUUCCUGACCCCAAAAUUUAAGCAGGCACAACGACGCCAAAAGGGGAAGCCAAGAGGCUACAUACAAUAACUGGCAUCAGAAGAAGGGAACCUCUUCUUCCAGUGACGUAGUACCCACACCUGAAAGGAGAACCUCGAAAUCCCAGAACAAUAAGGGGAAGUAACCCUACGUCAGGCCCCGAAAGCAGUUCAAGUCCAGGCCGAACCAAAGGUAGGUUUUCCUAGCAUUAAAAGGAGCAAGUGCACUUCCUGAAGCAUGUCCGAUGAGGACCGAUUCGACGGCAUACAUGGAGAUACAGCGAGAACACCAAGAUUCGGUCUAUACAACGACGGAGUGCAGGAGCUUGACAAAAGCCAUCGAACAAUUAAAGACUUUCCGAACUCCUUCACAUCCGAUCCUGGCAGCAAGACCCGCAGUGAUACCAAUGAGCCACAGGAUCCUAAAGACAGAUCGAGCCCAUGGAAGA